rnacentral:lncRNA from 1 species
CAAGAAUAUUCCCUAAGUUAUUCUCAACUAUAUAGUCUAGCAUUAUCAUAGUUAGUGCAAGCAUACUUAGCAAUCAUUGCGAGACAAGACUACGCCCAUGCAUAGUGAUAUUAGCAAGGAAUAUGAGAAACAUAGAAAUCACUCCCCUGUAAUAAUGUUGCUCUGCCAGCCCAAUACACGAGAGGGGGACUAUAUAAGAAUCAAUGAAGCUGUCACUAUCACGAACCACCCCACGAUCUGGCAUAUUGGGUACAAUCGCAGAUAAAUACGGUAUAAGCACCACGCCUACACAAUAUCUAUCAUUUACCCAUGGAUCCGAUGGAUAAACGCUAUACGAUCCUAAGCAUGUAUAUAGAUCGUAUCUAACUAAGCCAAGUACAUAACUAUGAUAAACUAAGAACAAUAUAAUCUUGAAUAUAAGCAAGUAGAGCAAAGUCAUGAGCAAUAUAUUGAAGUAGAACAAAGUCAUAUUCAUAAUAUUGAAGAACAAAGAUAAUUAGAAAGCAAUUAGAAGCACAAUUAGAGAAUUACCAAGAAUCCUCCUGACAGAUCCGGAAACCAAUCGAAGAUUGACUCCUUCUAGUUCUAAUCCUAUGUAGCUAUGCUAAUCUAGAUAUCUAAUUGAUGUGGUGGCUCUAAUCUUGAUCAGACUCCCUCCUCCAGGGGCCAGGGGGUCUGGUUUUAUAGUCCCUUCAAGUGAAUAUGGGCCCUUGGAUCAAACCGACAUAGAUUGUAUGGUUUAGAUUCAUCCUUUAGGUCGGUGGAGAUCUCCCGCAAAGCAGAGUCCUGAUUGGACUCAGGGGCAGGGCGGGCGCCCUGACCAACUGGGCGGCCGCCCAGGGUCUGGCCCCGUUUCGCCUCCGCUUCGGUCUCGUGGCUUCUGGAGUCUUCUACAUGUAAGAUAAUUGCGCAGCACGUUAAUAUCUUUACGUAAUCCUGACAUGUGGGCCUUUCUUCCAUAUUUCCUGAUAACCCCCUGCAGAAAUAGACAAACACCAAAACUCGUGGAAUUCUGUCAGAUAAAACCCUAAGUCUAGAUCUUGAUUUCAUUUGGAUCCUUUUCUUUAUUUAUUUGAUAAUUAAAUUUGAUACUUAAGGACCGUCAACAAGUUCCUGUAUGAUGAGAGUUUAAAAUCCUACCACAGUCAUAUAUACAUGCUUAUUAAACUAUGAACCAUACAUUUACUUUUUACUGCUUAUGAGCAUUGAGUGUGGUCAAGCUGUGUAGACCCUUAGGAGCUUGUCAUGUGGUUAAAAUCAAGAUUCACUUGCACGUUCACUCAUACAUGCUGCUUCUACUCCGGAAGUAUGCAUCCACAUACAUCCACUCUUUUCUAUCUCCAGAUUCACCCAAAAUUAUUCUACUCCUAUCCGGGAGAGAAUAGCCAAAAACAUUAUCCCAUUCCUGUUUUUCCCUGUGAAAUAAAUGCUCGAGCUAUUUUUGUUACUACCACUUGCUACAUUAUUCUAGGAGGGUGAAUGCUCUGAAAAAAAAGAAAAAAAAUACGAGGAAAUAAAAAGGGGCAAGUGCUUGGAACCUCGAAAGAAAAGAAAAAGUGAGACGAGAGGUAAAAAUGGACAAGUGUCCGACAGUAGAAUUAGGGGUACAAGAUACCCACCUGAGAGAAAAGAAAAAGAAAAUAUAGAGCAUCUCAUUCCCCUCAAAAAGCUUCAAAGUGCAAGAAAGGUAUGUAUCCCCUCAAAAGAGCAAACGUAGAAUUAGACUUUCACCAUUGUUUUCACCAUUAUCACCAUUCAUUCGCCACACAUGCACAUCUUGAUUUGACUUAUUGACUUGUUUCUCUAGAUCCAUGGUUUGACUAUGCAAUAAAUGUCUUGUAAGUAUGUAUUUGCUGUCUCCCACCUAUGAGCUCCAGAUAUCAAACCUUAUUAGAGUAGGGUGAGGGAGAAGGCGAUAUCACUAUGCCUCAUACCAAAAAUACCACAUACUUUGAGAGAAGGCAUAUACUAUCACUGCCUUGGUAAGGACCUAGAAAUACCACAAAAGAGAGACUAGAGAGUGUCAUACAAGGAAUCUCUGAGUUUUAUUUUGAAAAUCUGCAAAAACUCCAGAGCUAUAGUUGAUCAAAGAACAAGAGACAUGGUGCUUGACUUGACCAUUCUAUCUUUUAACUACUCAAGACACAAGUGACGGUUGCAAGCCCCAUGGUGAAAGGUAAUAUGAGUAAGUUUAAAUCUUAACAGUUUACCUUAACCCAGAGAUGAGAUCUUAUUUGAACGCAUGAGUACCUUUAAGGCAUAAAUCCACUGCAGAAACUCUUGAGUCCAUCCUUGCUCAGGGACGAGCAAGAGGUAAGCUUGGGGAAGUUGUUGACGGUCCUUAAGUACCAAAUAUAAUCAGCAAAUAAACAAAGAAAAGGAUCCAAAUACAACCAACAUCUAAACAUAGGGUUAUAUUUGACAAAAUUCCAUGAGUUUUGGUGUUUGUCUAUUUCUGCAGGGGGUUAUCAGGAAAUAAGGAAGAAAGGCCCACACGUCGGGAUUACAUAGAGAUAUCAACGUGCCGCGCAAUUAUCUUACAUCUAGAAGACUCUAGAAGCCACGGGAAGCAAGCGGAGGCCGAACGGAGCUAGGUCCUGGGCGCCCGCCCACCUAUUAUGGCCAAUCGCGCUCAAUCUCGCGGAUUAUGCUCCACCGACCUACAGGAUCAAGAAUAACCAUUCAAUCAAUGUCGAUUUGAUCCGACGGCCUAGGUUCACUUGAGGGGAUUAUAAAACCAGACCCCCUGGCCCCUGGAGGAGGCACCCCUUGAUCAUUAUUCAUUAUCCAUAGACAGAGCAAAAGCUAGGGUUUUGAGAUGACAGCUCUCCUCUCUUCUCUAAACUAGAGUAGAUCUAUAUAGUAGCGAGAUGGAGAGCGAAGGAGGAUUAGAGGAGAGGCCGGCCUAUCGGUUCUUCCUCCGGUUGUACUUCGUGAUGAUCAAGCUCUAAUCAAGCUUGCUCAUGGGAUGACUCUGGUAAUCUACUUCUAAUUCAUUAUGCAAUUACUAAUCAUAUAUGUUCUGGUUCACAACUCUUUUGAGUACUUCUAAUCUAUAGGACCCUAUAGGUUAGAGUUGUAGUAUAGGUGUCAGCGUGGUGCUUAGACCUAGAUUACUUGUGGAUAUCCCCUGUCUAGCUGGAUCGUAUGGUAGGCUGCGUAGGUGACAGUUACGUUGGUCCUCUGUAGUCCACCUCUCGUUAGCAGGACAGGUAGGGUUUAUCGGCCUAAGGAUAAGCAUCCUUUGUGGUGUAAUCUUAUCACGUGGUCCGUCCUAGACAUAGACAUACCCCUUUGAAGUGGAGAAACCAUAGUUAUCCUCUCUAUUCUGCUACCAUCGCCCAUAUACUAGAAUUGCUCUACUCUCUAUUCCCAUAUUAUCACUCACUGUUAUCUUACCUUUAAUAUUGUUCUUAUUCAAUUCUACCACCUUUCCUAUUUACACUUAUCUAUCUAUCUUGGUUAAGUUAGAGCGUAGUUGGUUCUCCCGUUUCCUUGUGGAUACGAUAAAACCUUUAACCGGGUAAAAGCUAUAACGGUAUCCAUGUGCUUGCGGAUUAUCUAUGUGCGUAUAAAUACCAUAGUACACUCUAGUGCCAUGCUGGGGAUGACAACCUAGUAUUCAAGUGGUGUUAGCAAGUGUCAACACCCAUGACACAAAAUGCCACCAAUUCUAGUCUUGUCUUGCCUCGUCACUUCAUCCAAGAAAGGGAGAUGCCAUGCACCACCAUACAAAGCAUGUUAUGCAUGCACCCAACAUGGAAUGACCUCCACUCAAUCUCAUUUUUGGCACAAAGGAAAAAGGGGGAAGGGUGGUGGGUCGGUCGACCCAUGAUAGAGGACACCUUCACAUGCCUUGUGAUCCACCUCUCAUGGCAUUGCUCCUGGUGUGUUCAUUCUUUCAAAAUGAGGAGAGAGGCCCGUCGGCCGACCGUGAUCUGGUGCACCCAGCACAACCAUUUGCUUGCAUUGGAUUCCAGAGAGAAGGUGCCACGGCCAAACAACAAAAUUCCCCAGAAGAGGCCGUGGCACCUUCUCUCUGGAAUCCACACCCUAGAAUUUCUAAGCACCCUAAGAAUAACCAUAGAGAAAAUUUAUUUUAGAGUGCUUAAUAAUGAGUUUGACCUUCCAUGGGAUGUUUUCUCUACAUGUCUUGGUUUUGAUAAUCCCAACAUUAAAAUUGAGCAUGCUACUAAGCACAUGAACAAGAAAGAUUUUUGGUAUGAUAUCACUGGGAAAAUCAUGUGGGAUGGCAACCACGUACUAGUCACAUAUGCAAUCCUACCUUGCUUUUCUUGCACCAGUGGAUAGGACUCACUUUGUUCAUUCGAGAUGACAUAAGAAUUGUCAGCGAAAUUGACACUAGGAUCCUUUUUGCCAUGGUACAUAAAAUUCAAAUUUCACCAGUGGUAGAAAUGGCUAAACAUUGGAUAUGGGCAUCAUCCCAACCGAGAAGGUGGGCCAUUGAAUUUACUUCUGUGAUUACAAAAUUUUGUGCACGCCUAAAUCUGCUCAAUAACUUUGAUAGAUACAUAAUUACUCCUAGAGUCAUCUUACACAAAAGAUUUUACAUUCAGGGUCAAUAUCUUAAAGGAGGAGCAAAGAACUCAGUGUUUCUAAAAAAUUAUAAUACCCAUGAAACAAGUUUGUUGCCCUGUGAAAAACUAAAAAUAUAUAGUGGCAACCCAUUACUCCCUAUGUGCAAAAGACAUAUGAGGCAUGUAGGACCAACCACACAUGCAAGAGCACGAGCUGCAGGUGAUGAUGAUGACAGUGACUAUGAGGGAAGUAUUAGUGGGAUGCAGAUGCCCCAUUUAGGAUGCAAGUCUGGUACCCACAGUGGCCGUAUGUAUUGUUCUUCUUUGUAGGAUUCACAGCCCCAUGCUCCAUGCAUUGACAGGGACAUGCUGACUAAACAAAUUCGUGUGUUGCGGAUUGGACAUGAGGCUAUGAAAAACACUGCAACUCAAACCCAGCAAGCCCUCCAAGAUCUCCAAGUCCAACACAACAUAGGCUGGAACAGGAUGUAUGCACACCAUCAGAGGCCACUACCACCAAAUAUUCCAUUCAUUCCUAUGCCACGACAGCGGCAGCAAGAACCAUCUCCACAGUAUCCUCCACCAUAUCCUCAGCAGCCCUCAUAUCCUCCACCAUAUCCUCAGCAGCCCUCAUAUCCUCCACAAUAUCCGUAUGACUAUCCACCAUAUCAGUAAGGAGGCAUGAGAAUAGAUGAGCUUGGGGGAGAUCCUCUCCCCCACCAAGGUAAGUAUUCUUGCUCUUUUGAAUUUAUUGCAAUUUCAAUUGUUUUAUGCUUCAUGAAAAAAAUGCCAUGCAUGCCAUCUCUCUCUUGGAAAUGAUGAAUAGUUGCUCUAUUAAUAUUUCUCUAGUAUCUAGCACUCAACUUAGUAUUUUUCUAAGUAUGGAUCACUUGGCUCACAUAACACCACCAUGAACCUGAUUUCUUUCUGUGGAUUGCAAAUGCUAAAACUACGUUUAAAUUGUUUUGAGAUAUGAGAUAGUAAGACAAGAGCUACUAUAUUUUUAUUCUAAGCUUGCAUGAUUAUCGGAGAAUUUAUUUGGGAAAUAUCUAAAAACAACGGUUUCUCAAUGAUUAUAAAAUUCAUACCAAGGCCAAAUAUUUAUGCUCCAUAUAUAUACAUACUUUAGCCAUAGCUGCUUGUUAUUGUUGGGGUUUUGUCAAGAAUUAAACUUAACUUAGAUUGGAGUCAUAUGUUUAGACUGAGACACACUUUGCACCCACCAAAUAAAGCCAAUUCUUACCCUAAGGAUUGCACGCAACAUGCACCCUUCCAUCCAACAAAAAAUGCUCUUCUCCUAUACUGGGAGAAAGUAACAAAAUUUUUGCUAGGAACUCCAUCCACUUUUUCAAAUUGAUCUUUCUCUUAGUAUCACUUUUAGAGAGACAUGGCAAAAACAAGGGCGCACUUUUCUCAAAAGUCCCCAAAUGUUUUGUAGAAGGAAAAGUUGAUAGCCAUGUCUCAAGAUAUUAUUUUCUAAGAGAGAAAGAUCAUGCCGUAAAAGGAGUAUAGUUUAGUGAUAGGAUCUGUUCCACACACUUGCACGUCUCAGUCUAGCAUAUGCCUUUGAUCUUAACUUAGUUCGGUUUUUGAUUUGUCCCCAUACAAGAAGCAAGUAUGCCCACUUUCCACACCUAGUGAAACUCCACAUAAAGCCUUAGCUAUAGGUUGUGAGAAAAGCAAUGCCUUUUGUAAGGAACAUUAUCCACUUGAGAGAUUGAGAGAAAUCAAUUGAGGAACCUAGUUUUCUUUGUGAAAUAUUUGAAGAACCUCCAGUAUGAAACUCGUUAAGAAUAAGGAAGUGGUGCUCUAUAUCUAACUGUUGUGUCUCUCAACUGCCCAAGACAAAGGAAAAGCCAAAAGCCCCAUGAAGAACUAAGGUAAAUGAGUGAGUCUUUUCAUAGCUAAAUUGUCCAUACUUAUGAGAAAUAAUUUGUUGAAUACGUGGUACUCUUGAAAUGUUGACAUUGCAGCAACUCCUGAUCCACUAAGACUAAGUUUAAUUGUUUGCUCGGGACGAGCAAAGGUUAAGCUUGGGGGAUCUUGUUGACGGUGGAUAAGCUAUAAAAUCCACACAUGAAAACAUCGUCAAUAGGCGACAAUAGUGGAAGAAUGGCAUAGCAUAGGCAUCUUUUAUCACUAAGAGGUUCCACUUGUGCUCUAAGUAUUUGGAUGCAGGUAUACUCACACAUGGGGGAAAAUGAGCUCCUAGACCCACCAAGGGCAGGUCGGCUGACCUAAACUUGGGGUGGUCCAGGUGUUGGCUCAAUUCCAUGAUCCUAAGGUAACACAUUCAAGUCCAUCUCGACCCUCAGAUCACACAUGUGUUUCUCUUCAAGGGUGAAAGAUGGAGGUAUAGAAGGAUCCAUGGACCCACCAGAACAACCGGACCAAAGAUGAACAUAAGACACACUCCAUGACAGAUGGGGACAACAAUAGAGCAAGGCUGCUGGGCCCACCUCACCAAACCUCGGUUGACCGACUAGCCUUUGGUGGGACCCACCUGUCAGCUCCACUCCACCGACCUCCAGGACCUUCUAUAAGGCUUAGGGUGGCCCCACCUCACAAAAUGUUAGGUCGACCGACCUAUGAUAUGGGCCCACCUAAGGUCGGUUACACUCCACCAACUUUGGCAAGAUGUGGAGAUGAUCUUGGACGUCCAUCUAAGGCGGUUUCAAUGACGUUUUAUCCAAGGGUGGAAAAGUGGGAAGCACACGGAUCGCUGACGUGGCACCCCCUCUACUCCCCCUAUAAAUAGACGCUGCAUCCACACUCUCUAUUGUGUGUGUUCCAGUUUUGCUCUAGCUUUCCAGUUGUAAGUGUUAGUGUUAGUCUAGUGUGGGAGUUAGAGUUGAGUCGAGUGAAGCUCGGAGUCUCCUGAGUCAUCUUCUAGAGUCUGGUACUCCUCCUUACCUUUUCUCUUGUAAUACUUUGAGUAUUUAAUAUAUUUACUUUUCCUUUACUUUUCUAAGUAUUUACCUUCAGUAUUUACUUAGUGCAAUAUUUUAUGGUAGUGUCCUAGUCUUGUAGUAGUCAUAUAGUAGCUAAGUUAGUCUUAAGUGCUUGGGUUGUUUUCUCUGCCGGUAACAUGGUGCUUGGACUAGGUCGUAUACUUAGUCUAGGAGUUAGCAUAAGCAUGGUGCUUAGGCUAAAGCCUGCCCUUGAAUACCACCGUAUCAAACGUGAUAGCGGGCGGCGGCAAAGCGUGAUAGUCCUCUACUUCCUAGUAGGUUCUAUUCACGUCAGGUACGGUCUCUAGGCGCCCAUAAGAAACGAGACCGUUUGGAUAGGAGUUUCGUCCUCCUGUUGUAGUCGACUUCCAGCAAACAAGCCGUUAAGUUUAGCGACGUUAGUGUGUGUCCGCUACUAGAUUAGAUUGGUUCACAGGAGUAAAGUUAGAGUCAUAGGAGUCUUUUCUCACUCAUUGUCCUCCCACCUAGCUACACUACACUAGUUAUCUUGGAGUUAUCCAGAACCACAUCAACCUUCCUAUACGUCUUCAUUACCUCACUACCUUAGUCGAUCCUAGUUGGGAUAGGAUUUCUCUUCCUUGCUAUCUCCUCUAGCAUGCUUUCCCUUGGAUGAACUAUAAAUUACGACACCGCGAAUACUCACCACGGUCGAAGUGCUACAUCGGUAUCUAUGCGCUUGCAGAGUUACCCCUGGUACAUCUUGCAUCAUCACUAGAGCUUAGCGUUGCUUAGCAUUUCUAGAGCCAUUGCUUAGGGUAGCCUGACACCCUAUCCUAGUAACAGCUCAGGCUUGCAUUGAAGCAGUGCUGGUUAGGCGCCACCAUUUCUAGAUACUUGUCAUAUCUUACUCUAGCUGGUGUUCGUUAAGAUUUGCCAACAAGCAUUUCUGGUGCCAUUAUCGGGGAAAGCAUAUCCUAGAAAUUUGUAGCAGGAAUGAAUACGGUGAAACAUCAUCAACUUGGGAUCAACUAGUUGUAGGCAGUCUACCCCUGCCUAUGUUUCUCUUUAUUGUGAAACCAUAUAGUAUAUUAGUGAUUUCCAUUUCAAGGCAACCACAUUAGCCGAUUCAAAGAGAUCUCGAAGGAAUUCUAGACUCUGUCUAGUCCACCGUCAGAGAUUCAGCUCACACCUCAACUCACUUAAGGAAGGAAGCUCAGCACCAAGAAUCAGGAUGUCGAUGGUCAACCAACCCAUCGCUGACUUCUCAUCUCCUUCUGCGAUCCAUAUCUCAUUGGGACCGCAAGCGGAGAUUGGAGAUAUCGACUUUGAGAUCUAGCCAUCGCUAAUCCGUAUGGUGCAAGCUAGUACAUUUAGUGGGAAACCACAUGAGGAUGCAAACACACGCCUUCAAAACUUUCUAGAAGUGUGUAGCUCCAUCGCUAUCAAAGGAGUCACAGCGGGAGCCAUCUGCCGUCGCUUAUUCCCAUUCUCUCUGCUUCGGAAAGCAAAGCAAUGGUUCUAUGCUCUCCCUGAUGAUGUUGACACAUGGAGCAAGUGUGCUACAACAUUCCUCAGCAAGUUCUUCCCAAAGAGCAAAACAUCAGCUCUAUGGGCAAGAAUUUCCAGCUUCCGUCAAAAGGCAGAAGAGACCAUUCCCGAAGCAUGGGAACGUCUCCAGGAGUACAUUCGGGAAUGUCCUUGUCAUGGAAUCAAGGAAUGGCUGCUGAUCCAAGGUUUCUACUAUGGGCUAACACCAGACACCCGUAGUCACCUUGAUACUGCUGCAAGAGGAUCAUUCACAUCCCUCAAUGUCGCACAAGCAAAGAAGCUCAUUGAGAACAUUGUGACAAAUCAAGAGUGGAAUGAUGAAUGUCCUAAACCCAAGAAAAGAGGCACUCACACCAUUGAGGAGGUGAAAGCCAUCUCUCAAAAGAUGGAACUCUUGAUGAAGAAUAUAGAAGAAACAUCCAACUUCAAGAAAGAUCGAGAGGCCAUCCAACAAUACACCUCAGCACGUGCCAUUGAAACAAUCCAAAGGUGCGAGGUGCAGGAAGAAACUCUAGAGGUCGUCUCCGCAUUUGACAAUGGGCAACCACGACAAAGCGGACCGACCCAACGCUUCCAAGGCCAAGGUAAUUUUCAAAAAUCUAGUUGGCCUACGCUUAGAGAUCUUGUUGUUAAUCAAGCUAAAAUUAAAGAAGGCAUAAAUAAAAGGUUGUUAGCUAACAACAAGACUCUUGAAUUAUUAACAUCUAAAAUGGACUCUCUAGCUUCUGUUGUUAAGGAUCAACAGAACUUUAACAAGGUCUUAGAGUCCUGAAGGACUCAAAUUGUUGAUUCUGUUAAUUCUUGUUAUUCCUCAAAUACGGUAACCACGAGAGGGGGUAAGACCACUCGUGGUCCACCAUAAAUCCUAACAUGAUAAGGAAACCAGCAAGGAAGGACAAGCAGGAUGUCGCACCUAGUUUUCUAAAGAAUACCAAGCGCUAACCAUAUGUAUGCCCAGGAUGUCCACAUGACACAUAUAGCGACAAAUAUGAAGAAUAUCAAGAACAAUGCUUUAUUAUAUAUCAGAACAUAGUUACAACAUGGCUUACAUCUAUUACAAAGCAUAGCGGAAACUAAUCAUAAUAUUCAAUUUGGGUGUCCAUACUCCACAGGGAUGGUUGACUGGGGGUACACUCGCCUAGUACUCUUGGAACUUCUCAAGGAACUCCGCCUUUGUAUCACCAUCUGGUACCCAUCCGGGAUUUUUGAUUAUUGAAUGUAAAGCAAGUGUGAGCGCACCAUACUCAACAAGUAUAACAUGAGGGGAUGCAAGGCUCAAUUGCAUGACUUGGUUUGACUGCGAUAAGCAUUUUUAGUUUGUCAUAUUUUAUUAUUAGACCUGUGUUGCUAGGUUACGGUUAAGCUCCCAAGGUGAGAACUAUAAUUAACAUCAACAUUACUCAUCACCCAAAGCAUCCAUAGAACCAUGUAUCUCAAAAAGGAUCCAGGCAGCUCGUUUCCGUGAGCAUGGUUGAUAUAUUAGUUUUAAAACACUCUGCAGAGCUUGUACACUUUCACCAUGAGUCGUGUUACCCAAAUGCCCGAGCUGAUCAGCCUCUUGACCCACUUCCAAGGUAAGUUGGCAGGGUUCACUAUGAAGCCUUUCGAAAGUCCCCCUAACAUGUUAGCAGCCGCUAGGUUUCAGUGGCAAGUGUGCAUAGGUGUCCUCCUCUAAGAGGCACAUGUGGUCGCGGCACUGUACACACCACGGUAGGAAGACAACUAUACACCACGAGGCACACUCCUCCUGCGCCUUUCAGUAACCACUAACAAGUUAGAGAAGUUCAGUUUACUAAGCUAAAGCCAGAGCCAUGUAGCUCUCAUGGCUGUACGGUAAGUCCAGGGUGGCCGCUUUAAGAUUCAGUCCUUACGGAUGGUAGACUAGAGCACCCAAAAAGGCCCAAUGCUCUAGCCCCCUUCUGUCCAUGUUGAUGUUGACACCAUUUUUUAACACGUAUCUGGAAAGUUAAUAGAACUUGGAUCGGCUUAUACUUUUCUUGCGUUAAAUUGAGACAUUACUUACUAUCGGCCGAAUGCACUGUUAUAUGCAAAGAUGAUGUAGUCCGAUACAUGUUAUCAAUGCCGAUUAUGAGUGGUAGAAUCGGAAAGUGGAUAUUAGCAUUGUCGGAAUUUGAUCUACGCUACGAAUCGGCUAAAGCGGUUAAAGGGUAGAUUAUGGCUGAUUUUGUAACUCACCAUUGCGGCAUUAUGGAUGUUUUGGAAAUUGUUCCUUGGACGCUCUUCUUUGAUGGAUCUACAUGUGACCGAGGGGCAGGAAUUGGUAUAAUACUAAUUUCUCCUAGGGGAAAGAAAUAUCAAUUUUCUUUGCCGAUUGUUGCCAUGUCAACAAAUAAUCAAGCUGAGUACCAAGCUAUGAUCAAAGGAUUAGAAUUAUUAAAGGAGGUUCAUGCCGAUGCUGUUGAAAUUUUCGGUGAUUCUAUGCUUGUUAUAAACCAAUUGGCUGGAAUUUAUGAAUGCCGAAGUGAGGUGUUGGUAGCUUAUUAUGAAAGAUGCGUACAACUGUUAAAGGAACUCAAGCAUUUCCAAUUAAAGCAUAUUCCUCGGUUGCAUAAUGAUGAAGCCAAUCGAUUGGCUCAACACGCCUUGGGAUAUCAACCCAUCUUGAACAUAUUAUCGGCAGUCAGUGCCGAUGAUUGGAGAAAGGAAAUUAUUGAUUAUUUAAAAGAUCUGUCCAGGAAAGUUUAGAAACGUGUUAGGUUUCAAGCCACAAAGUAUGUACUCCUCGAAGAAGAGUUGUAUUAUCGGACGAUAGAUGGAGUCUUGCUCAAGUGUUUGGUUGAUGAUGAAGCUAGGAGCUUGAUGGGUGAAAUUCAUGAUGGAAUGUGUGGAGCACAUCAAUCGGCUUUCAAGAUGAAAUGGAUGAUUAGGAGAAACGGAUAUUAUUGGCCUACUAUACUUGUAGAUUGCUUUAAAUACUUUAAAGGAUGUCAAGGAUGACAGAAGUUUGGCAAUAUUCAAAGGGCACCCGCAUCAGCCAUGAAUCCCAUUGUUAAACCUUGGCCGUUUUGGGGUUGGGCUAUUGAUCUCCUCGGGCAAAUUUAUCCGCCAUCAAGCAAAGGGCAUAAGUUUAUCUUAGUUGCCACCGAUUAUUUCACUAAAUGGAUUGAGGCUGUUCCCUUGAAGAAAGUGACAUCGGCCAAUAUGAUCGAUUUUCUAAAGGAGCAUAUUGUUUACCAAUUUGGUAUUCCCCAAACAAUUACUACGGAUCUGGGUACUAUGUUUACAUCAGGGGAGUUUGAUGAAUUUGCAAUCGGUAUGGGGAUUAAAGUGUUGAAUUCUUCUCCUUAUCAUGCUCAAGCUAACGGAUAGGCCGAAGCUUCUAACAAAGGGAUUAUUAAGCUAAUUAAGCUGAAAAUUGAAGAAAAUCCUAGAAGAUGGCAUACAUUGUUGAAUAAAGCUUUAUGGUCAUAUCGGAUGGCAUGUCAUAGUUCAACCAAAGUAUCACCUUAUCAGUUGGUGUAUGGGCAUGAUGCGGUAUUGCCAUGGGAAAUUAAAACUAGUUACAGACGGUUGUUUUCUCAGGAUUAGCUAACUGUCGAUGACUAUGCCACUUUGAUGAAAGAUGAGUUGGAUGAUUUGGCAGAGCAUCGGUUGAGGGCUUUGAUAAGCAUAGAAGAAAAUAAAAAGAGGGUUGCUAGAUGGUCUGAUAAAAAGGUAAAAGCCAAGGAGUUUGCUGAUAGGGAUUUGGUAUGGAAAUUGAUUCUACCGAUUGGGACUAAAAGUUCAAAGUUUGGAAAAUGGUCUCCUAAUUGGGAAGGUCCUUAUCGGAUAAAUCGAUCCAUUCCUGGUAAUGCUUAUAUUUUAGAAACUCUCAGAGGAGUCAAAUUUCCCAGAGCAUUAAAUGGAAAAUAUUUAAAGAAGUACUACCCAAGUAUCUGGAUUGAUGCAUGAAAGUUUAAAUGCCGAUAAUAGUCCUAUUGGCUGGAUGGAAUGUUAAGUGUAUCUGGAGCCAUGUAUAAAGUUUUAAUGCCGAUAAUAAUCCUAUCGGCUGGACCAAAAUGACUAAGGUUCUCGGAAGCAGAACUAAGCAAGUUGCCGAUGAAGAAUUCACAGAUUCAGUAGGGCCUGUAUGGCUGAUAUGGCGCACAGACGAAUCUGGUUGGCCUCUUCUAUUUCUCCAGUAUCUUCAUCGACAGAGCCCUCUAUCGGCUUCAGCUUCUUCUUCAUCUGCAGUGCUUUGCGGGCUUGGACAUCUCUUUCUUGCUGAAGAGUUUUGAGCACUUUAGGCAGCUGGCUUUCUUCUUGGUGAGCUUGAGUCUAGGCCUCUUCUAUUUGUUUGAGUUUAGCUAGCAGGGCUUCUCUUCUUGCCGAUAGAUCGGAGAUCUUUUGUUUUAGCUCAUCCCCUAAGGACUGCAGAAUGUCGAUGCUCUUGUGUUUCUCAUCGGCAGCAUGCUUUACUUGCAUCAUUUCCUCUGUGAGCCGGGCGUGAGCAGCUCUAUCGACAAGACGCUGAGUGGCCUUCUGAUACUGGAGCUGGUGUUGGCAUUUCUUAAUGUCAUCACUAAGAACAGGGUUUAAUCCGUCCCGAGCAACGAUGUCAGAAAUGUCGUGAUAACACUUACUAAUGCAAUCACCAAGAUUAGAGUAUAAAUCUAUCCUAAGCAACGGUGCCAGAAAUGCUUGUUAGUAUUUCUUUGCAUCGCUACCUAGAAUAGGGUUCUGCUCUACUCAUGAUAAUGACAUUGGCAGUGUUAUAUUGGCAGAUCCGUAGCAUCACCACCUUGAAUAGGGAGCUAGAUCUACCUUCCCGAUAAAGGCGCCUUACUACCGUUAGGGUAGGGUUCCUGUCCUUAAUCAUGGUAGUGGCACUAGGAUUGCCAUGUUGGUAUUCCUUAACAAGUCAUUAGCUCGGCGCAUGUCUAGCAACAGUGUUAAGUAUAUACUGGGGUGAUAGUUCCUUAGGUUUGGAGUUUAAGUACUGCAAGCGGACGGGAAUUAUCGUGUAGCAUUUCAACCCGGGGAUUUACCGAGUGUCGUAUUUAUAGGUUCACUCUAAGGAAGGGUUAAUAUGUUAAGGAUUCUAAGAUAAGCAUAGAUCAAAGUAAUUAUAAUAGCAAUAAUGGAAUCAAAUGUCAUAGCAGGUGAUAAACAUUUAUAUGUAGAAUAGUGAUCCAUCACAAUCUAGGCAUGGCAUAUGGGCUAAGGAAUAAAAAGAGACUAAAAGAAUGAAUUGAAUCAAAGAAUAAACAAACAACCUUUUGGAGCAGGUGUGGUCCUAGAUACAGAUCAUGUCAUAGAACAAGUUAAUCAUGUAAUUAUACUACUUAGAUCUAGUCCUGUGUUUAGAUGGUUUAGGAGGUUACGCGAGUACUGGCCUGCCAGCAACCUCCGCAACUAUUUAGACUCCUACACCCUAGCCAAACGUGGGGGAAUGCCAAGGACGGACAGGGCUGUCACCACCUGCCGCCAUCCCCUCAACCGUGGACUAGGACAAUGCAUUUACCCGGCCUUUACACCCAAGCACCAUGCUUACAGGCAAAGAACCUACUCAGACUACCCCGGGUCCCCGACCCUACGGACCGACAGGUAAGAAGCCUGAGCCUACUCAAAAGAGCAUGAUAAACCCCCAUCUUCACACAAAGCUAUUUCUAGGCAAUUAAUUAACAUGAAGCAAUUAGACUAAAGUCCUAAGUGAAAAUAAUACAACAUACACUUAGCACUAGUUCAUAUAAUACACUACUAGUCCUAGGGUAGCAUUAGACUAUAAGAACUAUAUACUAAAAUGUAUGUCAUAUCAUUUUCACUAGAACUAUAUUCUAGUUCAUAUGCUAGCAUCAUAAAACAGGGCCUAUGAUCUAUGUCAUAUACCAUAGCAUAAGAACUAUACUCUAGUUCAUAUGAAGAACUAUAUCGGACAUGAUAAGGCAUGGACUUGGAGUAAAGAUAUUCUUAUUCAUACCCAAGUUUCUCUCCAAGGAGCCAAGCCCUCCUUGAUAGCUCACGCAACUCUCUCUAAAAGCUAAAAGGAAAAAAACUAAGAAGAGGUAGUGCCCAAGUGCCUUGAAGGUGGAGUGUUGAUUGUGAAUGUGAUGAGAUGAAUGGAGCCUCCCUCUCCCCCUCCUUAAAUAGGUGGGGAAGGUCGGUUCCCUAGGGUGUAAACUGCAAUUUGCAUGCGGGGACUACGGGAGGAUAGGCUCAGCACCGCCUCUGCGAAAGGCGGUGCCGAGAUGGGCUGGGCCAGGGUCGGCCGACCAUAGGGGGCGCCCGCCCCCUGGUGGGCCCCACUGGCCCCGGCCCGAAGCCCGUUGCCUUCCUCUCGGGCCCCUGAGUCCAGAUCCACCUGCAAAUUGAUGCACUUCUAUAUUGGGCUUUUGGGUACUUGUUUAUUUGCACAUUUUUUUGACGUGUCGGAUUGCGCCUUUUUAUUCGCUUUCCACCUGUAUGCCUGUAUAUGAUCUGCAAAACACAACUUGCACUACAUGUGGAACUUGGUAAGUAUUUAAUAAGUAUAUGUGAGUAAAAUAUAUGCUUUUCUUCCUUUGCAUGGACUAUGUUGGCGGGGUAAAUAUGUCAUUAAGAACCGCCAACAGCUGGCGGCUUUCCAAAUGAGCAGCUUGAAAGAGGAUCUCUUCAGCAUCUGCUGGGAUCUAACCACGAAGGGUCAUGAAUAAAGCCUUGUCUAGAUCAGAAUCAUCUACUAGCUGAGCUGUGUCUUGAUGCAGUAGAGCUAACCCGAUCUUCCAACUUGGCUCUGAUUUCUGCUGAUGAGAUCCCGACUGCCUAAGAAGAACUUGCUUCUUCACCUUCGUCAUCGGAAAUUUCGAUGGCAAAGGAAAAUAGAUUGUCCGGGGAGUCUUGUUCCUAAAAAGGAGGAGGAUAAGUAACUCAAAGAUCAAGUAUUAAUGAUAUGAAGACCAGAGAUCAAAUAACUUACUUGCAUCAAAGUGAUUUCCUGCCUUUGGCGUGGAGAUGCAGCUGGUACUAUGGUUUGAUCGGCUGAAGUUGACGAUGGAAUGACUUCAACUGAAAAGUUACAAAGAUGAUUAUUGUAACACCCUAGGUGUUAAGCAUGCACUUAGUCUCAUAAACUCAUCCAUAAGCAUUAUCAUCAAGCAUAGCAUUGCAUGAACAUGUCCUUCAUUCAAUUGUGAUUUUAUGUGCUUUGUUUUAUAUGAAUUAAAUAUGGUAAAAAUAUUAUGCUUACUUCUAAAUUUCUCGAAAUGCCCAAAUCAGGUUGAAAUAUGUGUUAGAAGAUUUAAGAAUAAUUUUGUGAAAUUUUUGGAGCUAUAGGAAUUGAGAAAUGGAAUUUAUACAAAAAUCCCUAAAAUGAAUUUAUUAAAAACCUAGAACAAGUUUUAAUUUGUGAUUCAAAUUCUAUUUGGAAUUUGGCUUUGCUUAUUAAAACAAAGUUGUAGGGAAUUUUAUGGGGAACAAUUCUUCUUUUUACUCCAACCCAUAAAAAGAUUUGUAAAAGCUUCAAAAGUCUCAUUUAAGCUUUUUGUGAAAAUAAUUUCAAAAAAAAGAGAGAAAGGGGGCAGGCGCUGCUGGGCCGACCCGCCUCCCUUUCGGCCCACAACGCGGCCCGGUUUCCCCUCCCUCUCUCUCCUGCGCGCGGACGCCCGCCUUCGUCCACCCGACGCCGGCCACGUGGCGGCCGUACGUCGGCGUUGUGGACGCGCCGCGGCCGACCGGCCUUAACCUGGUCGGGACGCCGCCCCGUGCCCCCAGGCCACUCCAUUCUGUCCCCUCCCCACUCCCCUCUCCUUCCUCUGCUCGUGAGCGCCGCAGACGUAGCAGCUCCGCCGCAGCGCCAUCGCCGGAGAGCUCCGCCGCUCAACGCCGGCCACACCAGUGAUUUAUCCUCGGCGCCAAAACCACCACCACACUCGUCUUCGCCGCGGUAAGCCUCUGCGCAUGCUGUACCGAGGUGAGAGACCGCCGCACGCCAUGAAUCGCUCGCCGUAGUUUCCCCGACCUCGUCGGAGUGCUCCACCGUGUCAAACCUCGCUCGUUUCUACCUCGUUUCGCUUGCUUUUGGGCGCGUUAGGUCCGUAGCUCGACGAGAAAGCCUCGGUGGAACCCCGCGCGCGCUCUACCGUACCAGAGCGGCCUGGCCACGGCGAGCAGCGCCACAGUGCCGCCAUGCAUGCUCGCGAGGGUGCUCCGGUCAUCUUUCGGCCAGUCCAACGGCACCUUCGGGUGCGCCUCGCUGCGGGGAGCACAUUGGUGCUCACCCCGUGGCCGGAGACCUCGCCGUCGGCGAGAGCCGGCCGGCCGAAGUCAGCCGGAGUGCGGUGUGGCUGACCCAUGGGGCCACGACCCCUUGGUCCCGCCUGUCAGUGCCUCUGCGGGUGUGGAUCCGGGUGGAUCUAGUGUUUUCCGUCGGUUUUUCUUAAAUAAAGGUUUUCAGAAUUUGAUUAAAUCUUGUAUAUUUCAUAACUUGAGUUCUACAGCUCCAAAAUUGAUGAAAUAAAUUUGAUGAACUCUAUAAUUCCAGAUCUAUAGUUUGGUAUGGUUGCAUGUCAUGUUUGAACAACUUUUCUGUACAAAUAUAUUUAAUCCAUGUUUUUGCUAAAAUUUGGAAAAUGCAUAGUAAUUAAAAUAUAGUUCCGAAAAAUAUGAAACUUGUUUUGUUGGUUCUGCAUGGAUGAGUAGGCUCUGGGAAAAAUAUGUUACACAUUAUUUGCUGUGUGAGUUAGUUUAUUGUGAUUUAAAUGCUGGCAUGGUAGUGGUUUAUGAUUUUUAAUAAAUAAUUGGAUAAUGCAAUUAAUCUGGAAAUUUUUGUGGGUAAUUCUUAUGUUAAUAAGUUAAUUACAAAAAUAUGAAAUCUGCUGUUUGACACUUACACAACAGUAGGAUAAUUAUACUUAAUUAUAUGGGUUAGUCUUGUAAUUUUAUAGCCCAAAAUAAAUGUCCAAAUAUUAUGAAAAAUUUAUAGUAGACUUUAUGAUCGACUAGUAGUCUACUGUAAUUUUUGUGGAAUAUUGAUAAACAGAAAUAUAUGCUACUUUUGUAGGCCUAAAAGUGGAUAAAUAAAUUAUGAAUUGUUAUAUAUAGAUUAAAUAAAGUAAGAGGGUGUUUGGUGUAUCUUUGAAGCAUCAUGUGAGCUUGCUGGUUAACCAUGAAGACAACUUGUAGAAGAGAAUGUAAUAGAUGUGUAGUUCGAUUACAUGUUCUUGGAUGAUGUUGACUACCUUGUAGAAAUGACCACCUAUAUCAUCUAUACACCAGGUCAUAGUCAUCUGUUACCCACUUGCAUAAGCAUUUCAUCUCGGGCAUCUUGCACUCCACUCAUGAGCAUACAUACAUCAUACAGGCUCGUAGGAGAACGAGGUGGGACCCGAGGAGCCGGAGGAGACCCAGGAACAGGAACCUCUGGGAGGACCAGAGCUCGGAGAAGAGCUACAGGAGUGCCCGGAUCACAAACCGAGCACGUUUAAGAAAGGAAAGCCCCGGAGCAUUCUAAGUCUCCCUAUUCUCGCUAACAUAAAUGAUAUAUUAUGCUUGUUCUACUAUGUUGCAUUUAAGUGAUAGGAAUUGCUUGAUACCGUUGAUGCAUAUGUACUCCUUGCUAUCACCACUUGUUAUCUACCUUGUCCUAUGUAGAUAGACACAGAGUCUAUGCUUAGUUUGCUUAGUCUGGUAGAAGUCGGUUGAUUCCCUAUCACCUGCGAGAUAUAGGUGGACACCUGUUUGAUUAGCUGUAAAUGCUAUGGGGAAGAAUAACCAAGUGUGGUAAGGAAUUUGAGACCGGGCAGGGUCUUGUGGUGGGUUGAUCAUAGUGCCCCUGCCUGUGUUGAUUAAGGACCGAUCGUUGACGGCCCUCUUGUCAUGUGGAACGCAUGCCCCACACUUAGCUGGAAGGAUAAGUCGUUCCAACCGCGAAGCCUUAACACUGUCCGGGCCCGGAGUCGAGCCGCCGUGCGCUGUAUUGGUGAUGGUUGAGGAGAACAACAAGGGCGCGGUGCGCAACCUUGGUAUACCUUGGAUACCGCGAUCGCCGGAACGGUCCUCAGGUACUGGCGGUGCCUGCCGAACCCGCGAAUUGGUCCUGGAUAGUGUAACACGGUGAUCCGUAGCUCACUUGAUCAGUGAGUGUGGUUUAUGUGGGGAAUAACUCGCCAGCUGGUUAGAAAUCGAUUCAAAUCGCCAUCGCUCCUGGAUAGUGAGCACUUGACAUGAGCACUUGGGUUAUGAUGAUAAAUGGUUUAUGAAUGCUAUGAUGAGGUAUCAUCAUAUUUCUACACUUGUUUGUAGUAGUACAGGUGCAAACCUAGAUAAUAGGUAAUGAUAUUAUCAAACUUGAGCUAAUUAAAAGAAGAAUGGUCUCUAGGCUAUGCUUAGUGGAAUAAUGCUUUUAUGCAAAAAGUCUCAGCUACCCCACUAUACAGCCUUCACGAUCCUCGAAGAGUCUUUAUUUUUGGUUUAUGACGGGUAAGUCUAGCUGAGUACAUUCUCGUAUUCAGGGUUCUAUUCCCAUGUUGUUUUGCAUAUGGUCAAAUGUACUAUGGUUAUUGCAUCCUCUGCUUGUACCCAGCCAUGGGCGAUGACUAGACCAAGGGCGAUGGUCACUCUACCUUCUCUUUUGCUUUUGUGGGAAUGACCAAACUAUGGCACUGUAUCAAACUGAAUGUGUGUGUGUUACUUUCAAACUAUGAAGCUUUCGCUACUUGAGAACUUGGAUUGUAAUAAAUUUUAAGUACUCCGAUGUAUUUAAUGAAUGUUGUAAACUGAAUGUAACUAUGGAUGGUAGCCGCUAAACUUAUUACGAUAUUGGUUGUAUGUGCGAUAUGUGGUUUGAAAUCCUUCGAGAUUUCACGGACUACCGUGAUGAUAUGGGCUUAAUCUCGAUGGUUUGACUAUGCAAAUGGUCACUAUUAGGCUUAAUCUCUUAUAAUUUGGACGGUUCUGUUACAGCUGGCAUCGGAGCAAGGUUUAGCGAGUUACUAUUCAUAAGUACGUUCUAAACUAAACUUAAACCGGUUUAAUAGAAGAUUAUUAUAAAUCAAAUGGUAAUCAAGGUGUCAAACUAAGUUUUUGGAAAACUAUCUAGUGUGCCAUGGUCAUAUCCUUUAUGCCCAGUUAAGGACUCUAAGGUGGCUAGUUAAGUACUGACUUGGGGGUUAAUGCAUCAUAUUUCUAUUUCGUCGCUCAUACGGCGUGCAAUAGUACGAGUACCAUUCAUUUGAGUGGUAAUAUAUAGAUCAAUUCUUCCUCUACGCCUCGGUAAGUGGGAGCUGUGAGAGCAUGAUCGGAUACACUGCCGAUUUAGGGAAGUGUUGUUAGGUGCUGUGUCAUGCACACAUGUUUGGUGUGCCUGGGAACAGUACCGCAUGUUGAGAGAUUCCGUCCUAAGAGGCGAUGCUGUCACUAGGGCGAUGAUGUGGGUAGUAACACGCCAUCUGCAUGGACGGGGUGUCUAUGUGUGUGGGGUGUAUAGCUUUAAAUUCUUGUUCUACAUGUUCAUACUGUGGUUGGGCUGAAAUGAGUUUUCUGCAGGUACACUAACCAUGUUCUCGCCUAGAACGCUAGUUACGUUAUGAGAGAACGUUGUGUGCCACCGCAUAUACCGAUUAGUGUUAACUUUUGUUUCUAAGUUUGUGAGAUCGUAAGUUUGUGCAUGCAUCAUGUUCAUUUCAUAUCAAUGCUUACUUCCUCCCCUUAAUUUAAUCUGUCCCAAUUCCAAAUAAGAUAAUAAAAGAUAAUCCUCAAUCUUACCUAAGGUAUUCUCUUUGCAGCAGAUGGCACGCACUAGGCUCACCGCUCGCAAGUCCACUGGUGGGCGGGCCCCUCGCCAUCAGUUGGCAGCCAGGACCUCGCGUCAUAAGAGCAAGUUCCUAGAGGAGUUUGGGAUACCCACCUUGCUUUCGAGGGUGCUCAGUUUGAUUGGGUAUCCCGAAGGAAGGGAACCUCGCUACUAUUGGAACAAGGAGCAGCUUGGUGACGGGACCCUGGUGGGGAUCGAGGCAGUGGUCCCUACCAGUGGAGGUGACCCCGCCUGGGGCGGCUAGGUGUACGAGUCCCGAGGUAUCACGCCUUUCCACAGUGCUAGCAGAGCAGCUUUUGCAGUUCUGAGGGACCUCAUGGAGAGGUUUCCACAUGAGCUGGCCCACGCCUUCGCUGGGGUGUUUCCCCGGGGUGACCCCUACACUUCGUGUGGGAUCAGUCCGAGGUGAAUGCUCUAGAGAGGAGUGCGGAUGAGGACCAGCACAGUGACAGUGUAGCUAUGAGUGCUAUGUUCGCCUUGAUGAAGACCUAUGGGGGUCUGAAGCGUUGUUUGGGAUGCUUGUCUGGGUCCCUUCUCACAGUUCAUGAUGAGAAGCGCCAGCUGCAGCGUGAGUUUGACACUGAGGUUGAGAGGUUGCAGGCAGAGUUGGCCCGCAUGACCCGAGAGAGGGAUCAGGCGGUCCAGAAUAACAGUGAGCUAAGUCAGGACCUGCUCGCAGUGAGAGAGCAGAGGGACAGGGUGACUACUGCUCACAGGAACUGUGAGCGCAUGCUAGUUCAUGUGCUUGGUCAGAGGAAUGAAGCCUGGCACGAGGAGGACACCCUGAGGGCCCGACAGCUAGAGCUUGAGCAGCAGCUAGCUAAUGCUGAGGAGUACAAUGAGAACCUGCAUGAGAAGAUCCACCAGCUGCAUAACCAGCUCCACCCUCACCACCUGCCUGGAGCAGCUGAGUUGGACACUGAGGAUGAGAUGGAUGAGGAUCUAGAGAUAGAGGCAGCUGCUAGUGGAGAUGAGGACGAGGAAGGCUCCGGCAUGGAUAGCGACCAUAGCGAGUAGAUGCUAUAGCUGUAGAGCUAGUCCUUCUUAUUUUGUUGUUGUUGUUGCAUGGCAUGUCUUGUAAUCUGUGGAUCUGGGCGGUGUAAAACUUUAUGUGAUGACGCUGAAAGUCCAGUGUAUGUAUGCUGGCAAUUUUGGAUGUAUGCGAACCUGGUUGCUUGAAUGUUAAGUACUUCGCUAGUGAUGUUGUGUGGAUGAUGAAUUGUUGUGCCUCUGUUUAUUGUGCGAAUUCAUUUUCCUCAGUAAAUCCAGUACGACAUAAUUCUACAUAUGUCUACCGUUGAUGGCAACUCCUAAUGACUGCUUAUGAUUGACGCGUGCAGAUGGUGUAAACAAGUGGCGGGGGUAAUAGCAACCCCGAACUUGGAGCAGGUUCUUCCGGAGGUGGGGCUCAACGGAAUGAGGAAAGAGCACCAUCAUCGCCACCACCACUGCCUCCUCCGUACACUGCGGACGUGUUUUCUCGCAGUUUCUGGGGAGCCAACGCAACAUGGAGCAGAUGCAGCGCAACAUAGAAGAAGCCCUGCGUAAUAUCGCUGACAAUACCCGCCAUGGGGAUAACCAGGGCAGCCGUGAAGCCAAUCAGUACAGCUCUUUCAAGGACUUCAUGCAUACCAAACCACCUAUCUUCAAGGAGGCCUUAGAACCGCUCGAGGCAGAUGAGUGGAUCAACACCAUGGAGCAAAAGUUCCGUCUUCUUCGGAUGACUGAUGAACUUAAGGCUGAGUAUGCAGCGCAUCAGUUGCAGGGACCUGCUGGGAUUUGGUGGUCCCAUCAUCGUACCACCUACCCAGAUGGGACCCCAAUCACCUGGAACCGCUUCACCACCGCUUUUUGGGGAAAUUACAUUCCUCCGAGUGUGGUGGAAAUGAAGGUUGGAGAAUUUAUGAGGCUGUCCCAGGGAACGAAGUCUGUGAAGGAGUAUCUACACGCUUUUAACAAUCUUGCUCGUUACGCACCCGAGUAUGUGAACACGGAAGCCAAGAAGAUCGCUAGUUUCUAGAGAGGCCUGAGCCCAAAGAUGCUGAAGACCAUGGGUACAGGAGCCUGGGCUACCUUCAAUGCCUACAUUAGUGACUGUCUGACCCAGGAAAACAAUAUCAACAACUAUAGUGCGUCCAAGUCUCGUAAGAGGGAUUUUGAAGCCGGGUCAUCUCAGUCUAGGGCACCGGUGGCAGGGCGACAGCAGUAUCGUCCUCCUGCCCCAGGUGCUAGGUUCCGACUGCCGCAGAGAAGGAACACCGGGCAUCCAAUGCAACAGAAGCCGUACAAGGUAGCAAUAGCUCCCACCAACCUAAAGGCAAUUCAAGCUGCAGCACCAGCCGCCAACAAUACGACCAAGGGACCGUGCUACAACUGCCACAAGAUGGGGCACUUUGCUAAGGAAUGUCCCUAACCCAAGAGGCAGCAGACGACCUACCCAGCUUGAGUGCACCAUACCUCGACAGAGGAGAUCCCGGAAGGAGAACCGGUAACAGCUGGUAUGUUUCCUAUCAACCAACAUCUUGCAGUUGUUUUGUUUGAUUCUGGAUCAUCGCAUUCAUUCAUGAGCCAAGCAUUUGCACAAAAGCAUAACCAAGCAGUUACAGAUCUAGGUUAUGUCUAUCGCAUCAGCUCAGCAGGGGCAGAUGUGUUGACAAAUAGAGUGGUCCGAAGGCCAACCUUGGAUAUAAGUAACCGGGUGUUUCAAGUAAAUCUGGUAGUCAUGCCUGGGUUAGUUUUGGAUGUUAUCAUGGGCAUGAACUGGAUGAAAGAGUGGGAUGCUGUCAUAGAUACUGGAAAGAGGGUGUUAUCUCUCAAAGAACCCCUAGGCAGUGGAUCUUUUCGAGUACCUCUGCCCCAUCGCUUUGACUUGGCUAGCAUCUCUUGUGCUACGCACGUUGUUCCUCUACCACAGAUCCCAGUAGUAUGUGAGUUCCUUGACAUUUUUCCUGAGGAAUUGCCAGGACUUCCCCCAGAUAGGGAAGUAGAGUUUGCAAUCGAGUUUAUACCAGGCACCGCACCGAUAUCUAGAAGGCCAUACCGGAUGCCGCCAAAUGAAAUCGCUGUGUUGAAGAAUCAACUAAAGGAGUUGUUAGAUAAAGGGUUCAUCCAGCCAAGUUCGUCGGAAUGGGGUUGUCCUGUGUUGUUUGUGAAAAAGAAGGAUCAAUCGUUGCGCAUGUGCGUGGACUAUCGUCCACUCAAUGCGGUAACAAUCGAGAAUAAGUAUCCAUUACCAAGGAUUGAUAUCCUGUUUGAUCAGUUGUCCAAGGCCAGAGUAUUUUCCAAUGUAGAUUUAAGGUCCGGGUAUCAUCUAAUCAAGAUCCGUCCGCAAGAUAUCCCAAAGACUGCCUUUUCCACCAGAUAUGGGUUGUAUGAAUAUUUUGUCAUGUCCUUUGGAUUGACAAAUGCUUCUGCAUACUUCAUGUAUCUGAUGAACUCAGUCUUUAUGCCAGAGCUAGACAAGUUUGUUGUGGUGUUCAUCGAUGACAUUCUGGUUUAUUCAGGGAAUGAACAGGAUCACGCUGAGCAUCUAAGAGUCAUGCUAACACGACUGCGAGAGCAUCAGUUAUAUGCGAAGUUCAGCAAGUGUGAGUUCUGGCUGAAGAAGGUUCCUUUCCUAGGGCACAUUCUGUCUGAAGAGGGGAUUGCUGUGGAUCCGUCAAAGGUACAGGAAGUCAUGGACUAGAAGGCACCAACUUCUCUCUUAGAAGUUCGGAGUAUUCUUGGCCUGGCCGGGUAUUAUCGUCGUUUCAAACCCGACUUCUCCAAGAUUGCUAAGCCAAUGACUAGUUUGCUGCAAAAGGAUCAUAAGUUUUUUUGGACAGAGGAGUGUGAACUAGCCUUCCGCACCUUGCGAAAGUUGCUAACCACCACCCCCGUUCUAGCGCAACCCAAUAUCGAGAAGCCUUUUGAUGUGUUUUGCGACGCAUUGAAAAGAGGAUUAGGAUGUGUGCUAAUGCAAGACGGCAGAGUUAUAGCUUACGCUUCACGACAAUUGAGAAAGCACGAAGUCAACUACCCGACUCACGACCUCGAGUUAGCAGUAGUGGUGCACGCUUUGAAGAUCUGGAGGCACUAUUUGUUGGGAAACAAGUGUCAUAUCUACACAGAUCAUAAAAGUCUGAAAUACAUCUUCACUCAGUCCGAUCUGAAUAUGAGGCAAUGAAGGUGGUUAGAGCUGAUCAAGGAUUACGAUCUGGAAGUCCACUAUCAUCCAGGCAAAGCUAAUGUGGUAGCGGACGCAUUAAGUCGCAAACCGCACUAUCAAGUGGUACAACCGUUGUUUGAGGAUGGCUUCAAUCUCCUACAUCCUGAAGUCUUAUGUCACAUACAACUCAGUUGUUCACUUGAAAGUCAAGUCAUCGAGGGUCAGAAAAUAGACAAGGGUAUUUUCCACAUCAAAGAAAAGAUCAAAAACAACCCAAAGACUCAAUUCCGAGUUGAUGAAAAAGGGGUAUUGUGGUUUCAGCACCAGCUGGUAGUUCCAAAGAAUCGAGAAUUAAAGAAUCGCAUUAUGGAUGAAGCACAUCUCUCCAAGCUUUCCAUUCAUCCUGGCAGUAGUAAGAUGUAUCAAGACCUGAGAUCUCACUUUUGGUGGACUAAAAUGAAGAAAGAGAUAGCAGCAUAUGUGGCCCGUUGUGACACAUGUUGCAGAGUCAAGGCUAUACAUAUGAAACCUGCAGGACUGUUGCAACCGUUGUCAGUUCCAGAGUGGAAAUGGGAAGAAGUUAGUAUGGACUUUAUCACAGGUUUACCGACGACAAGAAAAGGGAAUGACUCGAUUUGGGUAAUCAUAGAUCGAUUAACCAAGUCGGCUCAUUUCAUUCGUGUUAAGACUCGUUACAGACCUCCCGAGUAUGCUGACCUGUAUCUAGCUGAGAUUGUUAAGUUGCAUGGUAUUCCCAAGACCAUCAUAUUAGACAGGGGACCGCAGUUCAUCGCUCAUUUCUAGGAGUGAAUGCAUAAGAGUUUGGGGACUAGUCUGAUAAGAAGCACAGCGUAUCAUCCCCAAACCUCGGGUCAAACGGAAAGACUCAAUCAAGUGCUAGAAGAUAUGCUGAGGGCUUGUGUCUUAUCAUCCAAGGGAUCAUGGGAAUCAUGGUUGCCUUUGGCUGAGUUCUCAUACAAUAAUAGCUAUCAAGAGAGUAUCAAGAUGGCUCCGUUCGAAGCGUUGUAUGGUCGUAAGUGUAGAACUCCCUUAAACUGGGUUGAACCUGGUGAAAGGAGAUACUAUGGUAUCGACUUUGUGAACGAGGCUGAGAAAAAGGUGGAAAUCAUACAGCAACAUAUGAAGGCGGCACAAUCGCGACAAAAGAGUUAUGCUGAUAAGAGAAGAAGGCCACUCGAAUUCAAUGUAGGUGACUAUGUUUACCUCAAGGUUACGCCAAUGAAGAAAGUUCAGCGUUUCCGAGUUCGAAGCAAGCUUGCACCCAGAUAUGUGGGACCAUAUCAGAUACUAGAAAGGAAAGGCCACGUCGCCUACAAGAUUCAGUUACCUGAAGAGUUGAGUUCAAUCGUCCCAGUCUUCCAUGUGUCGCAGCUACGGAAAUAUUUGAAAGUACCCGAGCAGAGGAUUGAACCCCGAGGAAUCAAGAUAAAGGCAGACUUGGAAUACAAGGAACAACCAGUUGGUAUCAUAGAUACCAAGGAGUGGGUAACCCGAAACAGAGUGGUCAAAACAUAUAAGGUGGUGUGGAGUCAUCGUGACGGUAGGGAUGCCACCUAGGAAACCGAGGAUUACCUAAGAACAGUUUAUCCAAAAUUUCAUAAGAAAUGGUUAGUAACCUAAAUCUCGGGAUGAGAUUUCCCUAAGGGGGGAAGGGCUGUAACACCCUAGGUGUUAAGCAUGCACUUAGUCUCAUAAACUCAUCCAUAACCAUUAUCAUCAAGCAUAGCAUUGCAUGAACAUGUCCGUCAUUCAAUUGUGAUUUUAUGUGCUUUGUUUUAUGUGAAUUAAAUAUGGUAAAAAUAUUAUGCUUACUUCUAAAUUUCUUGAAAUGACCAAAUUAGGUUGAAAUAUGUGUUAGAAGAUUUAAGAGUAAUUUUGUGAAAUUUUUGGAGCUAUAGGAAUUGAGAAAUGGAAUUUAUAAAAAAAUCCCUAAAAUGAAUUUAUUAAAAACCUAUAACUAGUUUUAAUUUGUGAUUCAAAUUCUAUUUGGAAUUUGGCUUUGCGUAUUAAAACAAAGUUGUAGGGAAUUUUAUGGGGAACAAUUCUUCUUUUUACUCGAACCCCUAAACAGAUUUGUAAAACCUUCAAAAGUAUCAUUUAAGCUUUUUAGGAAAAUAAUUUCAAAAAAAAGAGAAAGGGGGCAGGCGCUACUGGGUCGACCCGCCUCCCUUUCGGCCCAGCCAGACAGCGCGGCCCGGUUUCCCCUCCCUCUCUCUCCCGCGCGUGGACGCCCGCCUUCGUCCACCCGACGCCGGCCACGUGGCGGCCGUACGUCGGCGUCGUGGACGCGCCGCGGCCGACCGGCCUUAACCUGGUCGGGACGCCGCCCCGCGCCCCCAGGCCACUCCAUUCUGUCCCCUCCCUGCUCCCCUCUCCUUCCUCCGCUCGCGAGCGCCACAGCCAUAGUAGCUCCACCGCAGCGCCAUCGCCGGAGAGCUCCGCCGCUCACCGCCGGCCACACCAGUGAUCUAUCCUCGGCGCCAAAACCACCACCGCACGCCGUGAAUCGCUCACCGGAGUUUCCCCGACCUCGUCUGAGUGCUCCGCCGCGUCGAACCUCGCUCGUUUCUGCCUUGUUUCGCUUGCUUUUGGGUGCGUUAGGUCCGUAGCUCGACGAGGAAGCCUCGACGGAACCCCGCGUGCGCUCUACCGCACCGGAGCGGCCUGGCCACGGCGAGCAGCGCAGCCGUGCCGCCAUGCAUGCUCGCGAGGGUGCUCCGGUCAUCUUCCGGCCAGUCCAAAGGCAUCCUCGGGUGCGCCUCGCUGCGGGGAGCACGUUGGUGCUCAUCCCGUGGCCGGAGACCUCGCCGUCGGCGAGAGGUGGCCGGCCGAAGUCAGCCAGAGUGCGGCGUGGCUGACCCGUGGGGCCACGACCCCUGGGUCCCGCCUGUCAGUGCCUCUGCGGGUGUGGAUCUUGGUGGAUCUAGUGUUUUCCGUCGGUUUUUCUUAAAUAAAGGUUUUCAGAAUUUGAUUAAAUCUUGUAUAUUUCAUAACUUGAGUUCUACAACUCCAAAAUUGAUGAAAUAAAUUUUGAUGAACUCUAUAAUUCCAGAUCUAUAGUUUGGUAUGGUUGCAUGUCAUGUUUGAACAACGUUUCUGUACAAAUAUAUUUACUCCAUAUUUUUGCUAAAAUUUGGAAAAUGCAUAGUAAUUAAAAUAUAGUUCAGAAAAAUAUGAAACUUGUUUUGUUAGCUCUGCAUGGAUGAGUAGGCUCUGGGAAAAAUAUGUUACACAUUAUUUGCUGUGUGAGUUAAUUUAUGGUGAUUUAAUUGCUUGCAUGGCAGUGGUUUAUCAUUUUUAAUAAAUAAUUGGAUUAUGCAAUUAAUCUGAAAAUUUUUGUGGGUAAUUCUUAUGUUAACUAGUUAAUUAUGAAAAUAUGAAAUCUGCUGUUUGACACUUACACAAUAGUAGGAUAAUUAUACUUAAUUAUAUGGGUUAGUCUUGUAAUUUUGUAGCCCAAAAUAAAUGUCCAAAUAUUAUGAAAAAUUUAUGGUAGACUUUAUGAUUGACUAGUAGUCUACUAUAAUUUUUGUGGAAUUUAUUAAUAAACAGAAAUAUAUGCUACUUUUCUAGGCCUAAAAGUGGAUAAAUAAAUUAUGAAUUGUUAUACAUAGAUUACAUAAAGUAAGAGGGUGUUUGGUGUAUCUUUGAAGCAUCAUAUGAGCUUGCUGGUUAACCAUGAAGACAACUUGUAGAAGAGAAUGUAAUAGAUGUGUAGUUCGAUUACAUGUUCUUAGAUGAUGUUGACUACCUUGUAGAAAUGACCACCUAUAUCAUCUAUACACCAUGUCAUAGUCAUCUGUUACCCACUUGCACAAGCAUUUCAUCUCGGGCAUCUCGCACUCCACUCAUGAGCAUACAUACAUCAUAUAGGCUCACAGGAGAACGAGGUGGGACCCGAGGAGCCGGAGGAGACCCAGGAGCAGGAACCUCUGGGAGGACCAGAGCUCGGAGAAGAGCUACAGGAGUGCCCGGAUCACAAACCGAGCACGUUUGAGAAAGGCAAGCCCCGGAGCAUUCUUAGUGUCCCUAUUAUCGCUAACAUAAAUGAUAUAUUAUGCUUGUUCUACUAUGUUGCAUUUAAGUGAUAGGAAUUGCUUGAUACCGUUGAUGCAUAUGUACUCAUUGCUAUCACCACUUGUUAUCUACCUUGUCCUAUGUAGAUAGACACGGAGUCUAUGCUUAGUUUGCUUAGUCCGGUAGAAGUCGGGUGAUUCCCUGUCACCUGCGAGAUAUAGGUGGACACCUGUUUGAUUAGCUGUAAAUGCUAUGGGGAAGAAUAAUCAAGUGUAGAAAUGAAUUUGAGACCGGACAGGGUCUUGUGGUAGGUUGAUCAUAGUGCCCCUACCUGUGUCAAUUAAGGACCGAUCGUUGACGGCCCUCUUGUCAUGUUGAACGCAUGCCCCACACUUAGCUGGAAGGAUAAGUCGUUCCAACCGCGAAGCCUGAACACUAUCUGGGUCGGGAGUCGAGCCGCCAUGCGCUGUAUUGGUGAUGGUUGAGGAGAACGACGAGGGCGCGGCGCGCAACCUUGGUAUACCUUGGAUACCUCGGUCACCGGAACAGUCCUCGGGUACUGGCGGUGCCUGCCGAACCCGCGAAUUGGUCCUGGAUAGUGUAACACGGUGAUCUGUAGCUCACUUGAUCAGUGAGUGUGGUUUGUGUGGGUAAUAACUCGCCAGCUGGAUAGAAAUCGAUUCGAAUCGCCAUCGCUCCUGGAUAGUGAGCACUUGACAUGAGCCCUGUCCUCGUAGUAAGGACUAUAGAACACUUGGGUUAUAAUGAUAAAUGAUUUAUGAAUGCUAUGAUGAGGUAUCAUCAUAUUUCUACACUUGUUUGUAAUAGUACAGGUGCAAACCAAGAUAAUAUGUAAUGAUAUUAUCAAUCUUGAGCUAAUUAAAAGAAGAAUGGUCUCUAGGCUAUGCUUAGUGGAAUAAUACUUUUAUGCAAAAAGUCUCAGCUACCCCACUAUACAGCCUUCACGAUCCUUGAAGAGUCUUAUAAUUUUUGGUUUAUGACGGGUAAGUCUAGCUGAGUACAUUCUCGUACUCAGGGUUCUAUUCCCAUGUUGUUUUGCAGAUGGUCAAAUGUACUAUUGUUAUUGCAUCCUCUGCUUGUACCCAGCCAUGGGCGAUGACUAGACCAAGGGCGAUGGUCAUUCUACCUUUUCUUUGGCUUUUGUGGGAAUGACCGAACUUUGGCACUGUAUCAAACUGAAUGUGUGUGUGUUACUUUCAAACUAUGAAGCUUCCGCUACUUGAGAACUUGGUUUGUAAUAAAUUUUAAGUACUCCGAUGUAUUUGAUGAAUGUUGUAAACUAGAUGUAACUAUGGAUGGUAGCCGCUAAACUAAUUACGAUCUUGGCUGUAUGUGCGAUAUGUGGUUUGAAAUCCUUCGAGAUUUCACGGACUACCGGGAUUAUAUGGGCUUAAGCUCGAUGGUUUGACUGUACAAAUAGUCACUAUUAGGCUUAAUCUCUUAUAAUUUGGACGGUUCUGUUACAAUUAUGGUCUAUAAAACAAAUUCAUCGGUAAUAAUUCUAUGAUUAGUACUUUACCUUGAGGGGGUAUGGUGAUGAUCUGUUCUAAAGGAGUCGUCGAUGAUGUGCCCAGAUCAACCGGAUCGGCAAUUUGUUCAGAAACAUCACCUGGUGCUUCUUGUGGCUGAGGUGCCGGUUGAGGAGGAGAAGGUGCCUCUUGUGUCUGAGGUUUCGGUGGAGAAGGGGAUGAUGCUACCUGGAUUAGUGAUACUGGACCAAGUGGAGAGGAUGGUACCAUCUUCUGGCCCUUCGGCUGAGUCUUGGUGCUUUUGGGACCCUUUCUUUUGGUUGGGGCUUGACUAGGCUGGGGGGCAUCGGCACUUGACGUUUGAGCACUUCUGGUCUUAGCCGAUUUGCCAGUUUGCUGUUACAACAACCAAAAUUUCAUGAGUAAAAAUAUAAAACAAUAUUGAUGGAAUUCAGCUGAAGGAUAAAAAUUACCGAUGAAGUUCCUGUUGCAGUCGAUGUGCCCUGAAAGGAUGAUAUGAGUACGGGAUGAAAUCGGUAUAAGUGAAGGAAAUUAAGAGUUUACCUUAAAAGCCUGUGCAGGAGUGGCAGAAGUGACCAAUGGAGAUGUCUUUGACCGUUUGGUCAUCUUUUUUAAGCAUAUGUUGCGAUGUAUCAGAGUUGCUAGACUCGGUGCAUUAUAGCCGAUUAAAGAAGUCGGGCCUGAUUGGAGGAGCUCAAUCGGCCAUCUGCUUCUACUCACCGUCGUUGCUGGGUCAUUGACCUACUGAAAUAAGAGUAAGUUAGUUGCCGAUGAUGUUUUUAAAAGAAAAAUAUAGUAACAAAGGAACUAAGGCAUCGGUAAAGAACUUACAAUGUCAUUGGGACAUGGUAAUCAGAGUCGAUCAUACCGCGGUAUGUAUGGGCUGAUAUCUUGAACAGGUGCUCCUUCCAUUAUUCCCACCAAUGUUUGUAUAACUAGGUAAUAAAGAGAGCUGGGACCCAAGCCGAUAGAUCAAUAUCUGUUGUAUCGGCGUUUGGCUGAAGUUGAGCUACACUGAUCCACUCCAGUCCGGUGGUUAUUGUUUCUCUUGGUUUUACUACAUUGGCAUAACAAAGUCUGAUCUACAGCUGACCAAACGCUAGUUGGCGAGCUAGUGCUGAUGCGUUGUAAAACUCAUAGGUGGUGUUAAUAUUUUUUCAAUUGCCGAAGCUAUUGACUUGAACUGCUCUUGGGGUAAUGAUUGCCAUCAUCAGAUCAUUAUCUUUGUCGAGAGCAUUAUCAAAAGGAUGGAAGGUGAGUGCCAAUCUGGUCUCUGGAUAUUCAUAUGGCAUCCAUGCUCGCUGAUCCUUGGAGAGGCCGUCAUACGGAGUCUGAAAGAAUCAGCCAAUCUGGUUUUCAUUGGAGUCGGUACCAGGGAGGACGAUAACCAUUUCACCGUAAUUGAGAGGUGAGCGAGAUGCCGAUUCAUCAUCUGCCAGUUCAUAAUCUUCGGCAAUAUCUCGGGGGAACUGCUGUGCGAAAAAGCCAAACCGAAGACAUUUGUGCAUGUGAACAUUAGGCCACAUGUUGAUGAACCACCAAGGGCCUCCUAAAUUGCCGAUAGGUUCACCCAACAGAAGUUUCUCUGCCACUUGAUGGAGGAGGUGGUAAGCAGAACCUAGCAAAUAUCGGCCAAGGGGAAAUCGGUUGCCAUCGGCUAGCCUCUCUGCUGCCGAUAAGUAGACAUAAGUUGGUCCUACCAAUCAGCCACAGAAAAUGAAUUUAUCUAGCCACAUAUUUAGGAAAGUGGCAUGUUCUCUCUCACCAACUGAUCCCGUUUUCUGAUAUUUCUGAAUGUACCCUGACCAACCGCCGAUGUUGCGGGUUUCUACUUUGAAUUCGGCUUUACAGCUGAAUAACUGGCCAUCAUCGAUAGUGGCAGCAUCUACGCCAGUAAGCAUAACUACAUCGGCAAGCAUGGGGGAAGCUGGGCCAUGGCCAAAGAUGAAGGCGUUGAAAGUGUCCGACCAAAAAUAUGAGGCGGCUAUCAGCAUUGAUUCAUUCUUUUCCAUAUUGGCAACAGAAAGCCGGACACAUUGGUCUAUAUUACGUUCACCCCAGUGUAAUUCAUGUGUUUUACUGACUCUCAAGAACCAAUCCUUCCAUCCUUUGGUGGGGUUUGGACAGGAUCGGAAUGUGUCCUUCCACAGAUCUAACGAAAAGUUCUCGGCUCUAAAGGGAAUUCUAUUUGUUUCUGCAUUGAUCAGAAUGGUAGGAUCUAGAUCACCUAGUGGACCGAGGCAUUGAAGGUGGGGUUGCUCGGUAGGAAUAACAAUUUUCUCGCUUAGUUCCUAUGGUUUGAAGAUUGAAAGAAUAGUGAAAAAAGAAAGAAGAGAGAAAGAUGCCGAGUAAGUAAACUUGCAAAAAGUAAGGAGGUGCGGCAAAAAGGAGGAAAGAUGGGAAUGGAUUAACCUCAGGGACGACGAAGUUGACAGCUAUUUUUUCCCGGAGGAGAAGAAGAUCGGAGACUCAAGGAACCGUUGGGGAGGACCUUGCUGGAGUUCUUGGGCUCUUCAACAAUGCCGCCGCCAGAAGAGAUGAGUUUGGGGGAUGAAGGAUGGCAAGGUAGAUAAAGAGUACUAAGGAAGGAAGUAUUUAUAGGGUAAAAUGAGCAGGGGCAUUUCUGACAUAUCUAUUUGCCGUAUCCGUGAAAUUUGAGGGUGUUCAGGUGGAUAUGGUAACUGUUUGCACGGUAAUCAAGGGAUUGUGCAUGUGAUUUGACAGCAAGGGGUCAUGAUUUUAGGAGAUAUUUUACUGUGCAAGAUCUCCUGGUCAGCUCAUUGGCAGUCCACUCUAACGAAAUAAUUGCUGAUGAACGGAUGUUUAGGAGAUUUGGUUUGGGAUGUUGAGAAAUUCGAGGUGUCUACUGGAGAUCCGGGUUAAGGUUGUUUGGAUUUGGUAAUUAAUUGCUGUCAGAAGGGAGUAACUACGAAAAGGGUGUCAUUAUUAGGAGAGAAUUUCGGAGUAUUAAUGAUUUUAUACCCCAAAAUUGGGGGGCAUGUGUUGACACCGUUUUUUGACACGUAUCUGGAAAAUUAAUAGAACUUGGAUCGGCAGGCGAAGUAAUGACCGGUUGACAAGGGAGUUGCCGAUGGGUUAUGAUGCCGAUGAUAAAGCAGCAGGAUAUGACCAAGUCCAGGGAUAAUGGUUGAUCUGUGCCGAUGGCUGAUGUUAACGGUUGCCGAUGCCGAUGGAGGAUGAUAUGCUGAUGAUAGUGUUAGAAGGUGUAGGAAUCGUCAGGAAGAUGAUGGUGGUGUGCCGAUCGCCUAGGAUAGAUAAAUUAAUGAUUUCUAUAGUUAUUAGAGUUUGUUUUGUAUACGGAUUCCGUUUAGUUUGGAAUUAGAAUCCUAGUCGUACCUAUUUGUAACUCUUUAAGACAGGGUAUAAAUAUAGACCUAGUAGCAAUGUAAGAGACAAUCCAAUCAAUCAACACAAGUUUUUACAUAUAAUCUUGCAUCUACUUUCGACGACUUCGUCAACUCGCAUAUUUGCUCUUUACUUACGAGUUCCUAGGAGUUCAUCGGGUCAAACUCGACGAAUUCUCAAGUUCCACGUGAAUACCUCUUGACCGCGGCAUCUGGGCGCAUCGCUGUUGUCGGGACCAAAGUAUUCGAGUUAUCACCUUUGUCGGUUUUAAGGUGAAAUCGGCUAGCACGCCUUAACAUUUGAAUCGGGUAUUAGCCCUUUGUGUUUGCAGAUUCACUUUUGCAUCAACAGUUGAUAAAAAGCAUAAUUUUAUCAUUGAUUCCAUAAUCCAUUAGUCAUGAUUUAUAUUAUAUUGUUUAGUGAUUGCAGAUUAAGCAACUAUCCAUGUGCAUAAACCCAAAGGUACCAAGGAAUAUAGGAUAACAAAGGUUCUAGGUAAAAUCCUUAGGGGUUUAUCAUAUUAGACACAUGCACAUGAAGAGGUGAUUAAAUAGUUAUUAGGUAACAAGGGAACUCAUGUUACACUUGCCUUCCAAAUGCUUGCUAUCCAACUUCUUGAGCAUCCUUGUAGAGCUCCUCUUCUAACGCUAGCAAUCAACCAUUACAAGCAUCACAAGAGAACCUAAAAACAACACAUCAAGCAUUACAAAAUAGGAUAAAAGUUUAAAACAUGUAGAAGUUGAUCGUUGAGCGCAAAAACAACUAACAUAAAAGCCACAAAUAAAAGAUUUGCAAGAUAGAGACUAGAAGGAUUCGAGAAAUGAUAGGUCGAAUGGAAUAAACAUGAUGGAUAUGGGCUGAAUUAGAAGAUUUAAACAAGAUAAGGAUGUAUAGAUGAGAGGUAAAUGAUUAGAAGGGUGUAUACAAGAUGGAUAGGAUAUUAGGAAGAAUGAAAUAAACAUAGAAAGAUACACAAGUUUGAUGAGAGAAAACAUAUAUAUGGUAGUGAGAUGGUAUAGUAUCAGGAAUAUUUAUUUCUAGCCAUAGAACAUGAAAGCCCAAAAAUAAUGGUGGUAGUUGACAUAGAUCGAGUUUACCCACCGCGGGGAGAUGAUAGAUACAUGGUGAAAAGUGACGAUGAACCUAUAGCUCAGGUUUGGUAAACUCCUUUAGGAUAUGAUGAUGAUCUUUUGGAUUUUGUGAAGAGGACAAUUUGGAACAUAUUUUGACAAAAAGGCUGCAGUAAGGUAAAUGCCACAUUAAAGAGAAACACGAUUAUGGCGACUUGCGGACCAGUUGCGGAUACCCAGUGGCAUGUGGAUAGCAGUGGUUAGUGAUAGAUGUGACCAUAAAAAGGUACGGCCUCACUAAACCUCUGGGCUUGAAACAUGGUAUGAGAAUGUGCAACCAAGAAACACUCAUCCUUGCGAGAGGGCUCAAUGAUUCAUAUAGUGGGGAUCGCGCGAGACACCAGUGCACCUAGGAUAUGCAUGGUAGCAGACAAUAGGGGUUACCAUCACUGAUAGCAUGCUCUUAUCAGCACAAAUUAGGAGCCAUGUUUUGGAGUCAUUGUGGACUAUAUGAGGUAUGUUCUUGUAAAAGGAAAUGGUGGUUUGAACAUCUGUUAGGCAGAAAAUGUGAGCACGAAAUGGGUGGCAUGGCUGAUUUCAAGACAGCAGGAGUAGCAAAUACUAUGGCCUCAACAUUUCGGCCAUUUUGGAACCUAUAACGAAUCCAACUUACAGAGACAUGUGCAAGUAUAUGAGGCACGUUGCAGUUGAAGGAUUUGGUUAUCUGGACAGCGGAUUAGCGGGGAACACCAAAAUAUUUUAGUGCUGCACCGGUUCAAGAUCAGCGGAGUAGCGAGCACCGAAACAUUAAUAUCUCCAAUAUCGUAGAUGGUAUGGCGAUACAUAUUUUUAUGGACAUGUAUAGGGAUAUUAUACAUAUCGUGGUUGAAGGGCAUGAUUAUUGGAGUGAUGAAACCAAGAGAAUGCUCAUGCUAACAAGCUGUAGUCUGGCUGGGAUGCUGCAGGGGCAGUGAGCACAAAAAAAACAGUUAUAUCUCUUUCAUCUUUGAUUCUUUGGUCAUGAAAUUUUGCAGAGAUGUGUGUAGGUUUAUCAUACACAUGUAGUUCAAGGGAAAUCAUGAAUAGAAGUGUGGACUGCCAGGAACAUACAUGCCUUUCGGCAACAACACUGCUACCUGUGAUGGACAGUGGCACAUUAACAAUGGAAAGAUUGUCGGAACCGAGUCAAAACUGUAUGAUGGUGCACAAAUUAUAACAGAAACAUGUAAGAAUGAUUGGAAGAUAGGAGAGUGCCUCACAUUGAGGUUCAUGGGGAUAGCAGCGAUCCCAUAGGUGCUCGAUGACGGCCAAGGUCAGCAUAGCUUUUUACGAUCAUUGGGGCUGCGAGGAUUCCUUGUGGGGAUAACCUGUGACACACAAGGAGAUGAGAGAUAGAGAGUAGAGAGCACCCUACAGAAAUAUAUGGAGAGAUGAUGACCUUGCUGUAGGUGAGGAUCAGUGGCGGUGUCACCAUGGUUGAUGGGGUCGACACCAGCAGCAUGUUCACCGAGAUGACAAUGAUGAUUCAACCUUGGAGAUGAUCUACACCGAACCAGUGAUCAAGAAAGAUAGAUGAGAUUGGACAGCAAGAUCAGAGAUGGGAGAGGAAGGGGCGACCUCACCAUGUGCUAUACAGAAAUGGCGGCGAUGUUUGCUUCCUCCGAACGAUGGCUCCGGUGCUCAGGAUUAGGCUUGCAGCUGCGAAGUGACUUUGUUGCAGAGUACUCUCUGUUUUGGUGGAGAGGAAAGAGAGGGAGGAAGAGGAAAUGGAGAGGGCGUCCACGGAGGUGGGAGAGGAGGAGAGGGGAUGAGGAGGUGUCCAUCUGCUGUUGCUCACAUAUAGGAACAAAAGAGGGAGAGGGAGGAAAUUUGGAGGCAGCAGCCAUGGGUAAGGAGAAGGAGAGGAUGGAGUGCUUCUGCUGCUCUGGUGCUUGCGUGAGGAGGGGAGAGAACAUGGCUGGCUGCAUGAGUGCAUGCUAUUGAAAGAGAAACAAUACUGAGUGAGUAAAAAGGAUGGUGUUAAAGGGGAUUAAGAGAGUGCAUUAUGUGCAGCUAUUAUUUUUGCAUGAGAGGAGAGUUGGAGGAAGAGAGGAGAGGAGGCACCCAGCUGAUGUUGUGCGUGAGAAAAGAGAGGAGAUGAAGGGGAGGUUAUGGCUACUGCAUGCUGCAUGUGUCCAUGCCAUUAAAGUGAAAUGAAAGGGAGAGAAAAUAGGUGCUAUCAAGAGAGAUUGAAGAGGGCUGGGCUGCUGGUUGUAAGAGGAAGGAUAUGAGAGGAGGGUGCGCAUAGGUUCUGCAGGGAGAGGAGAAAAUGCAUGGUUGUUUUCAUGAGCCACUUACUAAUGCAAUUAUAGAGUGGUAGGGGACAGUAAGGAGGGGCUUGUAAAGGGAAUUGAAGGUGAAGCAUUUGUUGCAAUUCUGCAGUGGAAGAAAAAAAAGAGAUCAGAGGGGAUGUUGUUGUUAUGUGCAUGCAGAGAAGGGGGAGUGCGUGUGAUCAACAGAUGAUGAAAAGGUGACCAGGUGCUUUGUAUUUUAGAGAGAGAGGUAAGGGAUUAAAGGAGAGAACUAAUGCUGCACCAUGUUGCAUGUGAAGAAAGAGGGAGGCCGGCAUUAAAUAGAAACAAGAGAGGGAGCGCACGGCAUAGAAGAGAGGGUUGCUGUUUCUGCAUUGAUCCAUGCAAAAAUAGAAGAGUGAGAAGGAGUAAGUCUGGUCCUUACUCCUAUGAUUUAUGCAGAGAAUUAAGAUGGAAUAAUAAACAUUUGGGGGUGUUGGUUUUGCAUGUUAAAGUAGUGGCGUGUGAGCAGGAGGAUGUAGCCGCCAGCCAUGGGAGGAGCUACUCUUUGCAAUGCAUUUCAAUAGAGAAUUAAGAAGAGAAUUUAGAGAGUGGAAUUAUGAUUAUUGAUGCUUUGUGAAAAAUAAUGGUUGGUGGUUUUUGCAUGAGAGGAAAAGAAUCACACCUCCACAUGAAAUAGAAAAAGAGGAGAUAUGGCUGGUUGGUUUACUGCAUGCAUGCAAUUGAAUAGCAAGAGAGAAAUUAAUAGAGUAGAGGAGCACUCUUAUCAGAGGUGUGCUUGUCUAGUAAAAUACAAGAAGAAGAAUUGUUGGUCCAAUAAAAUUACGAGCAGGUAGUCCUAGCAGGUUAUGCUCUUCAAUUGAGUAAUUUCACAAAAUAGAAGAGAGACUAAGGAUGGAUGGUUAAUGGAAAAUGAGCCUAGGAAAUUAUAGGCAUGAGCAUUAUGUGUGGAUGUAUUUUUGCAUGAAGGGAGGGAGGAGGGGCUUGCAGCAUUUCCACGUGAAAGAGAGGUGGAGAGACUAUAUUGUGCUUGUCCCAUGAUUCAGGGAAAAUUUUGAUGUCUGGACCGAUCAUUAAUCCAUUAGCAAAAAGAGAGAAGUUCGGGUUGUCAUGAUAGGCUGAAAACAUGGCUUCAACUAAACUUGAGAACUGUUUAUGUGAAUUGAUGAGAGAGGACAAAAGAUUGGCAUGAAUAAUUUAUUGUCAUCCCUAGGCGUUUUUGAAAACAUUUAAAUUUAUUUUCCACACAUAAACACAAUGCAAAGGCAUGAAUGCAACAAACCACUAAGUUGUAUUGGAAAAAUUUUAAAAACUCACAUUUUCCACUAUCUAAAAUGUUGACAACAUAGCUAAAGUUGGAACAUUUUAUAAAAUAAUAAAAUUUUUGGCUUGAUUUUUACUGUUUGCUAAGUCACAUCCUAAAAUAAGAAUUUUGGGGUGUGACACAGGAUGAAGAAGACAAGGUAGAAGAAGUAGAGCUUCCAUCAACAGAAGAAAGUACCAAGUUCAAUGAAAAAGUGGCACCACAUGAGUUCUACGACACAAACCUACUAAUGCCAUUCCCUAGGACAAGGACUCAAAAGACCGAUGAACAAUUCGGCAAAUUUGUUGAGGUAAUUCAACAAUUAUAUGUCAAUAUCCCGUUACUUGAUGCAAUGCAGGUUCCAACCUACGCCAAGUACCUUAAAGACAUCCUCAACAACAAGAAGUCGCUGCCUAAAACCGAGGUAAUUAAACUAAUUGAAGAUUGCAAUGAAGUCAUCUAGAAUAAAUUUCCAGAGAAGAAGAAGGACCCCGGGUGCCCAACCGUUGAUUGCUCCAUCGGGACACAGCACUUUGAGCAUGCAGUGUGCGACUUGGGAGCAAGCGUCAGUGUCAUGCCAAAGGUAUUUUUUGACAAUUUAAAUCAUACUACCUUGUACCCAACAUCAAUAUAUUUGCAGCUAGCAGAUCAGUCAAUUCACCAUCCAGCAGGAGUAGCUGAGAACAUUCUUGUCAAGAUACGUGAUUUCCUCGUUCCUGUGGAUUUCGUAGUUCUCGACAUGGAAGUUGACAAAAAAGUCCCCCUCAUCCUUAGGAGACCGUUCCUCAGCACUGCCAAGGCACAUAUUGAUGUUAGAGCCGGAGAAAUUCAAUUCACCAUCAAUGGGGUCCAGGAGAAAUUCAACUUCAAGCCAAAAUUUGAGCAGUGCUCAAUGAUCUUGGCUACAGAGCUGGCUACAAUUAUUGCCCCGACGCACACCAAAAAGAAGGCUAAAUCAAAACCGCGGGCAAAAGCCAAGCAAAUAUGGAAGAGAAAAAUAGUGCCACCGCCCAAGAAGGCCUCUACAGCACCUCAGGGAGGUACUAAUGAAAGGACCUAAGGCAACUGCUCUUCCAUCUAGGUAAGUCAAACCAAUGUGAGUUUUCAAACUUUUAAAAUUCAGCAUUUAUUUUAGCAUUUAAUUAUGAGUUUUCUUAAUUCAAAACAUCUUUUCUGUCAACCAUAGUUGUGCAUAAUAAAACCUAAUUUUGCUCCAUCAUCACAGAGUCCCAUGCUCUUGUCUGUGCCAAAGUGAAAACUGUAUUUCAUGACAUGAAUUGCUUCACAUCCCUAAUAGAGAAUCUAGAUGAAGCUAGCUUGGUAACUUUUGCGACUUUAAGCAAAGAAGUUUUACUACACAAUGCAUUUUUGCUCUGUUUGAGUGCCACCAGAGCUUGGGGGAGGCCAAAUCAGGGUCGGCCGACCAUGGUAUUGGGCCCACCUCCCUCCAGCUCCUGGUAUUUGUGAUCUUAUGGCUCUAGGAUGAUUGUUGCAAGAAUGUAAGACAGGUGGCUGUCGACUUGAAUUCCUAGGAACUAGUUGCUCCCCCUCACCUUCUUUUUUAGGAAAAUAGAAUUAACAAAUUGGCCAUAAGCAAUCCAAGGGACUAGAGAAAAUUUUUCAUGACAAUCCCUAAACCUCACUUAUGCCCCCCAAUCCACCAUUCAUUUUGGCUAAGCAAGCUCAUUUAGCACUAAGCUAAUCACAAAAGGAUGAGGAGGAUUGUCCCGUGAGAACCCAUGACACAAAAUGCCACCAAUUCUAGUCUUGUCUUGCCCCCUCUCUUUUACUUUCUUUCUUUUCAUCACUCAAUCCAAGAAAGGGAGAUGCCAUGCACCACCAUCCAAAGCAUGUUAUGCAUGCACCCAACAUGGAAUGACCUCCACUCACUCUCAUCUUUGGCACAAAGCAAAAAGGGGGAAGAGUGGUGGGUCGGUCGACCCAUGAUAGAGGACACCUUCACAUGCAUUGUGAUCCACCUCUCAUGACCUUGCUUCUGGUGCGUGCAUUCUUUGAAAUUGAGGAGAGAGGUCAGUCGACCGACCGUGAUUUGGUGCACCCAACACAACCACUUGCUUCUAUUCAUCACUUCCAAAGAGAAGGUGCCACAACCACAUAGCAAAAUUCUCCAGAAGGGCAGGUCGACCGACCUCCAUAAAUCCACACCAGAUCUUCUCCUUACUCCCUACUUCAUCCAAACACACUCACACUCUUGGGCACUCAACCAGCCAGCAAGAAACCCAUUCUCCUCUCCAUUUCUUAACCAUCCUUUUCUCCAAAAAAAUCCAAAAAUAUUUUCUUUUUAUCCUUACGAUCCAAGAGUUCAUCAUCAUGAAGAAAGUCAGGGGUUGAGGGAAGUCGGUUCCCCAUCGAAUUUCCUUUAGCUCUACUGACUCCUCCAUGCAAGAUGUCUGGAGUCAAGCAUCAAGGGAGCAAGUAUCAUCUCCACCACCUCAAGUAAAUGAAGAAGCCAUCCCCGAGAAAAUUCAAGAUGAGGAAACCGGCAUAUGGCUCACUCCCGUUGAGACGGAGAAGCUUGAGGAACUCCGCGACCGUGAAUUUAUUCACACCAAGGUGAUAUCUCUUGACUUUCUCCAAAGCAUAUGCUUAGAUGAUGAGUUCACAAAAGUUUUCAAGAAAAUGUUGUGGGAUGAAUUUUGGGAUUUGUCUAAAAGGAAGUAAAAUUCUCACCCUAGAAUUUCUAAGCACCCUAAGAAUAACCAUAGAGAAAAUUUAUUUUAGAGUGCUUUAUAAUGAGUUUGACCUUCCAUGGGAUGUUUUCUCUACAUGUCUUGGUUUUGAUAAUCCCAACAUUAAAAUUGAGCAUGCUACUAAGCACAUGAACAAGAAAGAAUUUUGGUAUGAUAUCACUCGGAAAAUUACGAGGGAUGGCAACCACAUACUAGUCACAUAUGCAAUCCUACCUUGCUUUUCUUGCAUGAGUCGAUAGGACUCACUUUGUUCCCUCGAGAAGACAUAAGAAUUGUCAGGGAAAUUGACACUAGGAUCCUUUUUCCAUGGUUCAUAAAAUUCAAAUUUCACCAGUGGUAGAAAUGGCUAAACAUUGGAUAUGGGCAUCAUCCCAACCAAGAAGGUGGGCCAUGGAAUUUACUUCUGUGAUUACAAAAUUUUGUGCACGCCUAAAUCUACUCAAUAACUUUGAUAGAUACAUAAUUACUCCUAGAGUCGUCUUACACAAAAGAUUUGACAUUCAGGGCCAUAUGUAAAAGGAGGAGCAAAUAACUCAGUGUUUUUAAAAAAAUUAUAAUACCCAUGAAACAAUUUUGUUGCCCUGUGAAAAACUAAAAAUAUAUAGUGGCAACCCAUUACUCCCUAUGUGCAAAAGACAUAUGAGGCAUGCAGGACCAACCACACGUGCAAGAGCACGAGCUGCAGGUGAUGAUGAUGACAGUUACUAUGAGGGAAGUUUUAGUGGGAUGCAGACGCCCCAUUCGGGACGUAGGUCUGGUACCCAUAGUGGUCGUAUGUCUUGUUCUUUCUUUGUAGGAUUCACAGCCCCGUGCUCAAUGCAUUGACAUGGACAUGCUGACCCAACAAAUUGGUGUGCUGCGCAUUGGACAUGAGGCUAUGCAAAACACUACAACUCAAACCCAGCAAGCCCUCUUAGAUCUCCAAGUCCAACACAACAUAGGCUGGAACAGGAUGUAUGCACACCAUGAGAGGCCACAACCACCAAAUAUUCCAUUCAUUCCUAUGUCACCACAGCGGCAGCAAGAACCAUCUCCACAGUAUCCUCCACCAUAUCCUUAGCAGCCCUCAUAUCCUCCACCAUAUCCAUAUGACUAUCCACCAUAUCAGUAAGGAGGCAUGAGAAGAGACAAGCUUGGGGGAGAUCCUCUCCCCCACCAAGGUAAGUAUUCUGGCUCUUUUAAAUUUAUUGUAAUUUCAAUUGUUUUAUGCUUCAUGAAAAAAAUGCCGUGCAUGCCAUCUUUCUCUUGGAAAUGAUGAAUAGUUGCUCUGUUAAUAUUUCUCUAGUAUCUAGCACUCAACCUAGUAUUUUUCUAAGUAUGGAUCACUUGGCUCAUAUAAGACCAACAUGAACCUGAUUUCUUUCUUUGGGUUGCAAAUGCUAAAACUACGUCAAAGUUGUUGUGAGAUAUGAGAUAGUAAGACAAGAGCUACUAUAUGUUUAUUCUAAGCUUGCAUGAUUAUCAGAGAAUUUAUUUGGGAAAUAUCUAAAAACAACGGUUCCUCAAUGAUUAUAAAAUUCCUACCAAGGCCAAAUAUUUAUGCUCUGUAUGUAUACAUACUUUAGCCAUAGCUGCUUGUUAUUGUUGGGGUUUUGUCAAGAAUUAAACUUAACUUAGAUUGGAGUCAUAUGUUUAGACUGAGACACACUUUGCACCCACCAAAUAAAGCCAAUUCUUACACUGAGGAUUGCACGCAACAUGCACCCAUCCAUCCACCAAAAAAAUGCUCUUCUCCUAUACUGGGAGAAGGCAACAAAAUUUUUUGCUAGGAAAAUACUCCAUCCACUUUUUCAAAUUGAUCGUUCUCUCAGUAUCCCUUUUAGAGAGACAUGGCAAAAAAAAGGGCGCACUUUUGUCAAAAGUCCCCAAAUGUUUUGUAGAAGGAAAAGUUGGUAGCCAUGUCUCAAAAUAUUCUUUUCUAAGAGAGAAAGAUCAUGCCAUAAAAGGAGUAUAGUUUAAUGAUAGGAUCCAUUCCACACACUUGCAAGUCUCAGUUUAGCAUAUGCCUUUGAUCUUAACUUAGUUUGAUUUUUGAUUUAUCCCCAUACAAGAAGCAAGUAUGCCCACUUUCCGCACCUACUGAAUCUCCACAUAAAGCCAGAACUAUAGGUUGUGAGAAAAGCAAUGCCUUUAGUAAGGAACAUUAUCCACUUGAGAGAUUGAGAGAAAUCAAUUGAGGAACCCAGCUUUCUUUGUCAAAAAUUUGAAAAACCUCCAGUAUGAAACUCGCUAAGAAUAAGGAAGUGGUGCUCUAUAUCUAACUGUUCUGUCUCUCAACUGCCCAAGACAAAGGAAAAGCCAAAAGCCCCACGAAGAACUAAGGUAACUGGGUGAGUCUUUUCACAGCCAAAUUUUCCAUACUUAUGAGAAAUAAUUUGUUGAAUAGAUGGUACUCUUGAAAUGUUCACAUUGCAGCAACUCCUGAUCCACCGAGACUAAGCUUAAUUAUUUGCUCGGGACGAGCAAAGGUUAAGCUUGGGGGAUCUUGUUAAUGGUGGAUAAGCUAUAAAAUCCACACAUGAAAACACCGUCAACAGGCCAGCAAUAGUGGAAGAAUGGCAUAGCAUAGGCAUCUUUUAUCACUAAGAGGUUCCACUUGUGCUCUAAGUAUUUGGAUGCUGGUAUACUCAUAUUUAGUGGAAAAUGAGCUCCUGGACCCACCGAGGGCAGGACAGCCGACCUACACUUGGGGUGGUCCAGGUGUCUCAAUUCCAUGACCUUAAGGCAACACAUUCAAGUCCAUCUCGACCCUCAGAUCACACCUGUGUUUUUCUUCAAGGGUGAAAGAUGGAGGUAUACAAGGAUCCAUGGACCCACUAGAAGAACCAGACCAAAGAUGAACAUAAGACACACUCCAUGACAGAUGGGGACAACAAUGGAGCAAGGCUGGUGGGGCCACCUCACCAAACCAUGAUCAACCGACCGGCCUUAUGUGGGACCCACCUGUCAGCUCCACUACAUCGACCUCUAGGACCUUCUAGAAGGUUCAGGGUGGCCCCACCUCACAAAAUGUCAGGUCGACCGACCUAUGAUAUGGGCCCACCUAAGGUCGGUUACACUCCACCGACUUUGGCAAGAUGUGCAGACGAUCUUGGACAUCCAUCUAAGGUGGUUUCAAUGACAGUUUAUCUAAGGGUGGAAAAGUGGGAAGCACACGGAUCGCUGAUGUGGCACCCCCUCUACUCCCCCUAUAAAUAGAGGCUGCAUCCACCCUCUCUAGUGUGUGUGUUCCAAUUUAGCUCUAGCUUUCCAGUUGUAAGUGUUAGUGUUAGUCUAGUGUGGGAGUCAGAGUUGAGUCGAGCGAAGCUCGGAGUCUCCAGAGUCGUCUUCUUGAGAGUCUGGUAUUCCUCUUUACCUUUUCUCUUGUAAGACUUUGAGUAUUUAAUAUAUUUACUUUUCCUUUACUUUUCUAAGUAUUUACCUUCAGUAUUUACUUAGUGCAAUAUUUUAUUGUAGUGUCCUAGUCUGUCUUGUAGUAGUCAUAUACUAGCUAAGUUAGUCUUAAGUGCUUGGGUUGUUUUCUCUGCCGGUAACAUGGUGCUUGGACUAGGUCGUAUACUUAGUCUAAGUAGUAGGAGUUAGCAUAAGCAUGGUGCUUAGGCUAAAGCCUGCCCUUGAAUACCACCAUAUCAAACAUGACAGCGGGCGGCUGUGAAGCAUGACAGGCCUCUGCUUCCCAGUAGGUUCUAUUCACAUCGGGUACGGUCUGUUGGCGCCCAUAAGAAACGAGUCCGCUUGGAUAGGAGUUUCGUCCUCCUAUUGCAGUCGACUUCUAGCAAACAAGGAGUUAAGUUUAGUGACAUUAGUGUGUGUUCGCUACUAGACUAGAUUGGUUCAUAGGAGUAAAGUUAGAGUCAUAGGAGUCUUUUCUCACUCGUUGUCCUCCCACCUAGCUACACUACACUAGUUAUCUUAGAGUUAUCCAAAACCACAUCAACCUUCCUCUACGUCUUCAUUACCUCACAACCUUAGUCGAUCCUAGCUGGGAUAGGAUUUCUCUUCCAUACUAUCUCCUCUAGAAUGCUUUCCAUUGGAUGAACUAUAAAUUACGACACCGUGGAUACUCACCACAGUCGAAGUGCUACAUCGAUAUCCGUGCGCUUGCAGAGUUACCCCUGGUACAUCUUGCGUCAUCGCCAGAGCUUAGCGUUGCUUAGCAUUUUUGGAGCCAUUGCUUAGGGUAGCCUGACACCCUAUCCUAGUAAUAGCUCAGGCUUGCAUUUAAGCAGUGCUAGUUAGGCGCCACCAUUUCUAGAUACUUGUCACAUCUUACUCUAGCUAGUGUGUGUUAAGAUUUGCCAACUUUGCUACAUAAAUAACUAUCUUAAAGUAGGUUGCUUUGUAGAAUUACCUGAAUUCAUACCUUGGCUUAUAUGUUGUUGUGGAAUCUUCCUGACGAAGGCUUGAAUUUUGCUUAUAUGUUGCUUCAAUUGCCCUUUGGUCUUCCUUGUACUUGACCUUCUGGUCAAGCUAGUUGAGCAAGUCAUCCAUCUUGGUAGACAGUGCAUUUACUUCUUUACUUAUUUCUUCACUUUGAUGGCAAUGUUGAAUGUUGUCUUGGACCAACUUUGAUUAUCUGCUAUUUUCUCCAUAAGCUUCUUACCUUUCCCAAGAGUGAGUGAAAAAAAUGAUCCUUCUGCACUUGCAUCUAGGUGCUGUCACACCCUGGCUUUUAAAAUAAGACCAGAGUCGUCAUAUGUGUGCCCAGGAAGUCCACACAUACAACAAAGAAUAGAAAUAUCAGAAACAAUGUUAUAUAUAGCGGAAAACAUAUUUAUAAUAACACUUACAAACAUCAGAGUACGUUGAAACAGUAGCUAAGCUUCUUAGGCUCCAUUCUUCUCAGGGAUGGUUGACUGGGGGCUCCGUACGCCAAGCACUUCUCAUAAGCUUCUAGAAAAGUUCAUUACAUCUUUAUCCUUCUUCUGAGUAGCACUUUACUACACACUGGGGGUGUGGCGGGGAAAUAGCAAGGGUGAGUUCAUGUCGAACUCAACAAGUACAGGUGGAAAGUAUAAUGACAUGCAAGGCUUAAUCAAAGGAAAAGCUGACAUUGUUUAACUGUAGGUGAGCUUUUUAAGUUGGUAAACUUUUAUUACAAUUCUUUCAUUAAAAUAACCUAUUACUAAUAUGAGUGAAACAUCCCAACCCUUAAUUAGGUGGAAGUAGAUUAACCAUUUUAUUAAUCAUCAUCAUCAUUAUUAUUAUUAUUACCGAGGUAGCAACCUCAGAUAGUAACUCGGGGUAGCAACCCCAUUAAGGUCAUGGGAUAGCGAUCCCAAUUAAGAACACAGGAUAGCAAUCCUGCCAACACGGAAUAGCCAUUCUGCCAAAGCACGAGGUAGCCACCUCAACCAAGUUUCGCCUCCAAGUUCCAUGUGAUUCCAAUUUGCUCAUCAUGUGAGGGUCUGGGCCGCUCGUGACCGCGAGCACGGCUGAUAUAUCAGUUUUACACUCUGCAGAGGUGUGCACUUUCACUCCAAGUCGUGAUUCCCAUUCGCCCGGGGUCGCGACUCCCCAAAACACUGCCAAGGUGAGCAGGUAGGGUUUCACUAUGAGACCUUUCACAGGAUCCAACUAAUAGGAUGCCACUCGUAAGUUUUGGCCGGGGCGCUCGGCAGUCGAUACCCAUAGCCAUGGCAUACCUAUCAACCGACAACUUAAUAUUCAUUACCCAAGUUACUUUCUCACGCCUACCCGGAAAGUAACACCCUACUAGUGGAGGUCCUGCUAAUUAGUCAAGCCAGAGCCAUAUAGCAUGGAGCUGCACUGUAUGUCCCAGGGGCCCGCUCCAUACGGAGAGCCGGCAACCGGGCCAACCAACAGUACCCGCUCCCCCUUUCCUCAACAAACCACGAUGCUCACAAGCACCACAACAUCUCCGUCACCAAAGUGACUAUUGUUCAUCAUUUAAACAUUAAUCAUCAUUGAAGAAUUCAUUAGGCAAGAUUAUUACUUUUAUUAUUAUAGAUUAGGUGAGUAGAGCAGCUAAGCAUAUCUACUAUUCACUAUACUACCCAUGUAUAAAACCCAGGGGUACAAGGAAUAUAGUAGAAGACUAGUCAGGUCCUUAGGGUUUGCAGUAUUAAGACACAUGCAAUAAAAGUAAAUGUAUUUAAAGUUCAUAGGUACAAUAUGAUCAAAGGGUGCCUGCACUUGCCUUUAUUCCCAAUGUACAAUUGCUUAGAAUUCUUUAGCUUCUAUCUUCUGAUCUUUAGCUUCUACUGCAACUGUCGGUCCUCAGCCCUGAUCUUCACUGUUGACGAACCACGCUUCUUCUACUCGUAGCAACCAAGCAACACAAAAAGGCAAACAAACAAUCACAACUAAGAACAGACAUCAAUCAGAAGAAAAGCUUUGAAAAAGCGCACUAAACGACACGACUUUUUGCUACGAUCGUGAUGGAUUGAGAACGGAGCUAUCGUUAAACGGACACGACUAUCGAGGCUUGCAACAAAAUGGAGAGAAGACAAACUAUAUGCUGGUCGUAUUUUAUUAGAUGAAAUGUGGUGAUAGAUAUUUAAGAGAAACAUCAUAAAAUAGAAUUAAACAAAUCAUAGUUAUAAAAGACGAAGUAUAGUUCUAGUUAUAUUCUAUUUAUAAAUAAAAGGUAUAUAUAUCAUUUAAGUCAUUUAAACAUUUAUGAUUUAGGAAGCAUAAAGCAAGUGAGAGCAACUAAUCGAAUCAUGACAUGCUUCCAUUUAUACUAAACAAGUUAUAAUUAAUAAAGAAUCCUUUAAAUUGAUAUUAAUAAUGUUAGCAUUAAUUUAUUUAUAAAAGAUCUAAAUUAUAAACAUAAGUUACUUUUAAUCAAAAAGACAUUAAAUAAAUAUGAAACAAAUUAAUUAUAUACUUUAUUUCUAACUAAAAGAACUAUAAUUAAUAAAUUUAAGUUAACAUUAAUCAAAUUAAUAUUAGAUUAUACCGAAGUGUAAACCUAAAUUGUUUUUUUAAUAAUUAAAAAUAGCACUCAAUAAAUAUUAGUUAAACUAAUUAUAUUUAUAAACAUAGGACAUGGAAAAUCGCGAACUAGUCAUUUACGUUGCCACGAUCACAAAACAAUAGAAAACAGGAUUUUAACUCUAUAGUGCUUUUAAUUAUAAAAUUAGGUGCAUAUAUUCAACUAAAUAUAGAAAAAAACAUGUGACAUAAUAAAAGUUAGCACUGACGUUGCGAAACUAACGCAACUGAAACGGAACAAGACGAAGUUAAAACGAAUAAAUUAUUGCUAAUUUUAUUCAGUGGCAAAAUCGUAAUUAACACCUUCUUCUACCUUCAGCUUUCAGACGAACGAAACUAGGGCUGCCUGCUGCUGUUUCGUGCAUGAAGGGAAGGGGCCCGGCCAAGGCAAGGGCGGCUCGACUGGCCCCAUGGCGCGGCGCGGCACGCUAGACCCGCCUAGGAGCGCGGUGUGCAGGGCGAGGAGGGCCUGCUCGGCUAGCAAGGCAGUGGCGGCAGCUUGGCCGGCGCCGUUGGCUGUUGCUGCAGCAGCGUGCGCGGCAUGCGGGGGGCACGGGAUGGCGGUAUGGCUUCGGAGGAGUAGCCGCAGCAGUCGGCCCGAGAAGACAACGACCACACCUGCUGCAAAAUAAGGAAGAAGCUCCUAUGGUGAGUUCGUCGAAAAAGAGAGAUGGGAAGGGGACUCGGCCAAGCGGACAUGGAUUUGCGAAACAAAUGGCGUGCCGGUGUAGAGGAUGAUGAGACGAACCUCGGGACGGUGACGGUUUCCGCAGGAGAUGCCAGAGAUGGCCGGAAACACUCGCCGAACGUUUGCUGGAAAAUUUCGCCGGAAACGAGAUCCGAAACUUCGGCAAUCGAUCUAUGGAGCUACGAGCGGCGGCUCAGAAGAAGGGUCGUACUUCUGAAAUCAGCGCAUCGAGGGCUACGCCGGCAUAUAUAUAGGUCUAGGGUUUGGAAAAGUUUCGGAAUUUCUUAUUUCAGGAUUUUAAAUAAAUCAUUUUCAGUUCCAAAAUAAUUUUAGAAAAAGAUAAAAUCAUUUUAAAUCCCUGAAAAAUAUUUCCAAAAUUCUAAAAAAAUUAAAGGAAAACUUUUAGAGAUAUAAUGAGAGAUGAUCAAUCGAAAUAAAGUUUUUGGUGUUUAUAAAAAAGAAUUUUGGAGCAUAUAAAAAAUAGAUUUUGUUUUAGGAAAAAUGGGAAAAAGCUUGAAAAAGUCUAGAAAAUUAUCAGAAAGGAUUGAAUGGCAUCUAAACUUGUUUUUAAAAUCUUAGCACACACAAAAACAAUAAUCUGAAGUAAUAGACAAGCAUCACAUCAACGAAAGCUCACAUAAUUAAUUGAUUUUUUUUGAAAAGCAUCAUUUUCCUAAAUGGAAAUCUAAACUAAUGUUGACAAAUUUUAUCCACAUAUUAAAAACCAUUCAGUUUAUUUAGUAUUUUCUAAUAACAACCCGAAAUAGAAAUUUCGGGGUGUUAUAGGUGCUCACAUGUCUUCUAGGUGAAUCCAUGAUAGAAGCCUUGCAUGAGUAACCAUUCUUCCAUUCCAUGAUGGGGACAAUCAUUGAUGUAUCCUUGCAAACGCUCCCAUGCUUCUGAAAUGGUUUCUGUCUUCUUUAUUAACAUAGAACCACAGCUUCGCUCUUCCCAUUAGUGAGAAUGGAAAGAGAUGAAGUAGUAUGAUAUCUUGAUUAACUCAUAUAGCAAUAGUGCUUCCAAUUUCCAUGAAGUCAUGUAAAUGUGUACUUGCAUCUUCAUGUACCUUUCCACCGAAUUAGAUAGCUUGUACCAUGCUGAUGAGGCUUGGAUUGAGCUCUAACUUAAGAUUUUCUAUUUCUAGCACUGGACCAGUGCAGAUAUUCUCCAUUGUUAGAGCAGAGAACUCCAACAAGGUCUUUUUAGCCAUAGCUUCGUGCAUUGGUGACUAGCUUCCUUCUCGAUUGAUCCAAUUCUGAUGAUGGAGGUUGAUUGAAUCAAAUUCAGACAUAGAAAAACAAAUAGGGGUGAACCUGCCAUAGUAGAGGUGACUAGUAACAAUCACUCAUUUUCUAAGUAUCUGUUUAGGCAAUUUUUUUCAAAAAGAUUAUUCCUUCCCCGGCAAGAGUGACGGAAAUGCUUGUUGACACUUCUACACCACCUAAGCUAAGUUGUCAUCACUAGCAUGCUGCCAAAAGUGUUGGUAUAGAAACUACUCCUCUAGUGAAAUAAAUAUAGGAUCCGCAAGUGAACAAAUUAAAUACCAUUGUAGCAUUUCACCGGGAAGUAUUCUAGGUAUUGUUAAUUAGCUCAAGGGCAAGAACUAAGGACUUAAACAAUGAGAUAAACUUUCAAAACAUGACUACUUAUGAGUGAUUGAUUGCACAUUCACAUACUUUGGCAAGGGGGUAAAACAAGAUAAAUAAAGAAUAUGAAUUAUAAAGUUUAGGGAAUAAAUCAUGUAGAGAUUAUAGAUAGACUACUCAACAAAAGGUAGGUCGAAGUCAGAUUAGUUCAAGAGAGAAUUUCUAGGUAGGUUCUAAUCUACUAAGCCAUUCAUCUACUCUAAUGCUAUACUAUCAUAUAUAGCACAAAAGACUCUUUAUCUAUGUAUAAGGAUCAUUUCUAUAAAAAGUCAAGACUUUGUAGGACUAUCUACACAACUUUGGUUAUGCUAGUCCUAUCAAUGGGAGAUGGAAUACGAAGGAUUCAACAGAAUUAUCACUUCCGUGAUCUACCACACAACCCAGCCAAUAGGGUGCAUUUGCAGGUAAACAACAUCUAAGCACCAUGCUUACAUGUAAUCUACCACCUAACCCUCUCGCGUAGAGAGCUAAGCGCUUUGCAAACAUAUACAUAAACUCAUUAUUAAUCAUAACCAUAUCAAAUGCAGAACUAUAUAAACUAGGAACAUAAUAAAUAGAAACAUAAUGAUAUUAGAAUAAAGUCACAAGAAAAGAUACAAGAUAUACCAAUCCUUGAUGAUGGAGAUCGGAAAUUCCAAGCACAAGCGCCUGACUCUUCCUUUAUCUAGUCUUAACCUAUGUAGAACUUGAAGAAUUGGAGUAGCUAUUCUAAUUCUCUGGUAGGGAAAGAUCUUUAAACCCAAGCUCUACUGAUGGCUACCUCUACUUCUCAAUUCUCAAAUGAAUUAGAGAAUGAAUUAGGGUUUCUCCUAGGGGAGGGGCUCUGUUUAUAUAGUCCUCUUGGAGGCACCAUAGCCGUUGGAUCAAUCCGACCUAAACAGACAAUUAUUAUUGCUCCUCAAAGUCGGUGGAGGCAAGAUCCGCAAGACUCCCAAUGAUUGGUCUAGGGGGCGGGGUGGCCACCUAGGAGGCUUAGGCGCCCGCCUAGGCACACUUUUUGGUGGGCCCUUGCUUCCAGGGGUCGCCUUCCUUAGUCUUAUAGAUGUUUCUUUUUUAUAUGUAUAUCUGUUUCUCUCUAUGUAAAUCUGACUUAUGGAUCUCAUUUGGUAUUUUUUGAUAAUCGCCUGAAAAAAUAGACAUUCACCAAAACUCGUGGAAAUUGUCAGUGAAACCCAUUAGUUUAUGGUGAUGUUCAUAUUAUACCGCCUUUUCUCUCUUUAGUUGACAUAUAAAAUUGAUGGUUAACAACCAUCUACGCCCAUAUACUUCUAGUGUGUAGUAAAGUGUUGCUUAGAAGAAAGAUGAAGGUGCUAGGGAGUUUUCCCAAGGUCUGCUAGAAGUGCUUGGUCCGAGGCGAACCUACGUGGUCGUAUCGGGGUCAGCUGACCCUGACCACUUUUGUACGAGCACGUGUACAUGUAUACAUUUUCACCAUGCUUGACCCCAUUAAGAAAAGUGCUGACCUCGAUGGUACUCAUUGGUCUUCAACCCACAACGGACCAUAUGUUGGUAGCCCAGCACAACAGGUCAAUAGCAGUCCAAAUAGAUUCUCCCAACAGCCCAAUAGCCCACACACGACACAUGCCCACAUCGAUUAUACCUAUACAAGUAUACGACAUUUAGCCGUCGGCUUGCCACAACGAUUCAUCUCCCUCCUGAAAUCCUUCUGGUCAAACUUGCCGGCUUACUCGCAGACAGCGACAGAUCAUCUCAGCCCUCCAGCAAACAUGGCAUGUAAGUACAUUACUAAAUUAGUGAUUGAAUGAUUGAAUUUACUUGUGUGUUGUGUUUGCCUUCCUGAUUGAAUCUAAAUAAAUUUAUAGGUAAUCAAAGCAUGAUGGAUCAGUUUUUGAAAAGGAAAUUAACCCUAACAACUGAUAAUGAUGGAGGCACCUCAAGAGAUGUAAGGGAGUAUAUUGAUGGAGGAACUUCAAGAAGAGAUGUUGAUACAACAAAUGCCAACGUUCUUCACAAAUCUCACGACGUGAGGUAAAUUUUGAGAAGCUUCCAUAUGAUCUAGUAGAUAGAAGGAAAUUUUAGAUUACGUUGGUGAAAAGCUAUAAAAUGAGAAAUGAAUGAUUGUGUCAUUACUUGCAAAAUUGAAUUGGUGAUGGAUUUAGGAAUGAUUGUGUCAUUUCUUUCAUUGAGCAAGAGUUUCUUCAUGCAAUUCCAAAUGAGGACAUCAUAUUUUUGUCGAGGAUGUCAAUAGGUGGUAUCUCAGCCAACACUCACAAUGAGAGGAUUCACAAACAAAUCAAGGCUCUAGCUCGACGCUCCAACAUGAAUACAUGAUCACCGAGGCGCGAUGUUGAUCGUGGCCUCAAACACAGAAACAGGGUCCAGCGAAUCGACAAGGGCUCGAUGGCCAACAACCAUCGAAUACGGAAAUAGCAUCAAGCGAAUCGACGAGCCUCGAGUGCAAAAGCGUCCCCCGCUGCUUGUCGCGAGUACGGAAGUUAGGGCAUUAAAGGCGACUGCCAUGCUCCCACCUAACCCGACAGUCACGGGAAGCGUGAUAGGGGAACAAGCACCCAUCAAAUCUUCACUUUUUCCAACUUUAUCCCAAAGGUUGGAUAAAGGUACAACUCGGCACAGUGCUGCAGGCGUAAUAUCUCAUUGUGGCACCCCUCGAGAUGCACAAAGUCAGCACUCCCACGUAACGAGGACGCUCGAGCCGCCCGACCCUCGAGCAGACACGUUCCUUCCCAGUUAAGGAUCGGGCGAUGGAAGUCAGCGCUUCAACCACCCUAGACAUGACUACUGCCACGACGUACAAGCAUGCUCGUGCCUAAGCCAAUACAAGACAAUGUACAGGAGUUGAAUUCAGGGAACGUACGCACCAUCAUCACCAAAGUACACCGUAACAAGACGGCUCGAGGCCACGCCGGUACGAAAGCCUCGAGUAGGCUAGCGCCAUACCCCUAUCGAGACUUAUUCUAAUGCCUACACUCUGUAACCUAGGUCUCCCCUUGGAACUAUAAAAGGGGACACUGAGGACGACAUCUGGGACAGGAGAUACAACUCAUAAAACACAGUUCUCACACACCACCAUCGGCUAUGACUUAGAACUCUUGGCCACAUCCGCUUGCAUUCACCCCUGUACAAGCACUUAGAUGCAAGAUAAUACAAAGUCGCCCUCCCGCUGGACAUAGGGCCUUCCUUUGCCCAAACCAGGAUAAAUCUUUGUGUCAUUCUUGUAUCACCAUCCGAAAAAGGGAGCACGCACACAAAUUCACUCAUUGGUGUCACCCCCCGGGGUCAAAACACCGACAGUUGGUACACUAGGUAGGGAUCCUGCGUGUUACCACUGAUUUGCCAUCUCUUUUCGGAUGGCCACUCACGUCUCGCCGAUCCCACGCUCCACGGUGAUUUGGUUUUGGACCUUGAGUUCAUGUCCACUGGCUUCGGCUAUGACAUGAUCCUGCUCUCGAUCAAAGGACCUGGAGGGGCUUGUGUCAUGCCCACACGAUCAAAGGCCCCGAGACGGCCUCACCACCAUGCUUCCCCACCCAAGAGGAGGCGUGCCCAGCAUCGCCACCGCCCCACCGCCACUACACGAUCAUCGCCUCGCGAAGGGCAGGCGACGAUGGAGGGGCCGACGACUCCGCAUGCCAAGACCACGGUCAUGAUGGCUAGACGACCGAGCCACCGCAUGACGGCGUUAGGGAGGAGCAUACCCUGUGCGCCAUCACCACCAUCUACACUAUUGCCACAUGGUCUGUUCGCCGCAAGGUGGAUGCUCCCGUUCGACUUGGACAACAUUGCGACGUCGCUGUCCAGGACAAUAUGUCCAGGUGUCGGGACGUGCGUGGAGUGGCCACUAGUCCUCCCGCAUGACACAGAGACGCAGCAGCGAACUCAGCAAGUGGCCGAGGAGUCAGGUUUUCCCCAGAUACGCAAGGCUCGAUGCCUGUGACCUGGGCGAUACACCAUCACCACGCUCAGACAGCAGUUGGUGGAGGAGGGGCGUGGAUGUUACUACACCGCCGAGCCAGACCCCGACUGCAAAUCCGACAGCUACGACCCUACCAGGGAGUGCUUCAACGUCGACGAGGCCGUGGCUACCAUGGACGACACGCAGGAUGCCGCCACCGGUGCUCGAGCUCCCACAGUAAGGGAAGAUCCUAGGACACCUGGGAACGAUGGGCAGGUGGACCCACCACCUCAGGACGACAAGGCCGUGCAACUUGCACAGCUACGAGAGCUCAAAGCCAAGCUAGAUGAGGAUCGCGAGUGCCUCAGCCAGCCUGAGCGGGCCCUCGAGCGAGACCAACUGCACCCGCACGGCGGGGACACGCGUGGUCUGCUCGAGACGUGUACCGAUAGAUCGUCAGGGAUGAGGAACCUGAGACGCUCGUUAGCCGCUUCCCUCGAGCCGGUCAGAACAUCGUGGUAGCAACCAUGCUGCUACGUAACAUGCCCGAGCCCUCGAACUCCUAGGCAUGACACAUGGGAGACAAGGUGUAGGUUCUGCUCCACAUGGCGGCGGCCCAACAAACCGAGAGCUCAACCUCUCGAAGUCGAGGGGCAGCCACGGAAAAGUGCAUCAAGCUAGCCCAAAACGAGAGGGAGGUAUCCGUUCAUCAGGAGCCGCCACCUCAAGGUAAGAAAACAGUACCCAUGUAGGAGCACCUCAUCGAUAAUCGAGGCCUGCACGACGCUCAAUGCGACAUCAACGAACAUCGACGCCGCAGACACAGGGACGCUGAGGAGCGGGGCUACAGCGCUCACCGCGGCGGACGUUACGACAGUGACGAGGACCGAAUGGCACCAGAGCCGCCGGGCCCUUGAGUCUUCAGUAGGGCAAUAUUCAGCACACCGCUGUCGAGUCUGUUUCGACCCCCGACCAGCAUCGCCAAAUACAACAGCGAAACUAAGCUAGAACUAUGGCUGGAGGACAUCUGGCUGGCAUGCCAGUUGGGAGGUGCUCGAGGAGACGAUUGAGCCAUCAUUUGGCAACUACCGCUCUUCCUCUCCAACACCUCUCGCAGGUGGCUCGAGGAGCUCCCCACCAACUAGAUUCAUGACUGGACAGACCUGGUUCGAAUGUUUGAAGGGAACUUCAUGGGAACAUACAUACGCCCUGGCAAUUCAUGGGACCUAAGCAAGUGCAAGUGGAACUCUGGAGAAUCUCUCCGAGAGUAUGCUCGACGCUUCUCCAAGCAACGCACAGAGCUCCCACACAUCCUCGACCAUGAUGUUGUUUUGGCAUUUAUCUCAGGCACCACUUGUAAGGAUUUGGUGUGGGAGUUAGGCCGGAAUCGUUCGUAGACCGUCGACGAGCUAAUGGAUGUAGUGGCGAAGUACGCUAUCGGUGAAGAAGCGGUCGGUGCUUUCUUCAACCCUGAGAACGGCAAGGGGAAGGCACUAGGAGACGACGACGAGGGCCCUAGCAGGGGGCCCAAAAAGAACAACAAGAAGAAGAAGACACGAUAGAUCAAGCAGGAGGCCCUCGACAAUGAUUUCAUCGCUGCCGUCGAGCGCAAGAAGCCUCAAGGUCCCCCAGAGGGGGCCAUCUUCGAUAAGAUGCUCAAAGAGCCCUGCCCUUACCAAAAGGGAGGGGCUAAUAACAAGCUCGAGGAUUGCCACAUGUUGAAGAAGUACUUCGAUAGCUUGGGGCUGAAGAAGGAUGACCAGAGGAAGGAUAAAGGUGACAACAAGGGCAGAAAUAAAGACGUCCACGAUUGUUACAUGAUUUACGGUGGACCCUCGAUGCAGCUCACAUCAAGACAGCGCAAGAGGGAGCGUCAGGAGGUUUUCACGGCGAGGAUGGCAGUGCCACAGUACCUCAACUGGUUGAGCACCCCCAUCACCUUCGAUCGUGACGACCACCCCGAUAGGUUUGUCGCUCCUGGUGUCUACCCGCUCGUCGUCGACCCCAUCAUCGUCAACACACGGCUCUCGAAGGUGUUGAUGGACAGCGGCAGCAGCCUCAACAUCAUCUACCUUGAGACCCUCGACCUCCUAGGCAUCAAGAGAGCACAGCUCCAACCCAGCGCUAGUGGUUUCCAUGGCGUCGUGCCGAGGAAAAAGGCACUACCGGUAGGUCGAAUCGACCUACCAGUCUGUUUUGGCACGGCGGCCAACUUUAGGAAGGAAACCCUCACUUUUGAAGUGGUGUGUUUUUGAGCCACCUACCAUGCCAUCAUCGGAUGACCGGGAUAUGCCAUGUUCAUGGCAAUCCCCAACUACACUUACCUAAAGCUGAAGAUGCUCGGGCCCAAAGGAGUUAUCACUAUCAGCUCCUCUUACGAGCACGCAUACGAGUGCGAUGUCGAGUGCGUCGAAUACGGGGAAGCAGUCGAGAGCUAAGCCGAGCUCACCUCGAGGCUUGAGGCCCUCACCGCUGAGGCUCUAGAGCCUAAGCGCCAUGCGGGCAGCUUCGAGCCAGUAGAGGGCACGAAGAAAAUCCCGCUCGACCCCAACAGUUCUGGCGACAAGGUGCCAACGAUUAGCACCGACCUCGACCCCAAAUAGGAGGCCAUGCUCAUCGACUUUCUUCGUGCAAACACCAACAUGUUUGCAUGGAGUCCCUCGGACAUGCCUGGCAUACCAAGGGAAGUCACCGAGCAGUCCUUGGAGAUUUGAGCCCGUUCCAAGCCAAUGAAGCAACGCUUGCGCCGCUUCGACGAGGAGAAGCGCAAGAUCAUUGGCGAGGAGGUCCACAAGCUUUUGACGGCCAGAUUCAUCAAGGAGGUUCAUCAUCCUGACUGGUUAUCAAACCCUUUAUUGGUUAAGAAAAAUAAUUGGAAAAUGAGGAUGUGUGUCGAUUAUACCAGUUUAAAUAAAGCAUGUCCAAAAGUUCGCUUUUCUUUGCCACGCAUCGAUCAAAUUGUAGAUUCUACCACGGGAUGUGAAACCCUCUCGUUCCUUGAUGCUUAUUUCGAUUACCAUCAAAUAAAAAUGAAAGAGUCCUACCAGCUAGCGACCUCUUUCAUCAUGCCUUUUUGGAAGUACUGCUACAUAACCAUGCCCAUUGGGCUUCGAAACGCCGGAGCAACAUACCAAUGGUGCAUGCUCCAUGUUUUUGGGAAACAUAUAGGGUCAACAGUCGAGGCAUUUGUCGACGACAUCAUCGUCAAGUCAAGAAGGCAGAGCGACCUAAUUCAAGACCUCGAGAUCGCCUUUGGCUGCUUGCGCGUGAAUAAAAUCAAGCUCAACCUUGAAAAAUGUGUCUUUGGCGUGCCUCGAGGCAUGCUUUUAGUGUACAUAGUCUCUCAACGUGGCAUCGAGGCCAACCCUGAGAAAGUAUUAGCCAUUGGCCGAUUCAAGCUGUCAAGGGCAUGCAAAAAGUUAUGGGCUGUCUAGCGAUGCUGAGCCGUUUCAUCUCGAGGCUAGGGGAAAAAGCGCUGCGACUAUACCGGCUCCUAAAGAAAGCUUAGUGCUUUACCUGGACCGUCGAGGUUGAGGAAGCUCUUGAUAAACUCAAAAGAAUGCUCUCCACUGCUCCGAUCCUUGUGCCCCCUCGACCCGCAGAACCUCUGCUCCUUUAUGCUACGGCGACGACCUAGGUCGUUAGCGCCGCAGUGGUGGUCAAAAGACCAGAAGAGGGGCAUGCACUUCCAGUUCUGUGGCCUGUCUACUUCAACAGCGAGGUUCUCUCAGAAACAAAGGUACGAUACCCCUAGAUCCAAAAGCUAAUCGAUGCUGUGAUCCUCGCUCGAUGCAAGCUGCAGCAUUAUUUUCUCAGCCAUCCGAUCACGGUGGUCUUGUCCUUCCCGCUGGGCGAGAUCAUCCAGAAUCGAGAAGCCACCGGGAGGAUCGCCAAGUGGUCAGUCAAGCUCAUGGGGGAGAGCCUCACUUAUGCGCCUUGCAAAGCCAUGAAGUCCCAACUGGCGGAUUUCAUCGCGGAAUGGAUAGACACCCAACUUCCCUUGGCUCAGGUCCAAGCAGAACUCUAGACGAUGUACUUCGACGGGUCACUCAUGAAGAUAGGAGCCGGGGCAGGCCUACUAUUCAUCUCACCUCUCGGCGUCCAUAUGAGGUAUGUCAUCCGAAUACAUUUUGCCGCGUCAAACAACAUUGCAUAAUACGAGGCCCUCGUCAUCGGGCUAAGGAUCACCAUCGAGCUAGGGGUCCGGCGCCUCGAUGUUCGAGGUGACUCUCAGCUGGUCAUCGAUCAGGUCAUGAAAGCCUUGAACUGCCAUGACCCAAAAAUGGAGGCUUACUAAAAGGAAGUAUGCAAGCUUGAGGACAAGUUCCAUGGUCUCGAGCUCAUUCACAUCACACGGCGAUACAAUGAAGCAGCCGACGAGCUUGCCAAUAUUGUGUCCACUCGGGGCACUGUCCCACCAGACGCAUUCUCAAAGGACGUGCUCGAACCAUCUGUCAACCUAGGCUCGGGGGCUAGCGUCGAAACCUCCACCGCGGAGCCCACCGACACAAUCGAGGCCCUACUGACGGCAGCAGAGGUAAUGGGCGUCGAGCAAACUCCUCAACGCCCCGGUCGACCAUUUGACUAGCGCACACCUUUCCUCGACUGCUUGAUCUAGGGCGAAUUACCAGAAGAUCAAGCUGAGGCCCGUCGUAUUGCUCGACAGGUCAAAUCAUACGUAAUCUAUGGCGAGAGCGAAGAACUAUACUGAUGGAGCCCGAUCGGGAUAUUGCAACGCUGCAUCACUGUAGAAGUAGGUCGAAAGCUCCUCGAGGAUCUACACUUGGGGGCUUGUGGCCACCAUGUGCCUCCAUGAACCCUCAUCGGCAAUGCCUUCCGACAAGGCUUCUACUGGCCAACUGCUGUCGCCAACGCCAUCGAGGUUGUUCAUUCAUGCCAUGGGUGCCGAUUCUACGCCAAGCAAACUCAUCUCCCCGCUCACGCUCUAUUGAUCAUCCCCAUCACUUGGCCGUUCAUAGUAUAGGGCAGCAGGAGGGUACACCCACCUGUUGGUGGCCAUCGACAAGUUCUUCAAGUGGAUUGAGGCUCGACCCAUCACAAACAUUCGCUCCAAGCAGGCUGUCUUAUUCUUCACCGACAUAAUCCUUCGGUUUGGGAUUCCCAAUGUCAUCAUCACCGACAAUGGCACACAGUUCACCGCCAAGAACUUCUUGGACUUCUAUGACCAGCAUCACAUCCGUGUGAACUUGUCUGCAGUAGCUCACCCUCGAACCAACGGCUAGGUCGAGUGUGCCAACGGCAUGAUUUUGCAAGGGCUCAAACCUAGAAUCUACAACCGGUUGAAGAAGUUCGGCAAGAAAUGGGUCGAGGAACUCUCUUCGGUCCUGUGGAGCUUAAGAACAAUGCCAAGUAGAGCCACGAAAUAUAGCCCAUUCUUCAUGGUCUAUGGCUCCGAUGUUGUGCUUCCAACAGACCUCGAGUAUGGGUCACCUUGACUCAAAACCUACAACGAGUAGACAAACAAGGAAACUCGAGAGAAUGUGGUCGACCAGCUCGAGGAAGCUCGAGAUAUGGCCCUCCUCAACUCAGCAAGGUACCAGCAGAAGCUUCGAUGCUACCACGACAAGCACGUGUGCAAGAGAGACCUGAACAUGGGCGACCUCGUCCUAUGUCGACAGCAAAGCAAUCAAGGACACCACAAGCUGACCCCACCCGAGGUGGGCCCAUACGUGGUGGCCGAGGUCUUGAAACCAGGAACGUACAAGCUCACGAACAAAAAGGGGGCGGUCUUCACCAACGCAUGGAACAUCGAACAACUACGUCGCUUCUACCCCUAGAGCUUCGAGGCUUUACAUUUUCAUGCGCAUCUUGUAACAUCAAGGCCCUCUGAAUAUUUGAAUAAACAAAUGUUCUUUUUCAAGUAAGGUGCAUUAUUACCAGUUAGGGCUAAACGUUAGGAGGAAGUCUCGACUAGGACCCAUCAUAGUCAAUGCUCCCUUGGGGGCUAUCAAGGGGGAACCCCCCCACAGGCUCCUAAAAUUCGAACGAUUUUUCAAAAGCUCAAUGUUAUCUUCUCCCUUUCAAGCCCUAAGUAAACCCCACAUGAUUGAAUAGUAAAAAGCGCCUCGAGCCCCAUAAGGGCCGAGGGACGUCGAGCCUGAGAACCCCUACGCCUUCGGGCUACAAUAACUCUACUCACUCCCUUACACUUGAGGCAAUCAAAGUCGCCCCAAUGAAAGAUCGUUCGAGGAACGCAAACUUAGGCAGCAAAGGAAAUAAAAGGAACUCGAGCAUAAAAGUAACAAGAAUAUAUAGAAACCACGAAUCUUAAGGCCACUAAGGCCAUAAUGUUUAAUGCUAAGUAUAUUGCAAUGGGUCUAAGUACCUAGAUUAGGCUCAUAGGCCAUAAAAGAGAUGGUUUGAACUUUAUACCGCCGCGUAGAGGGGAUGAACCAAUCAAUAAUAUGAAGUCCAAUCACCAGGAGAAAUCCAAUGAACAAUCACAAUGGAGACACACAAUUUUUCUCCCGAGGUUCACGUGCUUGCCGGCACGCUACGUCCCCGUUGUGUCGAUCAACACUUAGUGGUUCGGUGGCUAAGUGGUGUAGCACGAACCUCAUCCUCACUAGGACACCACAAGAACCUACCCACAAGUGAGGUAACUCAAUGACACGAGCAAUCCACUAGAGUUACCUUUCGGCUCUCCGCCGGGAAGGUACAAGACCCCUCACAAACACCGGGAGAUGGCCACGAACAAUCACCAACUCGUGCCAAUCCUCCUCCGCUGCUCCAAGCCGUCUAGGUGGCGGCAACCACCAAGAGUAACAAGAAAAACGCAGCUAAAAUGAUCCCCAAGUGCCACUAGAUGCAGUCACUCAAGCAAAUGCAAUUGGAAUCACUCCCAAUCUCACAAAGAUGUAUAAUCUAUGAAGGAGAUGAGUGGGAGGUGUUUGCCUAGGCUCACAAGGAUGUCAAGUAUGUUAGAAUGCCAAGAGAGUGAGCCCCAAGACGGCCAAAUAAGUAUUUAGCCCCUCAAACAAAAAGAGCCGUUGACUCUGUCACUGUGUUGAACUCGGGGUCACCGGACGCUGGAACAGAGCGUUCGGUGCUCCAAAAUCUGCCACGUGUCAGCCAAACGAACAUCGCGCGUCGAUCUCUAACGGUCACCUGCAGGGCACCGGACGCGGUCAAGCGGUGCACACCGGUCUAAAACACCAAGAGGUCUGCAAACACGCGAGGUCACUGGACGCUGAGCACCGGACGCUCCAGCCUACGUCCGGUGCUCACCGGACUUAAACCUAGGGAGCACUGCAAAACGUGCAGACACUGGUCUCAGAACACCAGACGCUCUAGCCUGUGUCCGGUGCCUGGCGUCCGAUGCCUUACCCUAGCUGAGCCAGGCACUGACUGCACCGGACGCUCAGACUCAGCGUUCGGUGCUCCAGAAGCCAGCGUCCUGUGAGUGUUCCUCAGCGAGAAACACUCCCGUGACUUGUCCAAUUUUCCCAGUGGCGCAAGAGAAGAUAUGCACUUCACUAGGGUUUCAUUAAUUAUCCGCCAUUGCCAACGCUCUUGCCCUCCUGCACUUCCCUGCGCAAACUAGGACUUUCAAUCUCCCCCUUUUUGGUAAUUGAUGACAACCCUUUUUACAAAGAUUUUUCACUAAAAUUUUCUUGGAUUCAUGUUGCUUGCCCAAGCAUUUUACCAUGUGCAAAGAUUAUGGACAAGUUUCAUAAACCCAAAUUGGUAGCAAUUGCUCCCCCUACAUAUGUGCUAAGAGUUUGGAUUUGAAAGCUUGCACAUAGGCUUGAAUAGGAAAUAUAGGAGUCAAUUUCUACCAAAUGAUGCUAAGGUGUAGAGAAUAGACCUUUGAAGCGUGAUACCAAUCGGACUUGCCAAUAUACACCAUCCUUAGCACCUUUAGUAACUAGACAUUCACAAAAACUAGAACACCCCGUGAGAUCAACAUUAUAAACAAAGUUCUAGUACCACUUGUGAAGCAAAUAAAGGUCUAGUUGCACUACCUAUGCAUGCUAGUUAUUCAUUUCAUCAAUCAAACUUACAACUAGCAUACACCACACAAGCAAGGCAUCAGAGAGAAAGUUUCUAAUCCUAAUGCUAAUGCAAGCAAACAUUUGUGAUGCACAUUCAAAUGCAACAUACAAGUUUAUGAGCUUGCUCCCCCUACUUGUGUGCUUCAAAAUUUUAAUUGAUCCCCUUCUUUUAUCAUGUUACUCUCCCAUCUUUGUACUUCUCCUAUAAUUUCUCCCCCUUUGUCAUCAAGGACCACAAAAGGUGAGCUCAAAUUUUAGAUAGGUUAGUGUGAAACCAUGUGAAGUGAGAUCAUUUUCCCAAAUUGGUCCAAUCUAGAUUACUUGCGUAAGAUAUUUAACUCGGUUUGAUCCAUGGACAAGCUUCUUCACACCUCCAAAUAAGGGUUAUCUUAUACCAUGUUGAGUUAAACACUUAUAGCUCAUAUUCUAGAUCAAACACUAGGAUUGCAAGCCCACAAACAUGUCAUAUGCUAUGACUAGAUUAAGGCAACCAUAGAAGCAAUAGUGGUACCAUACAAGCAUCAAAUUCAUUUGAUUUUCUUGAAUGAUCCUAAGACAUGUAAGGAAUGACUAGAUGCACUAAGCAAGUCCUUAGCAAACAUGGAUGACAUGUCAAACAAUUUCACCUUGCUUUGCUCAAAGGAGAGGCAUGUCAUAUCAUUGGGGUGCAUCAACACAUAUUUGAGAAGUCAAGUAUAUUCAAUUCAUUCCUUAGCUUGCAAAACCUCUUUUCAUCAAGUGGAUUGGUGAAUAUGUCGGCAAGUUGAUCAUCGGUGCCUAUACUCUCAAUGCAAAUGUCCCCUUUUUGUUGGUGAUCUCUUAUGAAGUGAUGGCGGACAUCUAUGUGUUUUAUUCUUGAGUGUUGAACCAGAUUGUUGGUGAGCUUCACGGCACUUUCAUUGUCACAUAGCAAUGGCACUAGUUUGAAGUUGAUUCCAAAAUCCUUUAAUGUUGCCUUCAUCCAUAGAAUUUGUGCACAACAACUACCGGCCACAAUGUAUUCCGCUUCGGCGGUUGAUAGUGCAACACUAUUUUGCUUCUUGGAUGACCAUGAGACAAGUGAUCUUCCCAAUAGUUGACAUGUGCCCGAUGUGCUUCUUCUUUCAACUUUGCAUCCCGCAUAGUCUGAAUCCAAAUAUCCAACAAGUUCAAACUUUGCACCUUUGGGAUACCACAAACCAACAUUUUGUGUAUGCUUCAAGUACCUCAAUAUUCUCUUUGUUGCUUUCAAAUGACUUUCUCUUGGUGAGGCUUGAAAUCUUGCACACAUGCAUACACUAAACAUGACAUCCGGUCUUGAUGCGGUCACAUAGAGUAGGCUUCUAAUCAUAGACCGAUACAACUUUUGAUCCACCAUAUUUCCACUUGUAUCACUAUCUAGGCUUCCAUUUGUUCCCAUUGGAGUGCUAAUUGCCUUUGCAUCAUCCAUUCCAAACUUCUUGAGCAUGUCUUUUAUGUACUUGCCUUGACUCACAAAUGUGCCAUUCUUCAAUUGCUUGAUUUGAAGACCAAGGAAGUAGCUAAGCUCUCCGAUCAUUGACAUCUCAAACUCAUUAGCCAUCAUGUUUCCAAACUCCUCACAAAAUUCUUGAUUGGUUGAUCCAAAUAUGAUAUCAUCAACAUAGAUUUGCAACACAAACAAGUCUUUGCCAAUCUUCUUGGUGAAGAGAGUGGUGUCAACCUUGCCCAUCUUGAAACCUCUAGAGAGUAAGAAAUCUCUCAAUCUCUCAUAUCAUGCUCUUGUUGCUUGCUUCAAACCAUACAAUGCCUUUCUUAGCUUGUAAACAUGGUUGGGUUUCUUGUCAUCUUCGAAACCGGGAGGUUGCUCAACAUAGACUUCUUCAUUGAUAUAGCCAUUGAGAAAUGCACUCUUCACAUCCAUUUGGUAUAGCUUGAUGUUAUGAGCACAAGCAUAGGCUAACAAGAUCCUAAUUGCUUCCAAUCUUGCAAUCGGGGCAUAUGUUUCACCAAAGUCAAGACCUUCAACUUGAGUAUAGCCUUGUGCUACCAAUCUUGCUUUGUUUCUUACAACUAUCCCAUCUUGAUCUUGUUUGUUGCGAAAGACCCAUCUAGUACUAAUAACAUUGUGAUCACUAGGCCUCUCAACUAAUUCUCAUACUUGAUUUCUCUUAAAGUUGUUAAGCUCUUCAUGCAUAGCAUUUACCCAAUCAACAUCUCUCAAUGCUCCAUCAAUCUUCUUUGGCUCAAUGUGAGACACAAAGGAGAAAUGCUCACAAAAUGAUGCUAAUCUUGAUCUAGUUUGCACUCCUCUUUGAAUGUCACCUAUGAUAUGAUCCAAUGGAUGAUCUCUUGCAAUGUUUGUUGGUUGGAGUAUUUGCACUUGAUUGCUUGUACUUGGUUGAUCAUGAGAUGAUGUACUAGCUUGUUGAUCUUGCACUUGUGUACCACUUGUACUAGCUUGAUUUUGAUCAUGAGAACCACUAGCUUGCACAUUAGAGGUAGGAAGCACCUGAUCUUUGUCAUCUUCAACAUCAAUCACCUCUCUUGGCCUUAAAUCACCAAUAUCCAUAUUAUUCAUUGCAUCGGCCAAUUGAGUGCCUCUCACAUCAUCUAGAUUUUCAUCUUCCUCUUGAGAGCCAUUGGUUUCAUCAAAUUCAACAUCAUGCACUUCUUCAAGAGUACCACUAGCCAAAUUCCACACUCUAUAAGCUUUGCUAGUAGUUGAGUAACCAAGCAAGAAUCUUCAUCACAUUUCUUUUCAAAUUUACUCAAUCUAGUGCCUUUCUUCAAUAUGUAGCAUUUGCAACCAAAAACCCGAAAGUAUGCAAUGUUGGGCUUUCUUCCAUUCAAGAUCUCAUAUGGUGUUUUCUCCAUCAUUGGGUGACAAUAGAGUCGGUUGCUAUAGUAGCAAGCCGUGUUGAUUGCUUCGGCCCAAAAAGAAUGACUUACAUUGUACUCACUCAACAUUGAUCUUGCCAUGUCAAUCAAGGUUCUAUUUUUCCUCUCUACAAGACCAUUUGAUUGUUUGGAGUGUACUUGGCCGAGAAUUGAUGCCUAAUACCAAAUUCAUCACAAAUCUCAUCAAUUCUUGUAUUCUUGAAUUCACUUCCAUUGUCACUUCUCACUUUCUUGAUGGUUGUUUCAAACUCAUUGUGUAUUCUCUUGACAAAUGAUUUGAAGGUUGCAAAAGCAUCACUCUUGUCACUAAGAAAGAAUACCCAUGUAUAUCUUGUGAAAUCAUCCACUAUCACAAAUCCAUAUUUGUUUCCACCAAUGCUUGUGUAUGUGGUUGGUCCAAAUAAGUCCAUGUGCAACAACUCAAAUGCCUUGCAUGUACACAUGAUGCUUUUUUUGGAUGAGUGUUGCCUACUUGCUUUCCGGCUUGACAUGCACUACAAAGCCUGUCUUUCUCAAAUGUGACAUCUUUCAAGCCUCUAACAAGAUCAUGCUUGACUAACUUAUUCAAUUGUUUCAUUCCAACAUGAUCAAGCCUUCUAUGCCAUAACCAACCCAUGCUAGAUUUAGUUAGCAAGCAUGUUGACAAUUGAGCUUCACUAGCACUGAAAUCAACCAAGUAUAGAUUCUCAUAUCUAAAGCCUUUAAAAAUCAAGUCAGAGCCAUCUACACUUAUGAUCUCUACAUCAUCAACUCCAAAUAUGCAUUUGAAACCAAGAUCACAAAGUUGAGCUACGGAUAGCAAAUUGAAGUUCAAGCUCUCUACUAGUAGCACAUUGAAAAUGCUCAAAUCAUUGGAUAUAGCAAUUUUACCAAGCCCUUUGACCUUGCCUUUGCCAUUGUCACCAAAUGUGAUACUAUCAACACCAUUGUCAUCAUUUGGAUUGAUUGAAUUGAACAUUCUUGAAUCACCGGUCAUGUAUUGUGUGCAGGCAUUAUCAAUCACCCAAUGUCUUCCUCCAGCUUUAUAGUUUACCUACAAAACAAAUCAAUGUUUCUUAGGUACCCAUACUUGUUUGGGUCCUUGAAGGUUAGUGACUAAGCUCUUUGGUACCCUAAUGUCCUUCUUCUUUGGACCCACAACUGGUGUACCAACAAACUUAGCAUGCACACCCUUCUCACCCUUGGUAAGCACAUAACAUGAAUCAAAAGGAAUGUAAGGUACAUUAGCAUUUUUCUUGUUCUUGUUCAUUUUGUUGCAAUUAAGCUCUAAGUGCCCAACUUGCUUGCAUUUGUUGCAAUACCGACCAUUUCUCUUCACAAAGCUAGGCUUGUGAGUUGCAAAGGCUUUCUUGCCUUUCUUGGGGGUAUAGCCUAAUCCCUCUUUAUUAAGAGAAAACCUUUGGCUACCCAAGCACUUUAGCAAGCGGGCCUCACCACCAUAGGCCUUGCCUAGGGCGUGAGUGAGCUCAUCCACCUCUCUCUUGAGAGUCUCAUUCUCAACCUUUAGUGAGGUAUCACAAGUGACACUAACACUAGAAGUGGAGGUAGAGUUGGUGGUGGUGGAUGAAGACCUAUAAGAAGAGUUAGUGGCAAUAACAAUAGGUGGGUUGGGUGAUUCUUUAAUUAAGUCACAUGUUGUGCCCACAUCACAUGAUACAACAACCUUUUCCUUGUUCUCUUCUAAUAACAAGGAGUGAGCUUUUUCAAGCUUGAUGUGAGCUUUGCCAAGCUUCUCUUGGGCUUCCACUUGCCUCUCAUGAUUAGCAUUUAGCUCAUCAAAGGAUUGCUCAAGAGCUUUUAACUUCUUGGCCAAUUCAUUGCACUUCUUCUUUUUAGAUUGAAUGAGAGAAUCAGCUUGCUCUAACAUGUCCACGAGUUGUUCAUUAGUGAAUUCAUUUUCAUCAUCACUAUCACUAUCAUGUUCAUGUUCACUUUUACGUUCACUCUCAUCGUAUUGUACCUUGUGGCCCUUGGCCAUGAAGCAUGAAGGAGUGUCGAAGAGUGAUGGCUUGUUGAUAGCAAUGCUUGCAAGUGCCUUCUUCUUGGAUGCCUUGUCAUCAUCACUAGAAUCAUCAUCCGAAGAAGCGUCACUAUCCCAUGUCACAACAUAGGAUCCACCCUUCUUCUUCUUCUUGAAGACCAUCUUCUUCUCUUUCUUUUCUUUCUUCUCCUUCUUGUUCUUCUUCUCAUGCUCAUCAUGAUCCUAUUGUAUGGACAAUCCGCCACAAUAUGAUCGGGGCUCUUGCACUUGUAGCAUAGCCUCACAUAUUCCUUAUUUUUGGAGUUGUCCCUUCUCUUUCUUGUGUGGUAGCCCUUCUUCUUCAUCAUCUUGCCAAACUUGCGGACGAAGAGUGCUAGUGCUUCAUCAUCAUUAUCAUCAUUAGAGCACUCCUCAUCACUUGAUUCUUCCUUCUUGGCCUUGCCCUUGUUCUUGCUCUUGGAUGAAGAGCUAGCUUUGAAUGCUACACUCUUCUUCUUCUUAUCAUCAUCAUCCUUCUUCAUGACCUCAUCAUCAUCAUUGUCAUUGUAUUGAUCUUCAGUCAUGACAUCUCCAAGUACCUCAUUAGGAGAUACACCCGUCAAUCCACCUCUAAAGAUGAUUGUUCUCAAUGUCUUGAACCUCUUGGGUAAGCACAUCAAGAACUUGUGAAUGAAGUCCUCAUCUUUCACUUUCUCACCAAGGCCCUUGAGAUCAUUGAUGAUGACUUGGAGCCUAUAGAACAUCUCCGGUAUAGACUCAUCAUCCUUCAUCUUGAAGUUGGAUAGCUUGUCCUUGAGCAUAUACAAUUUGGCACUUUUUACCGCUGUAGUGCCCUCAUAUGUUUCUUCUAGCCUUGUCCACACUUCACUUGCUCUCUCAAGAUCUUUGACUUGUUCAAAUACCUUUGAAUCAAUGCCAUUAUAGAUUGUGUUGAGAGCCAUUGUAUUGCAUUGCUUGUUUGCUCUCUCAUUGUCGGUGGGGUUAGCGGGGUCAAGGAUCACAAAAUCAUUCUCCGUGACUUCCCACACUCUAUCAUUGAUUGAUCCAAGGUACAUCUUCAUUUUUCUCUUCAAAUAGUCAAAAGAGCUUGUGCCAUCAAAGAACGGUGGUGUGCCCCCAACAUUGUUGAACACUAUUUGAACCAUAAUUUGAGCACUGAGGUUGUUAAGCCUUCACAAACGGUGACCACGGCUCUGAUACCACUUGAAAGGUCCUAAUAUGGCUAGAGGGGGUGAAUAGCCUAUUUAAAAAUUCUACAAACUCACUAGAGCAAGAGGUUAGUAAAUAACAAAGCGAAGCUUUUUGCUCUAGCUCUAAUGGGGUGUUUGCAAGCCACCUAUCCAACAAUUCUAGUUGAUAUAAUCAUUAGGCACACAAGACCUAUGUCACUACUUACACUAGAAAGCUACCUAAAGUUUCUAUACAAGUAAGUAGGCUACUCUAGUUUGCGGGAAUGUAAAAGAGAUGGUUUGAACUUUAUACCGUCACAUAGAGGGGAUGAACCAAUCAAUAAUAUGAAGUCCAAUCACCGAGAGAAAUCCAAUGAACAAUCACAAUGGAGACACAUAAUUUUUCUCCUGAGGUUCACAUGCUUCCCGGCACGCUACGUCCCUAUUGUGUCGACCAACACUUGGUGGUUCGGUGGCUAAGAGGUGUAGCACGAACCUCCUCCUCAUUAUGACACCACAAGAACCUACCCAAAAGUGAGGUAACUCAAUGACACGAGCAAUCCACUAGAGUUACCUUUCGGCUCUACGCCAGGGAAGGUACAAGACCCCUCACAAUCACCGGGAGGCCACGAACAAUCACCAACUCGUGCCAAUCCACCUCCACUGCUCCAAGCCGUCUAGGUGGCGGUAACCACCAAGAGUAACAAGAAAACCGCAGCUAAAAUGAUCCCCAAGUGCCAUUAGAUGCAAUCACUCAAGCAAAUGCACUUGGAAUCACUCCCACUAUCACAAAGAUGUAUAAUCUAUGAAGGAGAUGAGUGGGAGGUGUUUGCUUAGGCUCACAAGGAUGUCAAUUAUGUUAGAAUGCCAAGAGAGUGAGCCCCAAGCCGGCCAAACACAUAUUUAGCCCCUCAAACAAAAAGAGUCGUUGGCUCUGUCACUGGGUUGAACUCGGGGUCACCGGACGCUACUCAGGAGGCACCGGACGCUGGAACAGAGCGUCCAUGUGUCAGCCAAAGGAACACCGCGCGUCGAUCUCUAAUGGUCACCUGCAGGGCACCGGACGUGGUCAAGUUGGCACCGGACGCGUCCGGUGCACACCGGUCUAAAACACAAAGAGGUCUGCAAACACGCGAGGUCACCGGACGCUGAGCUCCGGAUGCUCCAGCCUAUGUUCGGUGCUCACCGGACUUAAACCUAGGGAGCACUGCAAAACGCGCAGACACCGGACUCAGAACACCGGACGCUCCAGCCUGCGUCCGGUGCCUGGCGUCCGGUGCCUUACCCUAGCUGAGCCAGGCACUGACUGCACCGGACGCUCAGACUCAGUGUCCGGUGCUCCAGAAGCCAGCGUCCGGUGAGUGUUCCUCAACGAGAAACACUCCCGUGACUUGUCCAAUUUUCCCAGUGGCGCAAGAGAAGAUAUGCACUUCACUUUCUCAAAAAGCGCCGAAUCCAUCAUCUCUCUACCCAGCAAACUCCACCUCCUUCUCAAAGUGUGCCAACACCACAAUGUGUAAACCAACAUGUGCACGUGUGUUAGCAUUUUCACAAUCAUUUACUUCAAAGGAGUUAAGUUAGCUUAGUAGGUUCUAAAUGCAUGCACAUGAACAAUGACACCUAGUGGCACUUGAUAACCGCUUAGCCAAAGAAUUCCCCUCUUUAUAGUACGGCUAUCUAUCCUAAAUGUGAUCACACCCUCUAUGGUGUCUUGAUCACCAAAACCAAAACACUAAGCAAUACCUUUGCCUUGAUCUCCAUAGGGUUUUGUUUUUCUCUUUCUUCUUUUCCAAGUUGACCACUUGAUCAUCUUGUGGUCAUCACCAUCAUCACUAUAAUCAUCACUUGCUCCAUCAAUUGGCAUGUACCAACCUCAUUAAGUCUACACACACUUAGUAUAGAGGUUAGUACUAGGGUUUCAUCAAUUAUCCAAAACCAAACUAGGGCUUUCACGGGGGCGCAGGAGCCCCUCCUUCUCCAAAUCCCUAAAUCGACGCUCCGUCAUAGACGACGGGCGCCAAUCGUCAGCGGCGAUGAGUCUCACAGGCAUCUUGUCAGGAGGUGCAGGGCGACUCUAUGGAUCUCUCUACUCGAGGGUGUGGUGUGUCGCAGGCGCGCAGGGAAGUGCAGGAGAGCAAGAGCGUUGGCAAUGGCGGAAUGCGGAAGAGACGGUAGCCGGACGACCCCCCGAUAUUUAUAGAUACCCCCCAAUGGGCGGAUCCGACAAACGCGGUAACCUCCCCAAUAAAUGCGCCGCCUAACGGUCUUAUUCCUCUCUCUGACAGGACGUUACGAAUUCCGCCAACGAAACUGCACCGCAACGUCUUCCUCCUAAAAAGGCGCACCCAACGGGCAAGUGUUGGGUAUUUUAAACGCAAACAGAAAAAAUCCGCAAGCGCAUGGAUACCGAUGUAGCUUUCACCUGGGAGUAUUCCAAAGUAUCGAUUUUCCACAGGGAACGUGAGUGUACUAAUUAAGAUUCAAGAUUGCCCUAGGAUAACUAUAUAAUUAUUUUUGGUGGAAAGAGAGGAAGUUUCCUGAGAGUUAUCUAGUUGAUCUAAGAAUCUAGAAUUACUUCGAAGAUUAUUUAUUUCGGGACAUCAGAACACUAACCACAGAAAGAGAUGAGAAGGGGCUAGGAAGCUCUGACUACGGUCCUACAAACACCGAUCCAAACGAGGUGGAAUACGUCGACCGUUAGGGCUGUCACUACCCUAGGGUUACCACAACAAUCCACAGGAUUGGGUGCAAUUCUAGGUAAUUGCAAGACUAAACACCACGUCUAAUCUAUUAAUUACUACUCUAGCGUUGCAAAGACUAGGGCACUUGAUGCAAGCCGGAAUCCAAUAAUAACUUGAAUGUAAAUAAAAGUAAUUAAAGAACUCAGUAAUUAUGAAUUGAAGAACUUGGAGAAUGAUGAAGAACAAACCAGUUGCUGCAAAAGUACAAUGUUGAGGAAGAUCCGACAGAUCCGGCUCCUCCUCCGCUCUCCUCUUCUCUCUCUCUAUUUUCUAGAUUACAACUAGAACUAACUAGAACUAGAACUAGAUGAACUAGAACUAGAUGAACUAGAACUAGAUGAACUAGAACUAGAACUAGAUGAACUAGAGGGAUCCUCUCUACUUGGAUGAAUAAUUGAAACCCUAUAUUUGAUUUUGUAGAAGAGAUUGUCUCCUCCGGGGGCCAAGCGACCUGCUUAUAUAGCCCCUCCAAAUGAAUGUGGGCCGUCAGAUCAAACCAACCUUAAUCGCAUGGUUUUCCUUAAUCCCUUAGGUUGGUGGAGCAUGAUCCAUGAGGCGGGGCCUGGUUGGCCGAGGCACCUGGGCGGGCGCCCAAGGGGGGAGGCCGGGCACCUUGCCCCCGGGCCCGCUCGGCCUCCCGUUCGUUCCCGUGGCUUCUGGAGUCUUCUAGAUGAUAGAAAGUUGGCGCACACAUUAAUAUCUCUAUGUAAACCCGACGUGUGGGCCUUUCCUCCAUAUUUCCUGAUGACCCCCUGUGAAAUAGACAAACACCAAAAAUCGUGGAAUUCUAUCAGAUAAAACCCAAAGUCUAGGUGUUGGUUGCAUUUGGAUCCUUUUCCAAGAUUAGUUGAUGAUUAAAUGUGAGCUUUAAGGACUGUCAACAAGCUCCCCCAAGCAUAACCUUUGCUCAUCCCUGAGCAAAGCUAAAAUCAGCAAGAAAACAGGGGUUACUUUUAUACCUCUUACUACAGGGUUUUUAAGUUAUCACUAAGGUCUUAAGUGAUUGAAAAACAGAACGAUCAAGUCAAGCACUAUGUCUCAAGUUCUUCUGUCUUACCUUUGUUCUGGAGUUUUUUUUAAGUUUCCAAAAUAAAACUGAGGCAUUUGCCUGCUUCUCGAAAGAUAUAUAAUUAGAGCUUUAAAAGUUUUAGCAUACUUACUUUGCAUUUUGCUAUGUCAAUGCUCGGAGCAAGGGAGAGGUAUGUCAUACUCCUAGAUCAAGACCUUUGACCAUUUUGGAAAGUUUGUCGUCUCUUACUGGCAUAUUUCUUAUUAGAGGGACCAUGGGCUAUAAUUUUUUUCUUUCUUUUUUUCAGUGUCUCUCUUUUUCUUUUUUCAAGUGGGCACCAAUUACCCCUAAUUCUACUAUCGGACACUUGUCCAUUUUUACCUCUCGUCUCACUCUUUUUUUCGAAUCAAAUUUUUGCAUAGUCCCAUGCCUCUAACGCAAUAAUACUUCAGAAGAGUGAAUCUUUUCAUUUUUAAAACAAAAAUAUCUUGAUCUUUGGAGCAUGAUAAUUCUCUCAACCAAAACUACAACAAUUAACAAUGGCUUGAACAAAGCAAGUGCCCAUAGUUUUAAUAUUUAUAUCUUAUAAGACUCUAGGUAUUAUGACAAACAGGAUCUCUUUUUUUUGAAUUUUUUAGAUUUUCAAAAGAUAAAAUCUCCAGAACUCUAGCGAAACUUGGAACAAGUUAAAUAGUAGCUCAGACCUUCUCAUAUCAUGUUUGUCAAUUACCUAGACUUGGAUCAAACUUUCUUUUUAUUUUAUUUAAAACUUAGGAUUACACAAAACUAUUGUAUAUUACUCAAAAAAAACUUUGUUUGGUUUCAUGAUUAUGCAUUUUAUUUAUUUAUUUCCGAAUACUAGUAAAUAAAACCAAGAAAGAAAAGUAAUACUUAUCUAGAUACACGUGGGGGUGCCUCCCCCAAGCUGGAUGUUGACAUAGUCGUUCACUCUUGUGGCUUGCAUGUUUGGUCUCACUCUUCUUAAGCCUCAAAAUCCUGCACAACCCAAAUAGACAACAAAACUCGUGGAGCAUGUUAAGGGUUAGGUAAUUGUCUAGAGCUUAUGAGAGCUUAAUGUGAGAAUUCUAUGAACUCAAUCACAUCAAGUUCCUCUACCAGGUUGUUUUGUGGCUCGAGAUAGAUUUUCAAGCGUUGACCAUUUACCUUAAAAGUGUUACUUAUGUCGUCUUGGAUGGUAAUGGCUCCAUGAGUUGAGGUGUCAAUAACCUUGUAUGGUCCAUCCCACUUACUUCGUAGCUAACCAUGCCUAAAGAGCUUAACUCUUGAUUUGAAUAGUAGAACCUUAUCUCUAGGCUUAAACUCCUUGUGCUUGAUUCUCUUAUCAUGCCAUCGUUUUGUUCUCUCUCCUUAUAGAUCCUUGAAUUGUGGUAGGCUUUCUCUCUCCAUUCUUCUAGCUCAGAUAUUCGCAUCAGACGAUUCUCGCUAGCAAGGUAGAGAUCCAUGUUCCAUUUCUUGAGUGCCCAAUGAGCCUUAAACUCUACUUCCACAGGCAAAUGACAAGUUUUUCCAUAUACAAGUUGAUAAGGUGACAUGCCUAUGGGUGUUUUGAAUGCAGUUCUAUAUGCCCAAAGUGCAUCAGGAAGUUUGUCCUUCCACCCCUUACCCAUCUCAUCUACGGUCUUUUGUAAAAUAUUUUUGAUUUGUUUAUUAGAUGUUUCGGCUUGACCGCUAGUCUGAGGAUGGUAUGGUGUUGCGAUGUUGUGUCAAACUCCAUGAUAAGCUAGGUACUUCCAGAAGAUUUUGUCGAUGAAGUGGGAACCUCCAUCGGUUAUAACUAUCCGGGGUAUACCAAAGCGAGGAAAGAUUACUUCAUGGAACAUUCUCUUGACAUGUUUUGAAUCAGCUGAUCGACAAGGUAGGGCUUCUACCCAUUUGGACACAUAGUCCACAGCUACUAAGAUAUACUCGCAAUUCCCGGACAUAGGGAAUGGCCCCAUGAAAUCAAUGCCCCAUACAUCGAAAAGUUCUACUUGAAGAUUAUUUGUGAGAGGCAUUUCAUUUCGUGAGUUGAUAUUCCCAUGUUUUUGACAUCAGUGGUAUCUCCUGACAAAGUCCUUUGUAUCUUCAUACAUCGUUGGUCAAAAAAAGCCACUUUGCCAAAUUUUAGCAUGUGUCCAGAAUGCUCCAUAGUGUCCUCCAUAUGGCGAGGCAUGGCAUCUUUCCAUAAUUUGAGUAGCCUCAGCCAUAGGAACACACCUUCUCAGGAGUCCAUCAGCGCAGACUCGGAAAAGAUAUGGCUCAUCCCAAAGGUGGAAACGACUAUCGUGAAGCAACUUCCUUUUGUUUGUAUCUGGUGGGACAUAGCCUUUUACUAUAAAGUUUACGAUGUCUGCGUACCAUGGAUCUACAUGUGUUAUCUUAAGCAGGGUGUCAUCCCUUAGGUAGUCAUUUAUGGGAAGCUCAUCAUGUGUUUCCUUAUAUUGAAGCCUAGACAAGUGGUCAGCUACGGAAUUCUCUACCCCCUUCCUAUCUCAGAUUUCUAUGUCAAAGUCUUGGAGUAGAAGAAUCCAUCGAAUUAGACGAGGCUUAGCAUGUUUCUUAGUGAGGAGGUACUUGAGAGCAGCAUGGUCUGAAUAGAUGAUUAUCUUUGCCCCCACUAAGUAUGAUCUAAACUUGUCUAUAGAAAAGAUAAUAGUCAAAAGCUCUUUUUCAGUUGUAGUGUAAUUGAGCUAUGGUCCAGACAAGGUUUUGCUAGCGUAGGAUAUGGCAUAAUGCUUUUUAUCCCUAGUUUGUCCUAAAAUGGCACCAACCGCAAAAUUGCUAGCAUCACACAUGAUCUCAAAAGGAAGAUUCCAAUCAGGUGGUUGGAUAAUCGGGGCUGAGAUGAGUGCUUUCUUAAGAGUUUGAAAACAUUCAUGACACUCAUCACUAAAGAUGAAAGGUGCAUCCUUAGCUAGGAGACUAGUUGGGGGUCUAGCAAUUUGAGAGAAGUUCUUGAUAAAGCGUCUAUAGAACCCUGCAUGUCCCAAAAAGCUACGGAUUCCUUUCACAUUCGUGGGAGGUGGAAGUUUUUCAAUAACUUCAAUCUUUGCUUUGUCCACCCCUAUACCACGUUCGGACACUUUAUGUCCUAGCACUAUUCCUUCCUGAACCAUAAAAUGGCAUUUCUCCCAGUUUAGGAUUAAGUGCUUUUCUUCACAUCGCUGCAAGACUCUAUCUAAAUUAUCCAAACAAUGAUCGAAGGUUUUGCCAUAGACGGUAAAAUCAUCCAUGAAAACCUCCAUGAUAUUCUCAAUCAUGUCCGAGAAAAUAGACAUCAUGCACCGUUGGAAAGAAGUUGGAGCAUUGCACAAUCCGAACGACAUUCAUCGGUAUGCAUAAGUUCCAUACGGACAUGUAAAGGUAGUCUUUUCUUGGUCAUCUGGGUGGAUUAGGAUUUGGUGAUAUCCAGAAUAACCCAUCAAGGAAACAGAAGAAAGAGUGGUUUGCAAGCCGUUCCAACAUUUCAUCAAUGAAGGGUAACAAAAAGUGAUCUUUUUUUGUACCUUGUUGAGUUUUCGAUAGUCAAUACACAUACACCACCCAGUGACAAUUUGUUGAGGGAUGAGUUCAUUCUUCUCAUUCCUAACGACCAUCAUUCCUCCUUUCUUUGGCACUACUUGGACAGGGCUAACCCACUCACUAUGUGGCACAGGAUAUAUAAUCCUAGCAUGAUAGAGUUUGAGGACCUCUUUCUUAACAACCUCUCGCAUAGCAUUGUUAAGUCUCGAUUCUGGUUCCCUUGAAGGUGUAAAAUUGGGAUCAAUAGGGAUACGAUGGGUGCAGAGAAUGGGACUAAUGCCCGUGAGAUCUUCGAGAGAGUAGCCAAAUGCUGAUCUAUGCCUAUCAAGAAUAGUGACAAGUUGUGUUUCAUAAUCGGAAAGCUUGUCAGUGAUAAUUACUGGAGUUUUUGGGUUGUUGUGCAAAAAGACAUAUCUAAGGCCAGAAGGAAGAGGUUUUAACUCUAUCGAAGGAGGUGAAGGUUGUUCAUUUUUAUCUAGCUCAAUGGGUUCUACCAACUCUUCUUCUUCUUGAACAAAGUGUUCAUGAUUAAAGAAUGGUUGGGCCAUCUCCUCUUGAGUCAGCAUUAAGAUUUCCUCAAGAGGAUCUGGUUCAAGUUUGGGUUCCACUAUCUUGUUAAUUGAUCUAGCAAGAGGAACAACAAUAGUGGAAUUCCCAACCUUGAAGUCUAAAUGACCUCGUUGUGGUUGUUCUUGUAGAAGUUUCAUGAUUGGUCUGCCAAUCAAGAGGGGAAUCUUCGGUAUGUCAAAAAUGUGAAAAUCUAGACAUAUUCCAGAGUCCUUGAUUUUAACAGGAACUGCCUUAAUACCCCAUGGCUUUCUAGAAUUAAUCCAGAUGGAUUUUGUAAAAGUUUUUGGGAUGGGGUUAUGGACUCGAUGGGAUAAAGAGUGUCAGCUAACUCCUUGGAAAUAACAUUUAUCCCAACAUAUGGUUUGUAGUGGACCUUCCUAGCGGACCCUCUAAUUUGGCACAGAAGAAUGGUUGAAGGAGUGAUGAUCCGAGCUACCUUAGGAGACAGCUCUGCUUUUGUUAGUCAUUCGUAACUCAGAAUAGCCGAAAGGCUUUUGAUGUGUUCUAUGUCAAUAGAUUCUACUCUUAGAACAGAUUGAGUGGUCCCUGCUAGAGGUCAUGUUUGGAUAGGAAAAUUUGAGGUGUUUCCAUAAUCUUCAAAAAGAUCUUCCUCGAAUUCAAAGGGAAGCUCUAAUGGUGGUGGUUCAUCAUCCCUUAGUUGGUUUUGCAUUCCCUUAUCGGGAGGUUUCUCUACAACCAAAUUAAUAGAUGGGCCAGGUGGAAUUUCUAACUCGGUUGCAAGUUCCUCAUCUUUUGGUUUAGGAUCAGGCUCGACUUCUUUUUCUUUUUCAGGAAACUCAUCAUAAAUGCCUGUGUAAGGGGUAUUUUCAAGGAUUCUCUCUAGGAUAGCUCUCCCCUCGUCUAUGAGUUUGUGUGCGAAUGAGCCUCCUGAGGCAAUGUCGAGGUGAAGAGCAGCUUCCUUGUUUAGACCACGAUAAAAGUGGUAGUACAGUACAUGGUCAGGCGGGGAAAGGUUUGGACCGGAAUUAGUAAGGCUUGAGAACCUAGCCCAAGCUGCUCCUAAAGUUUCCUUCUCUCUUUGUUUGAAUGUAAGAAUUUCGAUUCUAAGGUCAGCGAUUCGAAAAAGUGGGAAGAAAGCGAGACAAAAGUUGUCCCGAAGUUCAUCCCAAUUUCCAUUAACGCCUCCUACAGAAUGAGCAUACCACUUUUUUGCUCUUCCCAAAAGGGAGAACGAAAAUAAUUUCCAUUUAAGGGUUUCUUGUGUCAUGCCGGAAAUAGAUCGGCAAGAGCACAACUGCUCGAAUUCUCUAAGGUGGGUGUAUGGAUCUUCAUCUACUUGCCCAGAGAAGAGUUGCUCCUGAAUCAUGGCUAUUAGAUCAGGGCCGAGGUCAUAGCCAUUUGUAAGAAUUGGAUGUGAUGAUGGUGGUGGCUCUAAUAACUCACCCUUUGGAGCAAACAGUUUAUAGAUAGGAGUGAAAUCCAUGUGGUACGGCGAAAAUGGUAAGGUGAGUGUGGUAAAAAAGGAAAAGAAAAAGGAUACACGGAUGACUUGGUUCGAAACUAGCACAGCUACCGUUGCCUGGCAAUGGCACCAGAAAGCUUGUUGGGUAUCUUAAACGCAAACAGAAAAAAUCCGCAAGCGCACAGAUAUCGAUGUAGCUUUCACCCGGGUGUAUUCGAGAGUAUCGAUUUUCCAUAGAGAACGUGAGUGUACUAAUUAAGACUCAAAAUCGCCCAAGGAUAACUAUAUAAUUAUUUUUGGUGGAAAGAGAGGAAGUUUCCUGAGAGUUCUCUAGUUGAUCUAAGAAUGAAGAAUUACUUCAAAGAUUAUGUAUUUCAUGACAUCAGAACACUAACCACGGAAAGAGAUGAGAAGGGGGCUAGGAAUCUCUCACUACAGUCCUACAAACACCGAUCCGAACGAGGUGGAAUACGUCGACCGUUAGGGCUAUCACUACCCUAGGGUUACCACAACAAUCCGUAGGAUUGGGUGCAAUAAUAGGUAAUUGCAAGACUAAACACCACGUCUAAUCUAUUAAUUACUACUCUAGUGUUGCAAAGACUAGAGCACUUGAUGCAAGCAGGAAUCCAAUAAAUAACUUGAAUGUAAAUAAAAGUAAUCAAAGAACUCAGGAAUUAUGAAUUGAAGAACUUGGAGAACGAUGAAGAACGUCCAGUUGCUGCAAAAGUACAAUGUUGAGGAAGAUCCGACAGAUCUGGCUCCUCCUCCGCUCUCCUCUUCUCUCUCCCUAUUUUCUAGAUUACAACAAGAACUAACUAGAACUAGAACUAGAUGAACUAGAACUAGAGGGAUCCUCUCUACUUGGAUGAAUAAUUGAAACCGUAGCUUUGAUUCUGUAGAAGAGAUUGUCUCCUCUAGGGGCUAGGGGGCCGUCGGAUCAAACCGACCUUAAUCGCACAGUUUUCCUUAAUCCCUUAGGUCGGUGGAGCAUGAUCCACGAGGCGGGGCCUCAUUGGCCGAGGCACCUGGGUGGGUGCCCAAGGGGGGAGGGCGGGAGCCCUACCCCUAGGCCCGCUCGGCCUCGCGUUCGUUCCCGUGGCUUCUGGAGUCUUCUAGAUGAUAGAAAAUUGGCACACACGUUAAUAUCUCUAUGUAAACCUGACAUGUGGGCCUUUUCUCCAUAUUUCCUGAUAACCCCCUGCAGAAAUAGACAAACACCUAAACUCGUGGAAUUCUAUGAGAUAAAACCCUAAGUCUAGGUGUUGGUUGCAUUUGGAUCCUUUUCCAUGAUUAGUUGAUGGUUAAAUGUGAGCAAUAAGGACCCUCAACAGCAAGAAAGCGAACUGCCACGAUCGUUCCUUCCGUCGCAAGGUAAGGCAGGCGCGCGCCGCCAUAAGAACCUCGAGGGAGCGCAGACCGGCCCACCGGAUGGGUUCGACGGUCGCCCUCGAGUACCAGAGUCAGGGGCGCCCAGCAAGGGGUCGAAAACGAGGCCUGCCUCGAGAACUCGCUAGGAGUAUCCAAGGCAGGGGCAAGAAGGUUGAGAGCAAUCCCCACGGAGGGAGGCGUCGAGCCACUGGACUGUAUCGAACGAGACCAGUAUCCUCGACCGCGCUAGCCUAGCUUUGAUGAGAACGCCUCCGGUCUGCAGCCAACCCCAUUGAAUGGGGCAUGGGUUCUCGCUUGGAUUACCCGAUAGAAGCUCACCCAAGACGAUGACGCUCACUCCACCGGGAGCACGUCACGCUCUUAGCCUCGAAAAGGUAAAGCCAGCCAACGAAGGUCGGAGGCUCUCUUCCAGAACGAACGCCCUUCGGUCAAAAGGAAGAUUGGGAGUGGUCGCAUCUGAAAAAGCAAUACAGCCCUCAAAGGAGUCCAAGACUCCUCCGAGGGCUCGGGGGCUACCCCCACGGGGGUCGCUACACGGAAACUCGACCGUCGGAAGAACUUCUGCUCGAACACAAGUGCUUGAACAGAGGCUCAGGGCUGCUGUCAAGGAUGUCAAUAGGGGGUAUCCCAGCCAACACCCACAAUGAGAGGAUUCACAAACAAAUCAAGGCUCCAGCUCGACGCUCCGACAUGAAUACAUGAUCACUGAGGCGCGGUGUCGAUCGUGGCCUCGAACACAGAAACAGAGUCUAGUGGAUCGACAAGGGCUCGAUGGCCAGCAACCAUCGAAUAUGGAAAUAGCGUCGAGCGAAUCAACGGGACUCGAGCACAAAAGCGUCCCCCGCUACCUGUCGCGAGUACGGAAGUCAGGGCAUUAAAUCUGACUGCCAUGCUCCCACCUAACACGACAGUCACGGGAAGCAUGAUAGGGGAACAAGCACCCGUCAAAUCUCCACUUUUUCCAGCUUUAUCCCCAAGAUUGGAUAAAGGUACGACUCAACACAGUGCUGCAGGCGUAAUAUCCCAUCACGGCACCCCUCGAGACGCACAAAGUCAGCACUUCCACGUAACGAGGAUGCUCGAGCCGCCCAACCCUCGAGUAGACACGUUCCUUCCUAGGAAAGGAUCUGGUGAUGGAAGUCAGCAUUUCAACCACCCCAGACAUGACUACUGCCACGACGUACAAGCAUGCUCGCGCCUAAGCCAAUACAAGACGAUGUACAGGAGUUGAAUUCAGGGAACGUGCGCACCAUCAUCACCAAAGUACCCCGUAACAAGAUGGCUCGAGGCUACGCUGGUACGGAAGCCUCGAGUAGGCUAGCGCCAUACCCCUAUCGAGACUUAUUCUAAUGCCUACACUCUGUAACCUAGGUCUCCCCUUGGAACUAUAAAAGGGGACACUGAGGACAACAUCUGGGAUAGGAGAUACAACUCAUAAAACACAAUUCUCACACACCACCACCGGCUAGGACUUAGAACUCUUGGCCACAUCCGCUUGCAUUCACCCCUGUACAAGCACUUAGGUGCAAGAUAAUACAAAGUCUCCCCCUGCUGGAUGUAGGGCCUUCUUUUGCCCGAACCAGGAUAAAUCUUUGUGUCAUUCUUGUAUCACCAUCCAGAAAAGGGAGCACGCAUACAAAUUCACUCGUUGGUGUCACCCCCGGGGUCAAAACACAGACAAGUUUGUUUCUAGAAUAUGGCUAGUCGUACUCGUAGGGUGAAGCUAUAAGAGGUAACCACUAUUGUAAAUAUUUUUGUUGCUCAAGAUAUGUUAUUGUUACAUUUUUUCCAUUUAUGAAUGCUUACUAGUUACUAUUUGUAAUAUAUUUAUAUAUAUUUAUGUAUGGUGUUAGAUUAUUGUCAACUUUAGUUAUGGCCUUAUGACUCAAAUUCUAGACCGACCCCAGCGAUGAUUUUUCCUAGAUUCGCCACUGUGCUUAGUGUACGGAGCCCCUAGUUAGCUAUCCAUUAGAAGAUUGUAGCUCGAGAAAAGGUUUAGCACCCAUUCCAUGUAACUCUGAUAAUUGUAAGUGUUAAUGUUAGUAUGUUUUUCCACUAUGUAACCAUUUUUUGAUAUUCUAUUCUAUCAUUAUAUGUGUAGACUUCUUAGACACACAUAUGGUGAAUCUUGUUUUCUUUUGAAAACUAGGGUGUGAUAGCCCUCCUCGAGAGGAGAACAAGAAUAGAGAUAUAUCAGCAUGGAUUCCCUAAUUGGCACGGCAAGGCUACAAGAAGACAUGGUAGGAUCAAGGCAGAGUGACCUAAAGUGCUUUAGAGAUCCCUAUUUUUAAUUUGCUAAAUCUGAUCUACUAGUGUGAUUGGGAAUGAACUUGUCCCUCUAUCUAUCUAUGUCGUCUUUGUGCAGGUAGAUGCUACCGACUGCAAUUGCCUAGGUCAUUUGAGAUCUGUGGAUACUCAAGCUUUGCUUGGACAAUGAGCAGAGCCUGGCUCGAUGGAAGGUGGAGGUGUUCCCCGAUGUCACCAAGUGGUCACUUAUAUUUCUGUCGAUGAUGGAAGCACUUUACCCACACCCUCGACCUCAAAGACGGGUUCUCUCUUGUAUUGUGGUACAAUGGCUGGUCACAGAUUAACAUAAAGGUCUCUAACCUUACCACCUACUGCAAGUAGUACCCACAUGACUUUGAGGCUGGCGGUAGUCAGCUCUCCUUGCCCAUCAUGGAGCCAAGGAGUUUUGCAAUGAUCCUGAAGGAAGUACCACCUCAAAGAGAAGUAUCUGGUGUGCACUCGUGUGAGACACAGAAUGUACCGAUGAUGUCUCAAGUUACCGUUGUCCUUUUUGUCAUUAGUAUUUUUUGUGCGAAGCAAAAAACAUGCUAGUGGACUUUGAGUGAGCACACAACUACAAGCAGUGACACAUGCUCAAGCUACAAAUGGCUAGGUAGUCCUAGUUCGUGGGCUUGGAGAGGACCCCCAUGAACAAAGUCUUGCGAGUGUCCAUCAAGUACAGGUGGGCCAACUUCUGCUCUGGCAACAACCUCAACAUUGGCGACACCUACUUCUUCAACAUGAUUCAUGAGGCCACCUACAGCAACGAUGAGGAUGAGAAAAGGGAGGAGGAGGAGGAGGGUGAUGAAGCUAAGCUCAAGGUGGAGGUGCACAAGACAAACAAUGGAUGGAGGUGGUAAACUCAAUGAAAGAGUUGACAUGGAUCAUCCCAAAGCUUCAACGAGUUGUUUGUUCACUAGUCCAUAGAACCCAACUAGUUGGACUAAUCACUAGUCCUAGUUCAUCCAAAUAGGCCCUAAUUGUUGGAUUCCAUGGACUAGUUGUAUGGCCCCUGUAGUUGCCAUCAUUGUAUUUCACUAUUCAUCGACUUGCCAUGAACUGGAUCAUCUAUAUUUCCUAGAGUUAGACUAUCUUAGGCUCCAAACACGUCUCAUGUUAUACAGGGAAACCUGUUUUGUACUAGUACUUUUGUUAAAUUACUAGUACUUUUGUUGAAUACACUACAUUCGUUAAAGAGUGAACUACUAGUUUCUUAUCCAAGUGUCACUGAACAAGUAGUAGUGAUCAUCAUUGUCAUGUAGCAACAUGUGUACCUUAUACAUUAGUGGCCUAAGUCAUGUGAAUGAUACAUGAAGCAUCGAUUUGCUUUUGAUGCUUUCAUCUUUUUGGAAUCGAACAGAUAACUAUUAACUUGGUUGUCAACAAGGAGAAGGCAUAGUAAGCAAUGCAUGCUCAAUUUGACCUAAAAUAUUCAUAGAACUUACAAUUUAGAGUGUAUUAAACAUAAUCCGUGUCAUGUACAUAUAUAUUGUUGACAAUAAUUACAUCUUACAAGAAUCACCAUCCGACCUCUGGAUCCUACUGAUGUGGCCAAUAUAGUGAUUUGAGGAACCUUAGACACUCAUAUUCAAUCCCACACUCCUUGCUACACAACAAACCCCACUCAUUACAUCCUUCCUAUCUGACACGAUUGCCAUAGUCUCCUCCUCUAUGAUGUUCCUAGUGAUGCACUGGCUUGGCGAUAGGUUGAAGACCCUGACCCAUCACAUUCCACCAUAGGAGGUCCCCCUAACAGCGGCAUGACAGAUUGGAGGCACCAUAUUCUUAUUCUUCCACAUUGCGUACGGCACUGGUGGCCCUUCAUCGCCUUUGACCUUCCUCAACAACCAUGGGGCAUUGUCAUCCUUUGUGGAAUGACCAUUGGACCUAUGGAGCAGUAGCGAUAGAACAUAAGUUACAUCUUCAUGGCCUUCUUUGGAGGCAUGCUGAAGUAUGUCGAGGCAGAGUGUGAUCGUGCCAUGUUCUUCCAUGAAUAUGGUUUGCAGCCGAGCAUAGAAGCAGGCCUCUGGGUUGUUGAUGCUCGCAAGCUUAGUGAUCAGCUGAUGUGGUAUUCAUCAUUGUAGAACACCUUCUAACCUUCAAGGCAUUGCAACACUAGCUGCAGUGGUAUACUUUGCCUCACUACUACAUCGCUAUACAUUGUGUGCAUCUAUGAACAGGUUGCAUGUAGUCUAGCAAGAUCUUGCAUGGGAUCUAUUGUGACUACAAUGAUGUGUGUAGCCAUCAUAGUAGACAAAAACUCUAUGGAGAGGUCUGCUAAGGAGGAAGCGUUGCAAAAAGCAAGCUAAUGUCAAGCAGACUAUCUGGUGUAACAUGGCACAAAUUGGUCGCUGGUGGCUGUCCCUACUACCGAAUGGUUCUCAAUGUCACUUUUCAAGCACAACUGCGAAUGAAGAAACUAGCUAUAGCACUAAUAAGCCUUGGGACACUGUUAUGCCUGCACCCACCUGUUGAAAAAGUAAGCAACUAGUUCACUUAAACAACAUGAACACAAAUACUAUUGUCCAUUGCUUGCAUACUCCAGUUAACUUAAUGAAGAGAAACAACAUGAACAGCGGUACAUGACCUCAUUCUCCUCUGGCCUUGUCCCUUCGGUUCUUGUUAGGACUCUUGACCUGAUCAUGUUGGUGACCUCUAGAUUCACCAUGUUUAGUCAUGGCUUGUUGAGUGCCUUGUGUUUAAUGGAUGUCUUCGUCCACUAUGAGGUCAUGGUCUUUGUAGGAGGCAUCAGCGACACAAAGGGCGCAGUUGGGUGUACGGCAAAAGCUAAGUGAUGGAAGAAGGAGAUCUGGAGUGAGCAUGUUGAUGAUUGUAGAAGGUAGUUCUUCACAUGUAACAUGGGAAUCAUUGAUGUGCAUGACUUCCUUCCUCUCUAUGUCAAGCUUCUUCAUGAUGAGGUGUAGCUUGGCAGUGACCAUGUCAGCUUCCUUGAGAUGAUGGAUUCCUCCGCCUUUCUUUCGAGGCUGAGUAUGUUCUUCAUUGCAUGUUAAAUUUGAGGCCAUCUUCUCAACGAGUGCUUUAGCAUCCUAGAGCUUAAGUGACAGGAAAGCUCCCCCAGCUGCAGCUUAAAUCGACUCAUAGGUACUAGAAAUGGGCCCGUGAUAGAAAGUCUGCAUUAACAACCACUCCUCUAUCCCAUGAUGAGGACAGUCUUCAAUGUAAUUCUGGAAUCUUUCCCAUGCUUUAGUGAAUGAUUCAUCAUGUUGUUGUUGGAAACAUGCAAUCUUCCCACGGAGAGCAUUAGUCUUGGCUGUAGGAAAGAAUUUUGCAAGGAAAGCAGUCGAGCAUAGGUCUCAUGUAUUAUGUUUGUCUUCGUUGAUGUAGAACCACUGCUUGGCUUUCCCCAAUAAUGAGAACAGGAAAAGACAGAGUAAGAUAGCAUCUUUUGGUACUCCUCUGAUCGCGAAGGUGCUGCAGAUCUCUAGAAAAUGUUGUAAAUGUGCACUUGCAUCUUCAUGAGCUUUUCCACAUAAUUAGCUGGCUUGAACCAUGGUAAUGAGAGUAGGCUUGAGCUUGAAUCCAUUCUCCCCAGUGUUGACUGCUGGUCCAGUCCGAAUGUUUGCUGUUGUUGGGGCAGAGAACUCUUGUAGUGUCUUCUGAGCCAUGUUUUCAAACAUAGGAGCUAGGUUUUCACCUAAAUGCUCUUCUGUUUGUGCUUCUACUUGUUCUACAAAUUCUUCUUCCAAUAUUGGAACUAGCUCCUCUAAAGAACUAGCUUCAGCAGCAGAGGGUGUUCUUGAUGGUGACUCGAAUUUGUCCCUUGCUUCUAAAAACUUCUUCUUUCUAAGUAGUUUCUCUAGAUCUUGAGUAAAGUUUCUUGGAAGAGAAAAACCAUUCAUUCAUCACUCUGUAUAAGAUAAGAAAAUAAUAACAACAAAGGGUGUACCUGAUUGAGUUAGAAAUCGAUUGGUAAUAUGACUUUAUCCAUACAUAUAUAUGUUAUCAAUAUAUCCUAAGUUUAUUGUGCCUUCCUCGGCAACGGCGCCAAAAAUGCUUGUUGACAUUUACUACCGUCAUCACUAAAAAUAGAGAUAAUCCCUACCUCUAACAAUAACGCUAGAAAUGCACGGUACAUAAUUAACCUGUCAAUUAGCAACUAGCCACUUCCUUAAUUACUAACAUUCCUAAACAUGAAGUAGGUUGUCAUCCCUAAUUAUAUUGCUAGGAAUUUAUUAUAGAUUGACAUGUACUAUUGUGGCUAGGCAGAAAUAAAAGAUAUGAAUAUAAUUGUAAACUAAAUGGGUUCUACAAGCGGACAGAUAAUUAUACCGUUGUAGCAUUUUAUCUAGGGAAGUAUCCAGGUUGUCGAUUUAUAUUUACACCACAAGGAAGGCGAUGUAUUAAAUUAUAAUCUAUUAUAUUGAUAAGAAAUUAUAUAGGAUGAAUAGAUGAUAUUACCAAGGUUUUCUAAUCUACUCAUAACAGGCAGAGGUCACAAGAUAAAUAACGGUAAAUAAUAAUCAUAGCAUAAUCAUCAAGUAUCAUAAUUAAGGAUAAUCAUCAGAGCAUCUACUAGUCAUAAUCAUAGUUGGCCGUUGGAUAAACUAGGUAGUUGGAUCUAAGGUAAUUCUAUAACUACAUCACUGAAUAACUCUAGUUAGUGCAAGUACAUCUAGAAAUCAUUGUUGAGCUAACCCUAUAUCAUAAUUACAUGUAAAGAGGCAUCAACUAAUGAGGGUAUUAAGACAGAAGGGUCACCUCCUUCGCGACCGCGCCCAUGCUAGUACUACGUACGGAGGGUGGACUAUAGAGGAUCCAACGUAGCUAUCACCUACGUGGUCUACCACACGUCCUCGCACAUCAGGGUGCACUUGUAGAUAAACAAGCUAUCUAGACACCACGUCGACCUAUUGUCUACCAUCUACCAAAAGAUCUAUUAGGUAAACGGUAUAUGAGCAAUUACAUGAAUUCAAUAAGAUCAAACCAAACUAUCAUAGACAUAUAAUCAAAGUAGACUGUGAAUAUUGCAAUUAAGAACAUAUGAAUCUAUUAAUAAUAAAGUCUCUCUAAUAUAAAAUUGAACACAAUAAAGUAAGAACUAGAUCUAUUACUGAACUCUUGCACUCCAGACCAACGCUAGGGGCUCCAGAUCCCGAAGAAGAACUAAAUCUCCUCUACUUCUAAUCUAACUAAGUAGAACUAUGAACUAGAAGGCUCUUGAUGAAGUUGAAGGCUCUUGAUGCUUGAUGGCUUGAGGCCUUGAUCAAUGAGUUGAUGGUUUGGUGUCUCUAGGGGGGUCUACCCCUAUAUUUAUAGUCCGGUGGGUUUAGGGUUUUGGCCAUAGGAUCAAACCGACUUAACCAAGGGCCGAGAUGACUCCUCGUAGGUGGUGGAGGAACAUUCUAGAAGGGGGGUGAAACCCUAAUAGGGGGGCACCGGCCGGCGCUAGGAUGGGUCUGGUUGGCCCCACCUGGCAGCCUUUGUGGCCUAGCUCUUCCGGUGUCUUCCAGAGUCUUUCCAUGUCCCGUUUGCGAUGUUGCCAUGGCGGAUUAGUUUCGUGUUAAUUUUGCAAUAGAAUCCCUCUUUUCAACUCUCCUAAAAUUCACUCUAGAAAAUACAGAAUAUGCAAAACUCGUGGAAAUUGUCAGAUAAAACCCUAGACUAGUGUGUUUUCAUGUUUUCCUUCGGGUCUAAAGUUUUAAUAAAAGUUGACGUUAUCGACGGUCAACAAUUCUCCCAAGCUUACAUUUUGCCAGUCCCUUGGCAAACCAAGCCUAAGCAGAAUAUGUAAUUGGAUCAAGAGUUGCUACAAUGUUUUCGUUCUUUCCAAUUACACAUGCUCCCAAACAAAGAUUCUCCUUCGAAUUAGUUAAUAACUGCUCCAAUCUUCAAACUUACCCAUUUUAACUUUAACCAUGGGGCUUUAGAGCUCUUGCAUGAGUCUUGAGUAAUCAGAAGACAGAACAAUCAGGUCAAGCACUAUGUCUCAAAUUCUUCAUAGAAUCAUUAUUUCGGAGUUUUUUAGAAUAAAACUCAGAGCUUAAUUGUAUGACACCCUCAACUCUCUCAAUGUAUGUGGUUUUUGUGGUUCUCUCUUGAGGCAUGAUUUUAUGUCUCCUAUAGCUAAAGGUAUAUAUGGUGGAGCUUAUAGGAGUGCUAAUAACAAGGAUAGGCAAACUUGUGAUGCAUGUAUUGUAAAGUAAACUAAUGGAUCUGUAAAGAAACGAGGCAUACAAUCAAACCAAUGUGUGCAUGUGUAUGGAGUAUGGUGGAUAGGUGCAUUUGUGGUAUUUGUGGCUAAUUUCUAUUUCUUUGGGAACAGCUCUCUAUUAAAACUUUUUAGGGAAGACAUGGGAUAUCUUUAUUAUUUAUUAUUAUUAUUUUAUUUAUUUAUUUAUUUAUUUUUAAUAGGGAGGCAGGCAUCUAGUACCCAUCAUUUUAAUUACUGGGACACUUGUCCAUCUUUUACUCCCUUUUCUUCUUUUAUAUUUUUGCAUAGCCACAUAUAUCAUUUUAAAACAAUAAAUGAUCAGAGAGGUAAUACUAAAAACUUAGAGCUUUUAUGAAGGGCUUUAUCCUAUGGGUAUGGUUUAUGUUGGUGAUUACUCCUAGUGUGGGAAUAAUGCAUAUGUGAACUAGAGUGUGUACGUGAUCUUGGUUUUAAAAGCAUGACAAGACUCUCAUAAGGUAUACUACAAAGGUUGACUAAACUCAAUGCAAAGCAAGCAACAUAAAUGUGCGAAAGUUUUCCUAACUCUAAAUAGAUAUUAUGUAUGGCAUUGGUAGGAAUUGAAACUUGUCAUACAAGAGCUCAUCAUGUAGGAUUUUGGGUUUUCAAAAUAAAUCUCUAGAACUUGGUAAUGCUAGGAAUAAGAUAAAUAGUAGCUCAGACUUUCAAAGAUCACAUCAAGUAACUACCUAGACUUAGGUCAAACUUAUGCGUCCACAAGAUGCAGGUUUUGGAGUAAACCUUCAAAUUAAAACAGUAAUGUCCAAAACUCGAGAGAAUCUCAUGUUAAAAUCUAGGCACUUGUAAAGAUCUAUAACAGAGCAACUAUUCAUCAUUUCCAUGACAAAAUUUUAAUGUUCAUCAAUUUUUAUUUAGCUCUAGUUUAGACUAACUCUAACAGACUCUAACAUUUAACUAAUUAUAAACUCACAAAAAGACUCUAAGACUUGCAGACCUUCAUGUGCCUACAUAUUUUUAUGUUUUUCUAUGAUACUAUGGUGAACCUUCAUGUGCUCACAUAUUUUUUGUAUUUUUAUAACUAUAUAGACUCAAAAAUCACUUAGGUUUAAUUAAGUGAUAACUAGGGUAUGCUCCUCCCCCAAGCUGGAUGGUUGCAAUAUCUGAUGUACAUGUCCUUGAGAGCAAGCUAGCCAGUCGCGAACCCGGUGGGCGCCACUGAUAGACUCUCUCCUUGCUAUGAUGUUAUUCCUGCAUAAAUACUCUCCUUAAAGAGAAACCAAAACUUGAGGCUUGAAUUUGUUAAUGGGUUAGCAAUCAGCCAAAGUGUAACUGAUCUCCUUUAUGAGGUAGUUUUAAUGUUAUCUAAUUUAGAAAGGAUUUUACUUUUCUCUUCUUUUUGAAUUUUCUAUUUAUGGUGCAGAAAUUUUAAAUACGAAUGCUAUUUAAUUUUUACGCCACCACAGUGGAUGUUCCUUCGAAAAAUACCAUAGGGUAUCCACAUGGAGCCUUAGUAUUUAAGAUGUAGUAAUUAAAGCAGUAAAUAUUCAUUUGUAUUUUGUAUUAAUAUGCCAAGGGAAAUAAAUAUGCUACUAAGUUAUUAAAGUGAAAUUACUAAUGCAUGCUACUUUAACUAGAUAACUACCAUUCGAACCUUAUGGCUAGGGUAUGGAAUUUAAAGUCUACCGAUAGGACUUAGAUAGUACAGAGGACUUACUCAGUGGGUUCAUUGUCUGAGGUAUCCUCGAUCAACUCCCCAUUUUGUGGUGAUGCGUCACAUGUGUCUUCCUUACUUCUUGCUUCUGUUUCUUUUGCUUCUUUCUUCCCUAGCUCCAACUCUUCAUCUCUGUUCUCCUUCUCCCAUCCUUCUAAUCGGGCUAAGAUCUCUUUCUCUUUCUUGGCAAUUUCGUCCAUCCUUUUAGCUUCUUCUACCCACUCACUCUAUUGGGGUGCUCGCGUGUUCUCUUCUUGCUCCGUGAAGCGAUCUUCAUAUUUCAUAAUCUUGCUAGCAAAGUCUUCCCAUGCGCAGUGAGACUGGGCAGCGUGACGGCGGGCUUGGCGUCUUCUUCUAUUGUGUUGCUACCUGAUCUGCUCAUGGUUAACUUGUGUUCUAAAUUGACAGCAUACCUUUCCGGUAGGUAGGUUGAAGUGGAUAUGCCCUGAUCCGAUGUAGAUGUUGGCUUUGGCUGUAUAGAGGAACAGUCUUCCCAAGAGGAUCGAGGAAUCAUCAUCUCUGUACAUGUCAAGAAGUAGAAAAUCUGCAGGUAUAUAUUGUCCUUGAAUUUUUACCAUGAAAUUCUUGACCACUCCUUUAGGGAACCUUAGUGAUUGAUCCGCCAUCUGCAACUAAAUACAUGUUGGGUAUAAAAGUAAAUGAAAUAACUCAUCAUAUACCUGUUUUGACAUUAUGUUGCAGUCUGAUCCAGUGUUGUAGAUGGUGUGAAGGAAGGUGGUGUCUUUGAUUGUGCGCAAUGGGGAUAUCAUACUACUAUCUGUGCGCAAUGGGGAUAUCAUACUCCUAUCGACAAUGGGGAGAUUAUUGUAUUAUAUCAGCAGAAAGGUGCCGAUGGGACCAAAGUAUUCAAGUUAUCACCUUUGUCGAUUAAUUAGUCAAAUCGACUAGCACGCCUUGGCAUCGAAAUUGGGUAUUAGCCCUUUGUGUUUGCAGAUAUAUUUUUGCAUCAACACAUCUUUUGGCACACCCAGUGGGACCAAUCAACAAAGAUCAACAUGCUUACUUCAGAACUCAAUGCGGACAACGUCAAUAGCGUGACAGAGGUCGAUCAAAGGGAAGAACAGAAGCAAGCUAUGGAGAAGGCUAUGGAGGAGUACAAGCAGCUUUGUUUGAAAUCUUUCAGCCUGAACAGGAGUGGGGAAGUCAUCCAAAAGCAAGAUCUAUCGUUGCCUCGGUAGGUUACCUUUGAUCCCAAUCCUAGUAAACUGCUAGAGAUGGUAAUUUUGCAAUUAAUCAUGCUUUGAUUAACCAGUCCAAUGUGCUGUCCAACACCAUUUACAAUGUUGUGAUCCAAACUUUCAAAGAGGGACAAGCACCACCAAUUUAUGCUGGCCCAGCCUAUCAUCAGCAAGGAUUAUCAUCGGCUCUUGCUCCAUCGGCUCCAUCAGCCGUUGCGGGUAUAGAAGUUACGUCUCCUCCGAGUACAUCGGGAUUGGUUAAUGAACAAUCAACACCGAUGGGAUUAGAACCAAUGACUUCUGGAGGGUGGGUUCAGCUCAACACAGAUCUAUCAGCAUCGGCGAUGUCAGGAUCUGUAUUUCAAAACAGUCAGGUUCCUCUUGACUAGUGGGGAUAUGGUAUGCCUCUAGAGUUUUUUUCAAAUAAUUCUGGAUUAUCUCAGAUACCUAACAUAGUAGGAAAAGCUCCCAUACCAUCGGCACCUCCAGUUUCAUCGAUGACUCAAGUGCCUCAGUUUUCCAAAACUACCACCGUGCGACUAGGUACUGGGAAUUUUCACAUGCCGACAUUUCAAAUGCCUAAUGCAAACUCAUCGGCAAAUCCAUUGCCGACAUAAUAGAGGUUUAUGUCUCAGGCAGGGUAUGUUAAUCCAGCAAUGACAAUUAAUUACUAUCCAUCAUUAAGUCUUGUGCCGAUGAAUACAAAUAAUGGUUGGUUAGUACAGUCGCCCUUUCCACAUACAGCACAGCAAAAUCAUCAAAUUGCAGGGGUUCAACAAGGUUACAUGCAAGCUGGUUUUCAGAAUCAAGCACCGGCGGCUCAGCCGAUGAAUCUUGCCCAGCAGAUUGGCGGUCCACAAGCAAUGGCCAACAUGUUGCUUGCCGGAGAUCAUAUGCCAUAGAGACACGUGGAAGCAUAUCAGCAGGCACCAAAGAUUCAACCAGCACAUCGGCAGGAUGCCGAUGCUUAUUGGGCCGAUAAGAUAGCAGAGGUCAUGAGAGAUCAGUUUGGGAUAAAAUCUAAAGUCAACACUUACUCUUAUCGGACACCAUAUCCUGCAGCAUAUGACCAAAUUCCUCUUCCAAAUUGGUACAAGGUGCCAGAUUUUACUAAGUUCUCCGGGCAGGAUGACACAUCAACAAUGGAACAUGUCAAUCACUUUUGUUGAUGCAAACAUAGAUCUAUAAACACAAAGGUCUAAUACCCAAUUUCGAUAUCAAAGUGUGCCAGCCGAUUUAACAUAACAAUCUACAAAGGUGAUAACUUGAAUACUUUGGUCCCGACAACAGCGAUGCGCAUGGAUGUCGCGGCCAAGAGGUACUCACACGAAACUCGAGAAAUCAUCAAGUGUGACUCAUCGAAUCCUUGAGAACUUGGAAACAGAAAAAGUAUGCGAGUUGAUGAAGUCAUCAAAAAGAAGAUGUAAAACUUGUGUUUGAUGUUGAUUGAUUUAUUAUUACAUUGCCGCUGGGUUUAUAUUUAUACCCUAGCCCUUAAGAGUUACAACCGAACACGACUAAGAUUCAACUAAAGUAAACAAGACUCUUACAUAUAAGGCAUAUCUAGAAAAUUAUGGAAAAAGAAAUAAUAAUUAUCUAUUCCUAUGUCCCUAAUAAUUACGAUAAAGUCUUCAUUGGUUCCUGCUUCAAGUCUUCAUCGGCUCCUGCCCCAUCGGCACAUAUAUGCCUCUUCAGCAACAAUUUUCACACCCUCCUCCAUUGGCAUCGGCAACCAUAAGUCUUAUCAGCAACAACCAGUAGUUGUCAUCCCCAACCCCAAGCCAACAGAAUCCAUCCACCAACCAUCAUUCCAUCAUCGGUUUCAUCCAAAUCGGCUAUCGGCACUCUUCUGUCAAUCUGGCACAACAACUUCCCUAGUACCGAUCAGUUCUCCUUAACCAUCUUGACUCAUACCUAAAAAUGGUGUGAACACAUGCCCCCUAAUUUUGGAGUAUGAAAUCAUUAAUGCUCUGAAAUUUACACCAGAUAAUGAUGACCUUUUCACAAUUACUUUCCUUCUUGGUAAAAAUCUAUUACCAAAUCCAAACAAACUCAGCCUUGAUCCUCACAUCUCAUUAAACAUCAUAGAUCUUCCAACCACCCAUACUCCGAUUAACACCAAGUCAUAGGGAAAACCGCCCAUCAGCAAAACUCUAAUGUCAAGACACAUUGCCGCUGACUUACUAAAAAUAUUGCACAGAGUGAAAUAUCUUCAUGAUCAUGAUUACUUGCCAUCAAAUCACCUACACAAUCCCUUGAUUAUCGUGCGAACACUUACCAUAUCCAUCUGAACAGCCUCAAAUUUCAUGGAUUCGACAAAGAGAUAAGUUAAAAAUACCCCCACUCAUCUGUUGAUAUAUGGUAACGCAAUGAGGAUUUAAUCCGCAAGCGCACGGAUAUCGGUGAGCACUUCACCCGGGAUGUUAUCCAUAGUAUCGUAUUUAUAUUUUUACCACUAGGAGAAAGCGUGCAUGUGACUAACUCGGUCUAUUACUACUAACCUUUAGGCUACAACCACUAUGACUCGAUGUGAGUGAUGUAUAGAGAAGUCUUCAUCUGCACUCUUGUUCUAACCUUGGUAAGCAUGAUCUACUAUUCUGUUGGGGAGGCUCACGAAAUCUAGACACCACAGAGGAUGUUCGACCCGCACCUAUAAACCCUAUCGAUCCUACUAACGGAAUUAUGGGCUACAAAGGUAACUCGGAAAUGUCACGUUCCUUGCUACUACCACGGUCCGGCUAGACAGGGGAUAUCUAUGUGUAUCCUAGCCCAAACACCACGUUUACGCUAGAGAUGAUUACUCUAAACUCUACGCGAAGAGAUCAAAGUAAACUCAUAAACCAAAGAACAAUAAAACGAAGAACUUACUAGAAUUUAGAAGUUGAAAUACGGAAGAAUCCUAGGAGCAAGCCUCGGGUUAGGAUACUUGAUCCCGCAGGUACAACCUUGGAGUAGACACCGAUAGGCCGGGCUUCCUCCGAUCUACACCUCCACUCUAUCUCAAUCUAGUAGAACUAAUUGUACUCUCACAUUGGAUGCUAUGCCCUAUGAGGUGGGAACCCUAUGGAACCUCUCUCUCUGAAUCCUCUUUGGAAAAUAUGCUAAUGAAUAAUGGGGACUCUAUCUCUCCAGGGGCCAGGGGCCUUGCUUAUAUAGCCAUCUCAAAUGAAUCUGGGCCGUCGGAUCAAACCGACCUUGAUUGAACGGUUCUCCUUGAUCCUCAAAGGCGGUGGAGCAUAAUCCGCAUGAUGCACCCUGAUUGGCCACCAUAGGAGGGUGGGCGCCCUGCUUGUGGGCCCGCUCGGCCUCCCGCUCGUUCGUGUGGCCUCUGGAACCUUCUAGACCGAGGAAAAUUAGCGCACAAGUUAAUAUCUCUAUGUAAACCCGACGUGUGGGCCUUUCUUCCAUAUUUCCUGAUAACCCCCUACAGAAAUAGAUAAACAGCAAAACUCGUGGAAUUCUGUCGGAUCAAACCCUAAAUCUAGGUGUUGUUUGUAUAUUGGUCCUUUUCCUUAUUUAUUUCAUAGUUAAAAUUGAUACUUAAGAACCGUCAACAAACACACCCAUACUUAGGCUUUUACUCGUCCUCGAGAAAAGGAUGGUUAAGAAAAAUAUCUGGGGUUAAAACAUUGUAAAGCAUUCUCUUCAUACCUAUAGGGUGUUGUAAAAAUCCACUGUGUACCGUAGUCAGGGAAAUAUAUGGUCAAAAGUAGAGAUCCUUUCUUCUUCUCUAUCCUGCCACUUGGAGUUUUUUGAAAAAGAAAUUAGCAUACCUUUAACCUCAUAGGUUCUCUCAGAUCACUCAUUUAUCUUCUAUGUAUCUCACUGAGGCUGUUUUAAUUUUGCAAAAAUUCUCAAGCAUACUUACCUUACAUUUAUUGCCUGAUCAAAACGGGAUCCGAGGAGAGGAAUGCCAUACUCUUAGAUCAAAGACUUUGGAAAUUAAAAUCUUGUCAACUCUUACUGGCAUAUGCUUAUUAGAGGGACCAUGGGCUAUCAUUUUCUUCUCUUUUUUUAAGUGGAUACCGAGGUACCCCUAUUUCUACUGCCGCACACUUAUCUAUUUUUUUCUGCGAGGUUGUCGAGCACUUGCUCCUUUUUAUUUCCUAUUCAUAUUUUUGCAUAGCCCAUUCCUCUAACGCAAUAAUACUUCGGAAGAGUGAAUAUUUGUCAAUAAAUGUCUUGAUCUUAGGAGUAUGAUAAAUCUCUCAACAAGGGUCUAACUCGUUUUGAACAAACUCAAUACAGAGCAGAUAGCUUUUAUAAUUAUCAUAGUUAAUAUUUUCAGGUUUAGAAGGCUUAUAAAACACUGAGGAUAGUAGCUAGAAUUUUUUGAAGAUUUUGAAAUAAAUUAUCCAAGCAGCAACGAUAUCAAGAAUAAGGUACUCAUACUCUACCAUCUCACAUUCCAUAGUGACUUAGGUAACACAGGGUUUUUAAAUGAUUUUUAAUAAUUGCAAGUUUUCAAGAAAUAUCACAGAGUGAGAUUGAUCAUGAUUAGAAAUAUUUUAUUUUAUUUAAUUUAUCAUGUCAGAGACAAUAUUCUGCACGAACCAAGAUAUAUGCGUAUGUGUAAAGUGUGCAGAGUAUGUACCUGAUCGUGGAGUGGUGUGGUCGAAGUGCGUUGGCAUGUCGGGUAUCUCCCCCAUACUUGUUUUCUACUAACUUGCAUAAAAAAAUAAAGUAGAAACACACAAGAUAUAAUAAUAAUCUUUAUUAAUCUUGAGGCAUUUAUUACAACUGACUAGUAAUGAACUGAAGCUAAUAAUAGAUCUAAGCCGAAUUUAAAGCUGAAUAACUAAGAUAUACUGCCUCAAGAUCUAAUCUAGAUAACUUAGCGGCGCUCUAACUCCCUAAUCUUCUUACUGGCACUGUUGGGUAUUCUUAACGUCAUUACCAAAUGUAGACUUAGUUUUCUAAUUCUGAUAACGGCGCCAAAAAUGCAAAACCUAUCCCUCAUACCACUUAAGCCAAGUUGUCAUCCCCAGCAUGACACGAGAGACGCGGUAUUGAAAUAUGCAAUUGCUCAUCUAAAUAAAUAACAAAUGGGAUCUGCAAGCGCACAGAUUAAUAACGAUGUAGCAUUUUAACCCGGAAGUAUUCCAGGUAUCGUUAUGUAUACUUUUACCACUGGGAAGGGAUUAGCAAUCAUCAAUAUUUGAUUAUAGAAUGAAAUAUAAGAUUGAGUAUCUAUCAUUGCAUGUAUAAUUGAGAACAUUUAUCUAACUCUUUCAUACAGGGAUAAGUGUCACAUUAAAGGAUAUAUAAAGUAAGGAAUAGUAACAAAGAAAAUUAAUCUAAUAAGCAUAACUUAGCCACAUAAUAAAUAUGAUAAGCACCUCAAUUAGAUAUUCUAGCAAGUCAUUAGCAUGGAAUUAGAAUGAACUACAAGAAUAUUUCCUAAGUUAUUGUUAACUAUACAGUCUAGCAUAUCAUAGUUUGUGCAAUUAUACUUAGCAAUCAUUGCGAGACAAGACUACGCCCAUGCAUAGUGAUAUUAGCAAGGAAUAUGAGAAACAUCGUAAUCACUCCUCUGUAAUAAUGUUGCUCUGCCAGCCCAAUACACGAGAGGGGGACUAUAUAAGAAUCAAUGGAGCUGUCACUACCACGAACUACCCCGCAAUGUGGCAUAUAGGGUACAAUCACAGAUAAAUACAGUAUAAGCACCACGCCUACACAAUAUCUAUCAUUUACCAAUGGAUCUGAUGGAUAAACGCUAUACAAUCCUAAAUAUGUAUAUAAAUCCAAUCUAACUAAGCCAAGUAUAUAACUAUGAUAAACUAAGAACAAUAUAAUUGAGAAUAUAAACAAGUAGAGCAAAGUCAUAAUCAAUAUAUUGAAGUAGAACAAAGUCAUAUUCAUAAUAUUGAAGAACAAAGAUGAACAAUUGAAGAACAAGAGAGAAUUACCAAGAAUCCUCUUGAUAGAUCCGGAAACCAAUCGAAGAUUGACACCUUCUAGUUCUAAUCCUAUGUAGCUAUGCUAAUCUAGAUAUCUAAUUGAUGUGGUGGUUCUAGGCUUGAUCAGAGGCUUCUUCUCCCUUGAUGAAUAAUGAAUUAGGGUUGAGAGAGCCCCUCCUCCAGGGGCCAGGGGGUCUGGUUUUAUAGUCCUUUCAAGUGAAUAUGGGCCGUCGGAUCAAACUGACAUUGAUUGAACGGUUAUCCUCGAUCCUUUAGGUCGGUGGAGCGUAAUCCCGAAAGAGAAUCCUGAUUGAACUCUAAAGGGGGGCGGGCGCCCUAGGCCAGGCCCGUUCUGCCUCCGCUUCGUUCCCGUGGCUUCUGGAGUCUUCUAGAUGUGAGAUAAUUGCGCGGUACAUUAAUAUCUCUAUGUAAUCCUGACGUGUGGGCCUUUCUUCUGUAUUUCUUGAUAACCCCCUGUAGAAAUAGACAAACACCAAAACUCGUGGAAUUCUAUCAGAUAAAACCCUAAGUCUGGAUGUUGAUUUCAUUUGGAUCCUUUUCUUUGUUUAUUUGAUAAUUAAAUUUGAUACUUAAGGACCGUCAACAAACUCCCCCAAGCUUACCUCUUGCUCGUCUCUGAGCAAUGAUAAUCUCAGCGAUGGAUCACAAGUUAUUGUAUUGCCUUUAAAAGUUGGCGGUACACAUGCUUUUAAAUAAGAUCUCAUCUCUGAGUUAGAGUAAACUGUCAAGACUUAAAACUUAUUCAUUUUACCUUUCACCAUGGGACUUGUAACCAUUACUUCUGUAUUGAGUAGUUAAAAGAUAGAACAGUCUAGUCAAGUGCCAUGUCUCUUAUUCUUGAUCAGCUAUAGCUCUGAAGUUUUUGCAGAUUUUCAAAUAAAACUCAGAGAUUCCUUGUAUGACUCUCUUAGAUCUCUCUUUUGUUGUAUUUUUGGAUCCUUACCAAGGCAGUGAUGGUAUAUGCCUUCUCUCAAGAUAUGUAGUAUUUGAGGUAUAAGGCAUAGUGACAUUGCCUUCUCUCUCACCCUACUCUCAUAAGGCUUUAAUAUCUGGAGCUCAUAGGCGGGAGAUAAAGUAUACAUACUUACAAGACAUUUAUUGUAUAGUCAAACCAUGGAUCCAAAGAAACAAAUCAAUAAGUCAAAUCAAGAUGUGCAUGUGUGGCGAAUGAAUAGUGUAUGGUGAUAAUGGUGAUAAUAAUGGUGAAAGCCUAAGUCUACUUUUGCUCUUUUGAGGCGAUACAUACCUUCCUUGCUUUUUGAAACUUUUGAGGAGAAUGAGAUGCUCUUCUUUUUCUUUCCUCUCAGGUGGGUAUUUUGUACCCCUAUGUCUACCUCUCGUCUCACUUUUUCUUUUCUUUCGAGGUUCCAGGCACUUGCCUCUUUUUAUUUCCUCGUAUCUCUCUUUUUAGAGCACUCAUCUCAUGAAAUAAUAUAGCAAGUGGUAGUAACCAAGAUAAGUUGAGCAUUUAUUUCCCCGGGGAAAACAGAAAUGUUUUUGGCUAUUCUCUCCCGGAUUAGGAGUAGAAUAUUUCUGGGUGGUUCUGGAGAUGGAAAUGGGUGGAUCUAUGUGGAUGCGUACUUCCGGAGUAGAAGCAACAUGUGUGAGUGAACGUGCAAGUGAAUCUUGAUUUAACCACAUGACAAGCUCCUAAGGGUUUACACAGCUUGACCACACUCAAUGCUAAUAAGUAGUAAAAAGUAAAUGUGUGGCUCAAAAUCGAGCAAGCAUGUAUAUGUGGCUGUGGUAGGAAUUUAAACUCUCAUCAUACAGGAACUCAUCAUGUAAUAUUUCAAAGAUUUUUCGAAGAUAAAAUUCUCUAGAAUUCUAGCAUCUCUAGGAACAGAUAAAUAGCAGCUCAAUUUUUCCAUAUCAUAUCCGUUAACAACUUAGACUUCAGAUCAAGUUCUCUUCCCACAAGUUUAGGUUUAGAGCAAGCUUUAAAUUAUAAAAGUUAUGUCUAAACUUCAGAGAGAUCUUUAAAUUUGAAAAUUAGGCAGAGCAACUAUUCAUCAUGCUAGAGUUUUAUUAUUAAGAUUCAGUUUAGCAUAGCCACUUUAUUUAUUUAUUAAACAAACUAAGCAAAAGAUAUAUAUAUAAGCACAAAAUCUUUAUUUGGUUUUUCAUAGUUAUGUAUAUUUAUAUUUUAAUAUAGUAUAAGUAUAAAGAUAGAUAGAAAUACUUAGUGGGAUAAAUGGGGGUGCUCUCCCCCAAGCUGAAUUUUGACGUAAUUUCUCUUGAUGUAGCUAGCAAGUGGGAGAGGUGUAUUUGAAAGUCGGCAGUAUCUUGACAGCGAUUAGAAUGUCCUCAGUCUGCUAGUCUUCUUGAUUCUUAAAUUCUGUGGAGCUCAAAUAAACAACAAAGCUUUGUGGAACUGAUUAAGUGUUAGCAUAAAUAUCUAGCCUUUAUCAUGUUGAGCCUCCUCAAUAAAUGUUACUCUCUAUUUUUAUAUUUUCAUUUUAUAAAGCAAAAAAGAAAUAUUUAUUUUAUUUUUAUACCACCACAGUGAAUGUACUUAUUGAUUUCAUGCCACUCGUAUACUCACAUGGGGCUUACUAUUUUUUUAUCAUUUUUUUUCUUUUUAGGAUAGUAUUAACAUAAUUAACUAAGUAAACUAUUUGUAAUAAUUGAAAGGGAAAAGAUAACUACCAAGUUUACCUCUUGGCAAGGCAUUCAAUAUUUUUUCGUCCUCCGAACGGGACUCUCUGUUUUCUAGUUGUCCUAGGGUUCAUUGAGUGGCGUAGUCGGUGCUUCCGGCAGCGCCUCUUCUUCAUGUAUAGUUAUCUUCUCUCUCCACACCGGACUUGGUGCUACGGUUUCCUCUAGAUAAUUCUGUUUAAACUAUAUGUCUUCUGACCUUAUCACUUCUCCUUCGUAGUCUGCCCAUCCGUCCUUGAUGAUUUCCCUCAUCUGGUUGUGGUUGCGUCGUUUUCUUCUUGUCCUGUCCUGCUUAGAGUCUUCAACGAUAUAAUUAGGGUCAGUAAAAUAGCGGCGUACCUUCUCUGAGGGGAAGUGCAUAUGGACUUCUCCGGUUCCAAUGUAGAUGAUUGCUUUAACGGUGCUGAGGAACGGUCUUCCAAGGAUGAUGGGUGGAUCGUACUCGUCUUCUCCCAUGUCAGUAACCUGAAAGUCUGUGUAGACAAAAUGAUCAUCUAUUUUGACAGGGACAUCAGUUACUAUUCCUUUAACUUCUCGAAACGUCUGAUCUGCCAUCUGGAGUUGAAUGUAUGUUGGUUUUAGUGGCAUGGUUCCGAACAGGAGCCGAUAGGUGACUGCGGCCAUUAUGUUGACGCCAGAUCCAGUGUCGCAAGUCGUCUUGUAGAAGUUGUAUCCAUUUAUGGAACAAUAGAUGCUUGCCAUUCCUAGGUCGUCCUUCUUGGUCAGAAACGGUGACUUAAGUCGAUGAUCUUGACCUUCAUGAACUGCAGUGACCAUCUUAGCUGACUCGGUCCACACUUGCUUGUUCCUGUUCCUCCUGUUGGUCCUCUUCCUUGAUUCAUGUCGAGAUUGCUCUGGGAUUUGUGUAGUCUUGUUCUUGAAGGGAAACGUCUCCUUCUUCCCUUUGAUGUAGAAACUGAUCUUGGCAGCACUAGCGUAGAUGACAGCUCCCGAGGUGUUUAAGAAUGGCCUCCCUAAGAUGAUGGGUGCCCUCUCAUCAUUACCGGUCUCUAUUACAAUGAAGUCUGCUGGGGCAUAUAAGGUACCAACUCGGACACAGAGGUUCUUUAAUAUUUCUUUUGGGAAACUUAUCGUCUGAUCUGCAAACUGCAAACACAUGGUUGUUUCUGAUAAAGGAUAUGUAAAGAAUUUUUCAUAGAGUACCCUGGGCAUAAUGUUGACACUAGAGCCAAAGUCGUAGAGUGCUUCUGGGAAGUCCACCAUGCCGAUGGAUAUCGGGAUGACGGGGCGUCCUAGAUCGCCUCUCUUGACCGGCAGAAGGUCAGUAGUAACUUCGGUGACGGGGUUACUCCAGUAGUUACCUGCAUCAAACAUGUCUACAAGAUUUGCAGAUUCUAAUCCUUCCGGUUGUGAUGGUAUACCGAGGUUAGUAGC